UUUUUUUUUUGCGGGUGGAGAAAUCUCUAUCUCUAUUCUCUAUUACUUAAAAAGAACGUAAGGUUCCCAUUUCAUCUUUCUUUCCACCACCCCUUCGUCCAACCUUUCGUGUAUAUGAUAAUCAAUCACCUUAUUUUACUUAUCUUCUGAACCAAUUCCACUUUAAUUUCAUCUACAUGCGCAUACCCUAUGUCUCGCGAACCAAAGCUUUAGCUGGACCUCAUGAGCUGGCCCAGAUCGGCCGUAUGUGUGUGCCUGACAUAUGUAUGGAGUGGGAAACAAUGUACAGCCCUCAGUGGCCGCCUAUGCGUUGGGUGAUUUGCCCACGCGCCGUUAAUCUAUAAAGCUUUGCUUUGGUUUUAAAAAAAAAUUCACUUUAAUUUACUUACCAAACUUCUAAUCAAAAUAUAAGGUAAUUCACCAUCAAAAUUUGAUGAACAUUUAUUUACACAAUAGCAUUAUUAUUGACAGGUAAAUCAUAAGCUAACGUACUAGUAGAAUAUUUAUAUCACGUUGCAACGUACGGGCAUUGUUCUAGUUUAAUGAAAAAAAUUCAUGAGUAGGCAGAUAUUCUACGCAUGGAUAUUUUUAGCGUUAGACCACCAAAUCCUCAUAAUUUGCAAAUAUUAUACAGCACAAUUAAGCAUUAUGUGCUUGUGCAAGUCUAGUACAUAGCCCAAAAGAACGCACGUGGAAUAUCAUCCACUUCUUUGAUAAUCCUUUUAAACAGACAUGUACUCCCUCCGAGUAGUAAAUAGCUAGACUCAAUGAAGGCUACAGAGAGAAGUAGUCUGCCCUCCUUAGAGCAUCUCCAACAGGCGUCCAACAUGUGGCGCGCUAAAAUCUGGUUUGCGGCGUGUCCAUUGUCAGAUUUGGCGCGGCGCGCAGCGCUGACUCCAGUAGCCGCGCUAAAAUGCAGCGCGCGCGCAGCUCUAGCAGGGCGAGCGAGCAGCCGGUGCAUCACAUUUGUUGCAUUUUGUCACAACACAUCCACAAAACAAAGACAUGACAUAUAAUUUAAAUCACAAACAUCAUUCUCGAUGAUCAUCAUUCUCGAUGAUCAUGUUGUGCAUGAUCCCACAAGCGUGCAUUAUGUACCAAGACAUCUUAUGAUCCCAAAAUCUAGCCGGUCCUCUCACAAUAGCAAAUUGGGCUUGCAAAAUCCCAAAAGCUCGCUCCACGUCUUUUCUAGCCGCCGCCUCAGCAUUGUGAAAAUCAAGAUAUUUCUUACCUUCCGUUUUUUCAAGGCUUCACAAAUGUUUGCCACUUUGGGUAGAUGCCAUCCAAAUUUGUGGUGCAUAGCUAGGAUCAUUGCAAAAUCCUCCUCCUCUUCCAUAUCAAAUUAUUCUUCGAAAGAAUCAUAUGAUGAACUCAUCUAAAAUGUUCAAAACUAGGCUAUAAACAACAUGCACCAAAUUUCAUGUAAAAAUCUGGAAGUUGGAAGCAAUACAUACCUUGCGGGCGCCAAGCGGCAGUGGGCGGCCGGGCGCUGUUCGUCGGAGGACUGCCGCGCGCGACGGGCGGCACUGACUAGAGAGAGGGAGGAAGCCGCGGCCGCGCUGGAAGAGACUGAGGAAGCGUCGGAACGGUCGCCGGAAAAAUGGGGUGGCGCGGGCGGCGGCGGCGGCGCGGCUAGAUGGGUAGGUGGAGUUGCGCGCGAGCGCUCGAGAGUUCAACGCACGGGAGCGGGCGGAACAAAUAAGUGGCGCGCGAUGACGUUUCCGCCCGCGCGCUGAAUUACAUAUGCCGCGCGCGCGGUUUUUGCGCGUCCGCUAGCUGGAGCGCCCGAAACGAUAGCACGCGCUAAAACUACUAUUUUUUCACACGGCACGUAUAUAGCGCGGCUGUUGGAGAUGUUCUUAGACAGAAGUAGUGUACAACAAUGGGACAAGAAUAUGAAAUAACAGGCAAUAGUGGAUCAGAGUGUGGAGGACGGAAGUUUAUAUGGCGAUAGUAAGGUACGUCUAGGGAAAGGUCGCGGCAUGACAACCUAAAGUGGAAGCUAUUGAAGCUGCCAUGACUUGGUCAACAUGCAUUAGGACAAAAUUAGUUUUUUGAAAGUUGAUUGAAAGACCAGUGUCUAGGCCAAGUCUUCAAGAAUUCUUAGUCAAAUCAAGACUUAGUAAAACAGUACAUACACACUAUUAUGGCUCACUAAAGUGGAUAAUACGUUGCACGACUUAAUUGAUGACCAGUUAGUCCGACAAAUCAUCUCAGUGUAACUGUCUACGCAUCAAGAACAUAAUUAUUUAAGCUUGGAGUUUCUCCAGAGUGAAUUGUAUGUGUGAAAACCCCCAAAACACUAUAUAAACCGCAAAGAGCUUGAUUAAGUUUGCCUUUUCUUUUAUUGACAUGGUGUUCCGGAAGUUUACUUUUGGCAUUGGCGAUCAUAUUCAGCCAGGGAUGUAACUCCAAGGCUGAGACGAAGCACACAACGGAGCACCCAACAAAGAGUAAAACCUCACAACAUAGAGAAAACAGCUCCAGUUUGUCAAAUCCAGGCCUAACAAAACAAAUUAAAUCAAAUUAGCAAAGCAGUGGAGCCGCCAAUCUUACCUUGUAGGAGUACACUAUAGCGUACUGAAGUGGACGGUAAUACGUUACACUAAUUAAAUAAUGAUCAGUUAGUCCGCCAAGUCCUCUCAGUGUCGGCAUCAGAAUAUAUUUACUUACGGUAAUUAAUUAAUGAUCACUUAGUCCAACAAGUCCUCCCAGUAUAAGCAUCAAGAGUAUUAUUUAACACUGCAAGAAAGCCAAGAACACUAUAUAUACCGCAGAGAGCUUGGUUAGUUGCAGUUCAUCACAAGCCAUCUACGUACACGUACGUGGAGAAUAACACGCAUGGCUCCUCAUGCUCUCUCUUGGGUUAGUGUGCCUCUGCUCAUCUUCUUGGCGUCGUCGUCAUGCGUUGCAGCGAGGGGCGCUCGGACACCCAAAACUACUGACCCGACAGCCGGGUUCACGGUGGUGAGCCUCGAGGAGAGCAACUUCUCACUGCAGCGGCCUUUCGAUGAGGCAAGCGGCGCCCGGUACAGUUUCGACGGCACCGUCCGGACGCUGUGGGUGCUCUCCUCCGACAAGCCCCAUGCCCGGCAGAGCCAUACCAGCCCAAGAACUGAGAUCAAGAUGGAAGUAAGUUAGCUAUUACUACUACUACUCAUUUAUGUAUUUGUGAUUGUGAAUGUAAUUAACUAUAUAAUCAAAGAUCUUAUUGGUUGCUUUUGCUAUUCUUCUACCUGCAGGGAUACGACUACAGCUCCGGCGUGUGGCAAUUUGAGGGCCACGGCUACGUCCCCUCAGGCACGACCGGGGUGUCCAUCAUGCAGGUGUUUGGCGCCGGCGAGACAGCCACCACCCUCAUGCUGCACGUCUACAACGGUGCGCUGCGGUACUACGACCGCCAGGUCGUGGAAGACGACAUCUAUGACAGGUGGUUCCGGCUUAACGUGGUCCACGACGUGAAGGCAUCGACGCUCACCGUGUACAUCGACGGCAAGCAGAAGCUGCACGUCCAUGGCCGUGGUGGCCACUCACAUUACUUCAAGUUUGGUGUGUACGCGCAGAACCAUGACUCCAGGUGCAUGGAGUCUCGCUGGAAGGGGAUCAGGAUCUUCAAGAAAGAGUGACACAUUGAUUCAGAUUUUAUGGCCGAUUACAUAUUUUUCUGGGAUAUAAUAUAUUUAUGUUGUCGCCUUAUCAUAGUGAUUGUGUAUUAUUGUGGACUUAUGAUAUGUACUAAUACAUAUGAGGCUGAGUAUGUAUGUUAUUUGUUUGUGGUAAUUUAGUUUUUCUUUAAUGACCCGAUGAUGUUUUAGAUGUGAGGACAAUAUUCGUUACAGAAUGCGUACACAGUUUGCAUGCGUACAUGAAUAAGUUUGUAACUAAUGUAAAAACAUAUCCUGAGAAUGGGAAUAAAUUACAAUAAACCAAACUUGAACAAUUUGCACUUGACUGACACACAAUGUGCUUGAUUAAUUAGAAGGCGUAUGAAUUUUGUCUGAAGUCAAACAGUGUAAAGUUUAACGACAUUUUUAGUAAAAACUAUGAACAACUACAAUAUUAAUUAAUUAGAUAUGAAAAAAAUAUUGUAUAUUUAAUGAUAUUAUUUUGGUAUUGUAGUUCCAACCAAAUCCUGGAAGCAAUAUGAUUUAAUGACCUGAUGAUGCAUGUGAAAACAGUAUUCAUCACAGUACGCGUACAUAGUUACCAUUUUUGCAGAUGUAUACUUAGUAAAUAAUAUUCAAACUGGAACAAAUAUUGUUUCCCGGAAAUAGUCCGGUUUCUAAGCAGUGUAUGUUAAAACUUUUGCAAAACAUUCUCAAAUUUACAACAACAAAUUGAUGUCAUAUACGAGGGAACCAUGCCAAGUUUCAUGUUUUUCAAUUUUUUACGACAACAAAUUGAUGUCAUAUAAUGUCACAAUUUUCUAUAUCACGAACAUUUUUGAAUCAGUGAACAUUUUUUGGAAUAUGGGGACAUUUUUUGAAAUAUGGGAACAAUUUUAUAAAAUCCACAAACAUUUUUUUAAUCAACGAACUUUAAAAAAAUUGGAACAAUAUUUGAAAUUCAUGAUCAUAUUUUUUUGAAUUCAUGAAUGUUUUUAAAUUUUGCAAAAAAAAUUUAUUUUGGAAAGAUUUUAAUAGAAAGCGGGUGGAAAUCUAAAAAACCUAACAAAAAACCUCGUUUUCAACAAAGAAACGCUGAAAACCAAUACAAAUACAUUAGGCAAGCUCAGUAGCGCUCGCUGUCCUAGUUGGGCCAGAAAAAUUCAUGGAUGCAGGAGGAAGGGUGCGCAUUUCCUCGCUACUCCCCUCGUAGGUCAGGGUAUAGGAGAUCCCCUCCAUGACUUCUUUGGGUUGUAACAGCGGCGGAGCUUCACGGGGUCAACUUGGGCCACCCACCACCCCAGCCCAUGAAGAAAUCUCCUAAUACUCUUUAGUAUUUGGGCCCUAAGUGCGGUAAAAACAACCCAAACCUCGUAAUUUUGCCCACCCUCAGCCAUUUCCCCUUCAAAGAUUUGGCCCUAGCUCCGCCACUAAGUCAUCACAUUUCUAUAUGAAUCCGUCAUCAGAUGCCUUGAGUAAACAUCAAUUGAACCUGGCCUCAUUUUAUCACAUGCCCAGACAGUGGCACCUCUCCGCAAUGUAGCUCCUCGCUGCAUUGCAAGGAUGAAGGAGGCAAUGGUUGGCUUCAUCACCAGCAAUCGCAGGCCCACCGAGGUAGCCCACUGUGUAGGGACAACCCCAAUCAUCAUAGUGUACUCCGUGUACAUGAAAGAUCAUGGUGAUGCUGACAAUUUCUCCUAAAACAACCCAGAGAAAAAUAAUUGAAUAAAUUUCAACAGAGAAGCCGAUAUUAUAGGGAAGAACGCUAAUGGGUCGCCAUUCUCAAAGAGGAAGGUGCUAACGCUGGAAGUGGCAAUGGGGUACACCGCCAUUUCCAUGAUUUUUUAGAAAAGGAGGAUGACCACCGGCCUCUGCAUCUGGGAGAUGCAUACGACCACUUUAUUAAUUAUUCUCGAGGACCUUACAAAGUAUUACAAACAAUAUACCUGAAUCCACCAUCUUGGCAACAUAUGCCGCUACUCUUAUCCAUAUGAUGAAGGGAUGCUAGCUAGGCUCCUACCCAAACCACUCACCUAAACCUAACAUCAAAAGCCGGAAACGUCAGCCGAGCCACAUACCGGGUCUGGGGCACAAUCCGGUCAGACGCACUCUUGCGUCGUCGCCGUCAUCUUCCACAGGUCCGUCUUCAGAUAAUAUUGAGUCUUCUACCUUGUGAAGGCCACAUCAGCCAUCGACGUCACCAUGACGCCAGACAGCUACCUCCUCCUGCGCGAGUCCAUCCGCGCAUCGGACGCCGAGCCUCCACGGCACCAUGCCGCCAAUCUCCCCUGUCAUUGCCAUGAUGCCAAUCCCCGUCGUGUAGUCGGAUCUUCCUAAACCGGCUAAAAAGGUAUUUUAGUUAGUUUCCUACUUAUUUCUCUGCUCGUUAUUUUUUCAGUCCGUACAUUUUAGAAAACUGGCGCACUUAGUGGCAUUUUUGCUGCUGGUUUUCAUGAAACCGGUUGUAAUCAAAGUUUUAAAUAGCUGGCUAUAGAGGUUUGAGCAAGGUGCCACUAAAUAGUAUUCAUGUGUGACUGUUCAAUAAAAUUACAAAAUAGCGACCUAUAGCCCCACUAUGGCCGCGCUAUAGUUGUUUGAGCAUGGUGCGCUAUUUCAAAACUAUGGUUGUGACGAGGGAUCAAAAUUUGUUUUAUUAGUAGUGAAAGAAUUACAUAUUGAGAAAGUAGUCCAUAUGUAUAUUUAUGGCUUUCAAGUAUAUACAACCUAAACAUAAAAUAUCUGAACAUUUGCAGCGCCUCCUACUCCGCCAGGUCCGCGUCCGGCGCGACCGCCCUGCCGGCGGUGACAUGCUCCUCCACCUGGAGAUGCUCCUGAAGGAGGUUGUGGUUGUAGUUGGCGUCGGCCCGCGCCUCCCGGAACUGCUACUCCCGCACCAUGUCCAUAUAAUGGGCACGGGCCUUGCCGAUGGUCAUGGUGCAAUGCACCGGCGAGGGUGGAGCGAAGGAGGAGGGUGCCGCGGAAAAAGAGGAGGAUAGCGAUGGCUCGUUGGAGGAGGCGUCCUCCAUUUGCACGUCCUCUGGCUGCCUGCCGGCCUGCCAGUCAGCAGCAAUGGAAGCCAUGGCCUUCUUUUGCUCCGACGUAAGCCCGUCCCAGCGAGCUUUGGCUGCGUGGGUGUAGGACCUUGAAGUAUGUCUAGAGGGNNNNNNNNNNNNNNNNNNNNNNNNNNNNNNNNNNNNNNNNNNNNNNNNNNNNNNNNNNNNNNNNNNNNNNNNNNNNNNNNNNNNNNNNNNNNNNNNNNNNNNNNNNNNNNNNNNNNNNNNNNNNNNNNNNNNNNNNNNNNNNNNNNNNNNNNNNNNNNNNNNNNNNNNNNNNNNNNNNNNNNNNNNNNNNNNNNNNNNNNNNNNNNNNNNNNNNNNNNNNNNNNNNNNNNNNNNNNNNNNNNNNNNNNNNNNNNNNNNNNNNNNNNNNNNNNNNNNNNNNNNNNNNNNNNNNNNNNNNNNNNNNNNNNNNNNNNNNNNNNNNNNNNNGAUUAGACUACUUGACCAAUUAAAAACUUAACCUUUUUCCAAUUUUAGAGUUUGGCAGAUUUUAGCUAUCUUAGGACAAGUCAAGCAAUCAUCACACAAUUCAAGCAAGCAUGCAAGAGUAUAUAUGCAACGGAAAUUAAAGCAUGCAACUUGCAAGAAAGUAAAGGGAAGGGUUUGGAGGAUUCAAACGCAGUUGGAGACACGGAUUUUUUGGCGUGAUUCCGAUAGGUGGUGCUAUUGUACAUCCACGUUGAUGGAGACUUCAACCCACGAAGGGUAAUGGUUGCGCGAGUCCACGAAGGGCUCCACCCAAGAAGGGUCCACGAAGAAGCAACCUUGUCUAUCCCACCAUGGCCAUCGCCCACGAAGGACUUGCCUCACUAGCGGUAGAUCUUCACGAAGUAGGCGAUCUCCUUGCCCUUACAACCUCCUUGGUUCUGUUGGGGAAUGUAGCAGAAAUUCAAAAUUUUCUACGCAUCACCAAGAUCAAUCUAUGGAGUAAUCUAGCAACGAGGGGAAGGAGAGUGCAUCUACAUACCCUUUUAGAUCGCUAAGCGGAAGCGUUCAAGAGAACGGGGUUGAAGGAGUCGUACUCGUCGUGAUCCAAAUCACCGGAGAUCCUAGUGCCGAACGGACGGCACCUCCGCGUUCAACACACGUACAGCCCGGUGACGUCUCCCAUGCCUUGAUCCAGCAAGGAGAGAGGGAGAGGUUGAGGAAGACUCCGUCCAGCAGUAGCACGACGGCGUGGUGGUGGUGGAGGAGCGUGGCAAUCCUGCAGGGCUUCGCCAAGCACCGCAAGAGAGGAGGAGCACUUGGGAGAGGGGGAGGGCUGCGCCAGGGGCAAGGGUGAAGCUCCCGUGCGCCUCCCCACUAUAUAUAGGGGUGGAGGGGGCUGGUUUCUUGCCCUCCAAGUCCAUUGGGGCGUUGGCAAAGGUGGGAGGAAAGAAAUCACAUCAUUUCCUUCCCCACCGAUUGUUAUCCCCCCUUUUUAGGGAUCUUGAUCUUAUCCCUUCGGGAUAUGAUCUUAUUCCUUCUAAGGGGGGAUCUUGGUGCGCCUUGACCAGGGGUGUGGGGCCUUGCCCCCACUACCCACGUUCAUGUGGGUCCCCCCAUGCAGGUGGGCCCCACUCCAGAACCUUCUAGAACCUUCCCGGUACAAUACCGAAAAAUCCCGAACAUUUUCCAGUGGCCAAAAUAGGACUUCGCAUAUAUAAAUCUUUACCUCCGGACCAUUCCGGAACUCCUCAUGACGUCCGGGAUCUCAUCCAGGACUCCGAACAACAUUCGGUAACCACAUACAAACUUCCUUUAUAACCCUAGCGUCAUCGAACCUUAAGUGUGUAGACCCUACGGGUUCGGGAACCAUGCAAACAUGACCGAGACAACUCUCCGGCCAAUAACCAACAGCGGGAUCUGGAUACCCAUGUUGGAUCCCACAUGUUCCACGAUGAUCUCAUUAGAUGAACCACGAUGUCAAGGAUUCAAUCAAUCCCGUAUUCAAUUCCCUUUGUCUAACGGUAUUGUACUUGCCCGAGAUUCGAUCGUCGGUAUACCGAUACCUUGUUCAAUCUCGUUACCGGCAAGUCUCUUUACUCGUUCCGUAAUACAUCAUCCCGUGAUCAACCCCUUGGUCACAUUGUGCACAUUAUGAUGAUGUCCUACCGAGUGGGCCCAGAGACACCUCUCCGUUUACACGGAGUAACAAAUUCCAGUCUCGAUUCGUGCCAACCCAACAGACACUUUCGGAGAUACCUAUAGUGCACCUUUAUAGCCACCCAUUUACGUUGUGACGUUUGGUACACCCAAAGCAUUCCUACGGUAUCCGGGAGUUGCACAAUCUCAUGGUCUAAGGAAAAGAUACUUGACAUUAGAAAAGCUUUAGCAUACGAACUACACGAUCUUUGUGCUAGGCGUAGGAUUGGGUCUUGUCCAUCACAUCAUUCUGCUAAUGAUGUGAUCCCGUUAUCAACGACAUCCAAUGUCCAUGGUCAGGAAACUGUAACCAUCUAUUGAUCAACGAGCUAGUCAACUAGAGGCUUACUAGGGACAUGGUGUUGUCUAUGUACCCACACAUGUAUCUGAGUUUCCUAUCAAUACAAUUAUAGCAUGGAUAAUAAACGAUUAUCAUGAAUAAGGAAAUAUAAUAAUAACUAAUUUAUUAUUGCCUCUAGGGCAUAUUUCCAACAGGUUCAACUCCACAAUCUUAUCGGAGGCUCCCAAGUGACACCUAGCCAAUCUAGGAGACACCACUCUCCAAGAAGUAACAAAUGGUGCAUUGAUGAUGAACUCCUUGCUCUUGUGCUUCAAAUGAUAGUCUCCCCAACACUCAACUCUCUCUCAUAGGAUUUGGAUCUGGUGGAAAGAAGAUUUGAGUGGAAAGCAACUUGGGGAAGGCUAGAGAUCAAGAUUCAUAUGAUAGGAAUGGAAUAUCUUGGCCUCAACACAUGAGUAGGUAGUUCUCUCUCAGAAAUGGUGAGUUGGAAGUGUAGGUUUCGUCUGAUGGCUCUCUCUCAGAAUGAAGAGGAGGUGGAGGGGUAUAUAUAGCCUCCACACAAAAUCUAACCGUUACACACAAUUUACCAAACUCAGUGGGACCGAUUCAACAGACUCGGUCAGACCGAUUUAGUAAACCUAGUGACCGUUAGUGAUUUUCGGUGGGACUGACAUGCAACUCGGUAGGACCGAUUCGGUUAGGGUUAGGGCAUAACGUAAUCUCGGUAAGACCGAUUACAGAAACUCGGUGAGACCGAUUUUGGUAAUAAGCUUUCCAGAGAGUUGGUCAGGUAAACUCGGUGGGACCGACUUUCUCUUUUUGGUGAGACCGAAAUGUUACAAAAGGGAAACAGAGAGUUUACAUUGCAAUCUCGGUGGGACCGAUCGCUCACUUCGGUUUGACCGAAACGUUACGAAGGGAAACAAAGAUAUUACAAUCCCAUCUCGGUGAGACCAAGAUCCCUAUCAAUACAAUUAUAGCAUGGAUAAUAAACGAUUAUCAUGAACAAGGAAAUAUAAUAAUAACUAAUUUAUUAUUGCCUCUAGGGCAUAUUUCCAACAGGUUCAACUCCACAAUCUUAUCGGAGGCUCCCAAGUGACACCUAGCCAAUCUAGGAGACACCACUCUCCAAGAAGUAACAAAUGGUGCAUUGAUGAUGAACUCCUUGCUCUUGUGCUUCAAAUGAUAGUCUCCCCAACACUCAACUCUCUCUCAUAGGAUUUGGAUCUGGUGGAAAGAAGAUUUGAGUGGAAAGCAACUUGGGGAAGGCUAGAGAUCAAGAUUCAUAUGAUAGGAAUGGAAUAUCUUGGCCUCAACACAUGAGUAGAUAGUUCUCUCUCAGAAAUGGUGAGUUGGAAGUGUAGGUUUCGUCGGAUGGCUCUCUCUUAGAAUGAAGAGGAGGUGGAGGGGUAUAUAUAGCCUCCACACAAAAUCUAACCGUUACACACAAUUUACCAAACUCAGUGGGACCGAUUCAACAGACUCGGUCAGACCGAUUUAGUAAACCUAGUGACCGUUAGUGAUUUUCGGUGGGACUGACAUGCAACUCGGUAGGACCGAUUCGGUUAGGGUUAGGGCAUAACGUAAUCUCGGUAAGACCGAUUACACAAACUCGGUGAGACCGAUUUUGGUAAUAAGCUUUCCAGAGAGUUGGUCAGGUAAACUCGGUGGGACCGACUUUCUCUUUUUGGUGAGACCGAAAUGUUACAAAAGGGAAACAUAGAGUUUACAUUGCAAUCUCGGUGGGACCGAUCGCUCACUUCGGUUUGACCGAAACGUUACGAAGGGAAACAAAGAUAUUACAAUCCCAUCUCGGUGAGACCAAGAUCCCUAUCGGUAGAACCGAUUUGCCUAGGGUUUGUGGCAGUGGCUAUGACAUUUGAACUCGGUGGCGCCGGAUAGGAAGAAUCAGUGUGACCGACUUUGGCUUUGGGUUUAGGUCAUUUGUGGAUGUGAGAAAGUAGCUGAGGGUUUUGGAGCAUAUCACUAAGCACAUGAAGCAAGAGGCUCAUUAAGCAACACCUCAUUCCUCCUUGAUAGUAUUGGCUUUUCCUAUAGACUCAAUGUGAUCUUGGAUCACUAAAAUAUAAAAUGAAGAGUCUUGAGCUAAUGAGCUUGAGCCAAUCCUUUGUCCUUAGUAUUUUGAGGGAUCCACUUUCAUCAUCCAUGCCAUGCCAUUCAUUGAGCUUUCGUAAAAUAUUAGUCUUGGAAUAGCAUUAGCUCAAUGAGCUAUAUGUUGUUAUGAAUUACCAAAACCACCUAGGGAUAGUUGCACUUUCAAUCUCCCCCUUUUUGGUAAUUGAUGACACAUAUAGAUCAAAGCUUCGACAAAUGAUAAUAAGAUUGAAAAACAUCGUCGCUUUGAGAAGUAUGUGAUAAGCAAGAGCUCCCCCUAAAUUUAUGCAUAGUUUAAGAUUUGCUUUGGACUGCAAAUGCACAAGGAAUUAGGCUCAUGGGUUACUCUUCCAUGUCACAUAUAUCUUGGUGGAGCGCUCAAAAUGAUAAAGAUUGAAUACAUGCACUCAUCACCAAGCAAAGUGAAUGAUCACAUAGGAUAGAUAGGAUAAUAUCAUCAAACAUGCAUAAGUGUAGCUUAUGAUCAAACACAUGAUCAUCAAUGUCUCACAAGAAUAGCAUAGUAUAUCAAGCAAUCAAAAGCAAACAAGUUUAAAACCACCAAAGCAAGAGAGAACAAAAGCAACUCUCUCUCUCUCUCUCUCGAAGCCUAUGAUCUAUACAUUUUUCUCCCCCUUUGGCAACAAGUUACCAAAAAGUUCAUAGAAAAUGCAUAGUGUUAGAUCGACUCUCAGGCUUGAUCUUCAGUUGGUGGUGUAGAGAUGGCUCCUUGGAUGAAGGCUCCAGUUGAUGUAGAGGGAGCUGGAGGAGUUGGUGCUGGAGGUGGUUGUACUGGAGCUGUAGGAGCUGUGGCUGGUGCAGAUGAUGUUGCUCUAGUGUAUGUCACUGGCACUGCAGCUGACCUCUGAGCUCUAGGCACUCUGAAAAAUACAUUAGUGGUAGUCUUGCCCUUCCUCUCCUGCAUGUCAUCCUGCAGCUGCUCCUCAACUGACUGAAUCUCAGUUACCUUGACAUCAAGAUCAUAGAAUUUUUGUUCCAUGAUUCUUUCUAAGCUCUCCUGAUUCUGAGUUAAGGUGGCCAACCCCUUCUCAAUCCUUAGUGUUGAUGCUAUCAAGUAACCAAGCUGCUCCUGCUUGUUCUUCAAGAAAUACUCAGAUGCCUCCUCUUGAGUUGGCAUCUUGGCAGCCUUCUCCUUGCUUGCCUUCUCCUUCUUCUCUUGAGCUUGAACUGAUGAUGGAUCAUCCUCAUUCAUGACAACCUCAUAGUCCUCAAAGUCUGGAUAGAGAGGAAAAUGUUCCCUAUCCAAUAGAUAUUUGCUUGUGCCCAUCUUUGAGUUAAUCAACUCCUGAAUCCGAGGGGCAUAUCCACAACUCCUCUUAUGAUCUGCUGCAGUCCUCUUAAUAGUUUCUACUAUAAGGCUCAUGACCUUGAAUUUCUGAGGCACAUCAAACAAAUGCAACAUGUUGAUUGCAUGCCCUCUGAUCAUGUUGUGGUCACCAUACUUAGGCAAUAGAGUGUGCCUUAGGAUCCACUUUAUUGUAGGCAGCCCUAACAUAAGAAAGUGGACUGAUCCAAAAGAGAAAGUCUCUAGGGCCUUGUCUGGGAUCUCCUUGUACAUAUGUGCCAUGGUAUUAUGUCCCAUUUUCUUCUUGGCAUAUACAUCCAGGUCAUCAUCAUUUUCCUUUGGGGCAUUUAUCAGUUUUGCCCACUCCUCAACAGUUGACUGGUACCUUGUACCUUCAGACAUCCAAACUAUCCUUCCAUCUGGAUAGAAGUGUGCUGUGGAGUAGAAUUGCAUAAUGAGUUCAUCAUUCCAAUUUGUGAGCUUCUGCCCAACAAAAUCUGCAACUCCAUAAGCAACAAACUGUCUUGUACUCCUGGAUAGUGUUCUUCAUUUUCCUUCAUGUAGGUCCAGUCGACCCACCUCAUAUCACAACAAUGGGCUUUUUGUCCAACAAGAUUGUCUCAUAGAAGUCCCGCUGUUCCUUUGUAUGGAACUUGUAAUCAAUAGCAAUUCUUCUCCUUGUGGCAUAUGGAUCUGCCAUCCUCCAUAGCCUCAACCCUGAAUCUUUUCUGAUGUUCAUGUCCUCAUCUACAAGAUGGGCAUCAUUAUGGUCUGGUAUCUUGGGCUUGAGCUUCCUCAGAACUUGUCCUUCUUCAUCUUCCUCCUCAGCAGCCUCAGGCACUGGGGCCUUGUUCUUCUUAGCAGCUGAAAUACUCCUGGUAUUCCUCUUUGGUGCAUACUUGGCCUUGGGGGCAGCUUUGGGUGCUUCCUUGGGCUUAGAUGUUGUAGCCCCUGAUCUAAUAGCAUCUCCCAUAAGCUUUGGUGCCUUUGGUGCUGGUGCAGCAAGAUCUUCUUCUUCCAUCAUGGAAGGUUGCCCAACUACUCUGGCCAUGGUCUUCUUGACCCUUUCCUUCCUUUUCUUUCCUUCAGCAGCUGGCUCUUCAGGCAUCUCAGGCAGUUGAGUUGAUGCUCUGGCUUUGGACAUUGGUUGUCUCCCUGCAGGCCUUUUGAUCUUCAUGCCUGGCUUUACUGCAGUUGAACUAAGCACCUUCUUGUGCACUACCUUCUUGGAAGUAGCUUCAUCCUCUUCAGAUCUAUAAUCCUCAUCUUCAGAGUCUGAAGUUCUCUUCUUCCUUUGCCUGGUAGCAGCCUUAGGCAGGUUGCUAGGAGUGCUCCUGCUGCCUUCAUCUGAAGUGCUGGAGGGACUAGUGCCCUCACUCAUUUGCAUAUGCCCUUCUGACCUGUUCUGACUGUCACUCUGGUUUGACAUGCUGCAAACUCUGACUGCUGACCCUGUGAAGAGUUAUAGAUGAGAUGGAGUGGAUGAGCAUCACAAAAUGCAGAGAUUUUUGCAAAAGAAUGAUUCAAAAAUUCAGUUUUAGUUUUCCACAGAAAGCAUUUCGGAUCAACCGAUUUUCACACUAGGUGAUACCGAAGCAGUUUUGGAACCUAAACUAAUGAACUCAGUUGGACCGAGUCACAGUUCGGUGGCACCGAGAUUGCUAGGGUUUCACAAAGUCCUAAAAUCGGUAGCACCGAUUAGCAAUUCUCGAUCAGAGCGAGAGUUACUAGUGCAAUGGCAUAAGCCAAAUCGGCGGGACCGAGUUUUUCAACUCGGUGGGUCCGAGAUGGUUUCGGCGGAAACCUAACCCUAAAUUUUCAAAUCUCAUCUAAUCUACGGAUUGCAUUGACUGGAUCGGAGUGUUUCAAUCGUGGCAAGAAUCAAUAAGAACACAAUGUGUUAGCAAUCGGACGAGGAUAGCACAGUGAUCGAGUCCAUACCCUAGCUUGGCGAUGAACUCGCUACGGCGGCAACGGCGGGGUUGAAUUCUGUUGAUGGCGGCGGAGACCAGCGACAGGAGGCGGCUGGCGACGAGGAGACGAUCCGGAGACCUUGGAGGCAGAGCGAGCUAUUGCACGGGCGAAGGGUUUCGGAGAAAUUUCCAAAUUUUGCUCGUGACUAUAUAUAGCCCGACCCUGUCGAUGUGACUGAGUGGAACAAGUCAGUGGCACCGAGAUGCAUAACUGUGUUCAGUUGCAGCAACUCGGUGUGACCGAAAAGUUCAAAUCGGUUGCACCGAGAUUAAAAACCUAGAUCGACUUAGUGAUCUCGGUAGGACCGAAAUGGAGGAAUCGGUCAGACCGAGAAUCACAAAGAAGUUUUGGAAGUUUAAGUCUAUGACGAAUCAGGGACUCCGAGUGCUCCUCACACAGAGUGGUUCGAAUCUGACUUGAUCAAAUUUUGUGAUGUAGCAUGAAUAGAGUUUGAGAGAGAAAAGCAUAGAUAGCUAGAGAAAGUUCUUAGGCAUUCUUGUCCAUCCACUUGGCCAAAAGAAGGAAGAACCAAACAAUCAAAACAACAAGUGAAUGUCCUUGAAUGAGUAAAUAUGCACCAACAUGCUCACACAAUAAGAUGGCAAAUGAAAUAUGUGGCAAAGCAUGCACAACCAAUUCUAGCAUCUAUCAAACAAUUGGCGAUGACUAGGUCAUCUAUAUAUGAGUAUAUUGACUUAGGAGUCAAAUGAUAAACAUUUGAUCAUAGGUCAUACUCAUCGUUUAAGCCCAAGUGGGGUUACCACUUUUACAUAAUGCAUUGAUGUGUUCACACCAUUAGAGUUGCUUUGACUCAAGUCUUACAGUUAAGCUCCCCCUAGAUGUGAGAUCCCCUUUUAGAGGGAUGAACUAACCUUGGGUUUUGUCGAUGAUGACUUCAUGUAGGUGUUGAAGAUGUGGAUGCUCAAUGUUGAUGUAGAUCAUUUGGAGCAAUCCAUUGGAGUGAGUUGCACUUUCAACAUACCUACAUGGGUUAGUCCCACAAGGAACAAACAAGAAUAUCCAUAGACAUAGAGUGAUGCACACACAAGAUGAUGUCCAUGAAAACAUUAGUUUACCUUGUUCCUUGCCUUACCAACAUGAGGGUUUGUGACUCCUUGAACUAGUGCAAGAUGUGGAAGUUGAUUGCACUUGUCCUUGCCAUAAUAAUAUGAGUGAAGAAUGUUGGCGGAGUCACCCUCAAGAACUCUCUAGUUCUUCUUCUUCGGGAUCCACAUCAUCUUGAUGGGAAUCCUUUGAGUUGUAGUUGUACUUGAUGAAGUAGAACUUGACGUAGUCAUGGGAAUCCACUUGACCGAGACCUUAGGUGCUUCUUCAAAUGCAUUAAUCUCUUCUUGAAGCUUGUCCUUGCCUUUGUUCUUGUGGUCUUGUGGUGGAAGAUCAUCUUGAGCUUGUGUUCCCUUGAAGGAAGUAGGAUCAUACUUCUCUUGUUGAGGAACAAACUUUGUCUUGGGGUAUUGAUCUUCUUCCCACUCAACUCCAUUGGCAUUGAACUUUCGUUCAAAACCAACACCUUGAUUCUUCCAGUGCCUUCCUUGCUUGCGUACAAUUUCCUCGAAUUGCUUACUCCCGGCAAGGCUCUUGUAAACACCUUUCUCUAUAAUUCCCUUCAAUAAGCUAUUUUCUUGCUCAAGUGUAACUUGGCUAAGAGAAUCAUUAGUGGAAUCAAGAGAACUACUAGAAGCAACAAUAUUGGAUUUGACAUUGUUAUUGUUACUACUAGAGGAAGUAUUUUUCUUGUACUUGUUACUAGACUUGACUUGAGGCAUGUAAGUAGAUAGGAGUAAACGCUUGGCAAUGUAAGAAGAACUUUUCUUAUGAAGAUCAUCAUUGAUUGCUUUUAAGAACUCAUGCUCUUGCUCAAGAUUGAGCUUUUCAAAGCGUAACUUAUCAUGAGCCCUUAAAAGUUCUUGAUGAUUUUCGAAUAUAGUUUCAUGAGCCAACUUAAGAGUGUUUAGUUCUUUAGUUAGAAGCUCAAUCUUAUCCUUAUCAUUGUCAUUCGUUUUAUCUUGAUUAGCUUGAUUAAUUGACGUUUCAUCAUAGUAUUCAUCACUAGAGUUGUCAACAAGUAAAUCAUCAUCCACAAGCAAGUAAUCUUCUUCACUAUUGAAAUCAACAUACUCAGGAUGUGUUACCUUUGGACCUUUGGCCAUGAAGCAUCUUCCAAUUCUUCAUUGGUGAAUCAAAUAUGUCGUAGGAGUUGGUCGACACAAGUGCUAGACCGGCAACACCUUCAUCUUGAGUAUAUUCGGAGUCGGAGUGAUAGCUUCUCUCGGAGUGUUUGUCAGAGUCGGAGCCGGAAACCCAUUCACCAACAUGAGCUUGAUGUCUUUGUUUUGUGUAGCUCCUUGAUGACUUGUCCUUCCUUUCCGAAUCUUUGCUUCUCCGUGAGGAUCAUCGUUCAUAACGAUCAUCUCUACUCCUUCUCUCUCUUGGUGGUGAUUCUUCUCUUCUACUUCUUAUUUUUGGAGAAUCUUCUCUUCUUUUGUAGGGUGCCGUACACUCAUUGGAAUAGUGUCCAGGCCUCCCACAAUUGUAGCAAUUGCGCUCUCGACUAGAAGAUCUUUUGUCAUGGUAAGACCUUGACUUGGAGCUUCUUUCUUUGCUUCUACUCUUGUAGAAUUUGUUGAAGUUCUUCACCAUUAAGCUCAAUUCUUCAUUGAAGGUUUGUUUCUCACUUGAUGAUGUGGGGGCUUCACUUGAGGCUUUGUAAGCACCACUUGACUUGUUGUGAAGUUCCUCCUUAUCCUUGAGUGAUGUCUCAUGAGUAACAAUCCUUCCAAUGACUUCCGUUGGCUUGAGAUCUUUGUAGUUUGGCAUCAUUUGGAUCAAUGUGCACACGGUAUCAUACUUUCCAUCCAAUGCUCUUAGGAUCUUCUUGAUGAUGAAUCUGUCGGUCAUCUCUUCACUCCCUAAGCCAUCAAUCUCAUUUGUAAUAAGAGCAAUCCUAGAGUACAUUUCAGCGACACCUUCACCAUCCUUCAUUUUGAACUUGUCAAGCUGACUUUGGAGCACAUCCAACUUGGAUUCCUUGACGGAUUCGGUACCUUCGUGCAUAUCAAUAAAAGUGUCCCAAAUUUCCUUUGCAUUCUCAAGACGGCUGAUUUUGUUGAAUUCUUCGGGGCACAAUCCGUUGAAGAUGAUAUCACAAGCUUGAGCGUUGUAUUGUAGCAUCUUCAAUUCUUCCGCAUUAGCUUCACGGUUCGGCUCUCUCCCAUCAAAUAAUUCACCUUGCAAGCCAAUACAAAUAAUAGCCCAAACGGCGGGGUUAUGUCCGAGAAUAUGCAUUUUCAUCUUAUGCUUCCAACUAGCAAAAUUAGUACCAUCAAAGUAAGGACCUCUACGGUGAUAAUUUCCCUCGCUAGACACCAUACUCUCCUAGGUUAUGAAACCGAGGCUAUGACCACCAAAAGCUAUGGAAAUCAAAGCAAAUGGAGACAAAAGCUCUAAUACCACUUGUAGGACCUUGAAGUAUGUCUAGAGGGGGGGGGGGUGAUUAGACUACUUGACCAAUUAAAAACUUAACCUUUUCCCAAUUUUAGAGUUUGGCAGAUUUUAGCUAUCUUAGGACAAGUCAAGCAAUCAUCACACAAUUCAAGCAAGCAUGCAAGAGUAUAUAGGCAGCGGAAAUUAAAGCAUGCAACUUGCAAGAAAGUAAAGGGAAGGGUUUGGAGGAUUCAAACGCAGUUGGAGACAUGGAUGUUUUUGGCGUGGUUCUGAUAGGUGGUGCUAUCGUACAUCCACGUUGAUGGAGACUUCAACCCACGAAGGGUAACGGUUGCGCGAGUCCACGGAGGGCUCCACCCAAGAAGGGUCCACGAAGAAGCAACCUUGUCUAUCCCACCAUGGCCGUCGCCCACGAAGGACUUGCCUCACUAGCGGUAGAUCUUCACGAAGUAGGCGAUCUCCUUGCCCUUACAAACUCCUUGGUUCAACUCCACAAUCUUGUCGGAGCCUCCCAAGAGACACCUAGCCAAUCUAGGAGACACCACUCUCCAAGAAGUAACAAAUGGUGCAUUGAUGAUGAACUCCUUGCUCUUGUGCUUCAAAUGAUAGUCUCCCCAACACUCAACUCUCUCUCAUAGGAUUUGGAUCUGGUGGAAAGAAGAUUUGAGUGGAAAGCAACUUGGGGAGGUCUAGAGAUCAAGAUUCAUAUGGUAGGAAUGGAAUAUCUUGGCCUCAACACAUGAGUAGGUAGUUCUCUCUCAGAAAUGGUGAGUUGGAAGUGUAGGUUUCAUCUAAUGGCUCUCUCUCCGAAUGAAGAGGAGGUGGAGGGGUAUAUAUAGCCUCCACACAAAAUCUAACCGUUACACACAAUUUACCAAACUCGGUGGGACCGAUUCAACAGACUCGGUUGGACCUAUUUAGUAAACCUAGUGACCGUUAGUAAUUUUCGGUGGGACUGACAUGCAACUCGGUAGGACCGAUUCGGUUAGGGUUAGGGCAUAACGUAAUCUCGGUAAGACAGAUUACACAAACUCGGUGAGACCGAUUUUGGUAAUAAGCUUUCCUGAGAGUUGGUUAGGUAAACUCGGUGGGACCGAUUUGCUCUUUUCGGUGAGACCGAAAUGUUACAAAAGGGAAACAGAGAGUUUACAUUGCAAUCUCGGUGGGACCGAUUGCUCAGUUCGGUUUGACCGAAACAUUACGAAGGGAAACAGAGAGAUUACAAUCCCAUCUCGGUGAGACCGAGAUCCCUAUCGGUAGAACCGAUUUGCCUAGGGUUUGUGGUAGUGGCUAUGACAUUUGAACUCGAUGGCGCCGGAUAGGAAGAAUUGGUGUGACCGAUUUUGGCUUUGGGUUUAGGUCAUUUGUGGAUGUGAGAAAGUAGCUGAGGGUUUUGGAGCAUAUCACUAAGCACAUGAAGCAAGAGGCUCAUUAAGCAACACCUCAUCCCUCCUUGAUAGUAUUGGCUUUUCCUAUAGACUCAAUGUGACCUUGGAUCACUAAAAUAUAAAAUGAAGAGUCUUGAGCUAAUGAGCUUGAGCCAAUCCUUUGUCCUUAGUAUUUUGAGGGAUCCACUUUCAUCAUCCAUGCCAUGCCAUUCAUUGAGCUUUCCUGAAAUAUUAGUCUUGGAAUAGCAUUAGCUCAAUGAGCUAUAUGUUGUUAUGAAUUACCAAAACCACCUAGGGAUAGUUGCACUUUCAGUGGGGAUCCAUGACGGGGAGUGGUGUGGAGAGGGAUGACUGUGGCUAUGGCCGGGGGACCAGGGCAAUGGUUUAUAUAGCACCGGUGGGCGGCAGUCGAAGGGACGAGUGGCGUCGGAGGAGACGCCCCGGCAACCGCGUGCCAUGAAUACGGACGGUAGGGCAGCCGUCGUGUUGUCUGAACAUAUGGCAGCCGCUUGCACUGGGAAGUGGCGUGGGCGGCGCUCUCUCGACUGGCGCCCUGCUUCAAUGCCGGCGCUAGUGAGUGGUCGUGUUCGCUUUGGGCGGCAAUGAAUGCGGGCGCUGACGUAAAAUGCGUGAGAGAGGUGAUGGGUUUUGGUCGGCCAGGGCGGUCAGAAAUGGGCUUGGGAUCGAUCCGUACUCCUGCAAACCUCCCCCACUUUUGUCUCUAGUUUGCAGGAGAAAUCGCGUCCGACCUUGUCGCGGACCGACACAUGCCCACGUUAGAUGGCUUCCACGAUCCGGACAUCGUAGUUUGGACCAUUCCGGGAGGUUUGCGGGUCGGCGUUGGAGAUGCCCUAACAAUACUUAUGCAAGACUACACUUUUACUUAAGAAAAAAACAAGAUGGGCUAGUUUGGCAGCAAAGUAUUUUCUAAACUGUGGUAAUUGAAAACCACAAUAUUACUCUGGGUGGGCAAAGAAUACUACGGUUUUCUAAAACCAAUGUUUUUCUCAGUUUUACAUGUGUUUGGUUGCUGUUAUUUAACCAAAGUUUUGACUAAGUAUUUUAGCGUGGGUGACUGAGUAGUUAGCGCUGCUAACGGCUGCCGGCUGCAUGCAGCUGCCAUGCACACAUAAUACCAUUCUAGGAUCAGUCAGCUAGAUUGAAGAAAUGCCAUCCUAGGAGUAGUCAACUGGAUUGAAGUAAUACAAUCCUAGGAGCGUGUUGCCAUUAUAUGUCUAUAUACUUGCAUGUACUUAUCGAAAAAGGCUUUCGCCCCGCUUUAUAUAUAAAGCAAAGAUUCACAGUGUCCGGUACAACUGCACUUACCCACCACAAACACACACACACAUCCAAGACAGGAUACAUAGGCGCUGAUGAAGCCAUGUACCUAGGGUAGGGUCAUGGACCUAUCCAAGAUACCCUCCCCAAGGACAUCUCUAGAAGAAACUACCUUUCAGUCGACCUGGAAGGAUUCCACUCGACAGACUCGAAGACACUCGACCAUGAAGCCACUCACUCGACCGCCAGGAGAUCUAGAGUCACUCUGCACACAAACGGUCUGUUAUUAAGUAGUCUUUAUGGUCAUGAUAGCACUUUAUGUAGGGCGUUACCAGUAACGCCAUGCCUUAAUGUACUUUAAACCCCGCAUAACUGAGGGCCGGAGGGGUCUGGCAGAUUCUAUAUAAGCCACCCCCCUCCUCAGUGUAAAGGGUUUGCACCCCUGUAACUCAUACGCAUAUAAUCCAGUCGACCGCCUCCGGGCUCCGAGAUGUAGGGCUGUUACUUCCUCCGAGAGGGGCCUGAACUCAUAAAUCCCUUGCGUAUACAACUACUCCAUAGCUAGGAUCUUGCCUCUCCAUACCUACCCCCCUUCUACUGUCAGACUUAGAACCACGACAGGCGCUGAACGCAGCAACACACACCCUAGCACUACAAGAGCCGCCGGGGGCAUCAUCCGAAGAAGUGAAGCCGCAUAUGAUGAAACGUGGGCUCCAAGGUGGUGCCUUCAGAAAGGAUACGACACCGGAGCGUCGCCACCGCCCGAUCCGAGGAUCAGAGUUUCCCCUGGAGCACCACGACCGACAGUGAUAGCCGCGAUGACGCCUUCAAGAAGGGAGCGAUCUUCGCCGUCGCCAGUCCGUCCGAAGAUAGAGUAGGUUUUCACCCCGGCCAACAUUCACCGCUACCGAACGCCACACCCCGGCUACCACGCCGCCCACACGGCCGUGGCAGCCGGGCAACACCGAGGCACGAGCUCUGCCCAUGAGCACCGCGCCACCACCCCCAGGGCCGCCGCCUCGGAAUCCAAGACCUUGACACCAAGUCCCCCGAGCCCCACCGCUACCCCCACUGCAGAGACGGGCGGAAAGGAUCCGCCUUUCACACCCCUGGCCGGUCCCAACGCCGAGACCCAAUGGGUUGGCCACAACAAGCCUCCAUCGAGCCGUCCUUUACACCGGGCGCGAGACGGGCCGGCCCUGCUGCCGGGCGCGAGACAUGCAUGUACUUCGAGCCGGUCCUAAAUUCUUUGUGCGUGUACAUGCGCCAUUUAUACUGAAUCAGCUAGCUAGCUAGUAUAUAUAACCUGCUGCUUAUGAGUGUUCUCCAAAAGGAUCAAUCAAUCUAAUUCGUGCGCUACUCGCCGGAAAUACAUAGGCAGCCAAGGACUCGAGAAAUAGCUUGCUGCGAACAGAGUGUUCUCCCUGGUGGUGAGCUUGAUUCAGUCAUGGCACUGCAGAGAAGAGAUGGAGACUCGCACGCGACGCGCCAGCUGGAAGAUAAACUAAUCAAACUGAAUCGGCUAUAACCAGGAGAUAUAAUAUGGUCGUUUAUCAUAUAAGAGAAAGAGGAAAAAUAUGAUGGGAUCGCUCUGAAUAUUCUUAUCUAGACGUAGACGGCAACGUCAAGUGCGAUCUCCCAGAAGAUUUCUCUCCGUUCUGUUUUAAAAAAAGAGGUCGGGACCUCUUUUCCGAAUACUGCAAAAAGACCAUGGUUUCUAGCAUACUGUGGUUUAUAAAACUUUGGUUUUUUCUGAAGCCAAACGCAGCAAAGUAUUCAAAACCAUGGUAUUUUUCAGAAACCACGGUAUUCUCAGAAAACUUUAAAAAAACUUUGCUGCCAAACGCAGCCUAAAGGGUUUCCCCGCUUUAUAUUAUGCAAGACUUACACUUUUACUUUUACUGAGCGAAGGGAGUAAUGAUGUGACACUCAUGGUAAUAUAUUGCAACGAUAUCACGAAGUACUCCAACAUUACAACAGCGAUGCAUGCAUGCAUCCUGACAGCAGGUCAUAACAAGAACACUAAUUUGUGGCAACAAUAGUACACUCUAUAUUGCCACACAUCACUUCUCUCGGUAAUAUUUCCAUGCAUGUACUACAGCAAUAUUUUGUUUCUGCUGCAGUAACCUGCAUGUCAUAUUGCAAGCUAGAGAAUUAUUAAGUACUAGUACUAAAAGUAAGUGAAGGGAAAACCGUACGUGGCAAUGGAACUGCCACGGAUUAUUCGUCGUUGCAAUACUACCAUUAGCAAGAUCAUCAUUCUGCGAGAAGAGUGGAGUUGGUGGCGAUGGCCUCGGCGAAGACACCAUCGCAGCCGCCGCUCUGGCAGCCUGCACCGCAGUAGCCGGGACCGAUGCCACAGGAUCCCCACUUGCUACAGCAGUAGUUGUUAGUGCAAACCCUGCCGCCGGCGUCCUUGCCACAGGGCUUGUCGGUGCUGCAAGCGCCGUUCUGGCAGCCCUCGCCGCAGAACUCGGAACCGAGGCCGCAGUACCCCCACUGGCUGCAGCAGAGGUUGUUCGGGCACAGCUUGCCGCCGGCCUGGCUGCCGCACUUGAUGUCGGCGCGGCAGGGGCCGCCCUGGCAGCCGGCGCCGCAGUACUCCGCGCCGAAGCCGCAGUGCCCGUACUGGCUGCAGCAGUGGUUGUUGGGGCACGUCUUGCCGCCGGCCUGGCUGCCACAGCGCUUGCUGGUCCAGCAGGCGCCGUUCUGGCAGCCCUUGCCGCAGUAAUCGCCGCCCAUCCCGCAGUAGCCGUACUGGCUGCAGCACAGGUUGUUGGGGCACUCCAUGCCGCUGCCCUGCUCGCCGCACCUUUGGGCCUGAGCGGUCGCCGCGGCGAAGGCGAGGACGGCAGCCGCGCCGAGCGCGAGGGCCCUGGUGCUCAUCAUCUUCAUCCUUUUUGUUUUCUUGGUGCUGGUUGUGCACUUGUGUGUGUGUGUGGAGUAAACAGGUGAUGAUCCCCCUUUAUAUAGGGGUUCUGAUCACAGUCGAAUUCGACGUGGCAGCUCGCCAUGCAUGGGGCGCAGACACGUGUUCGCCCAUAUUCAACGAAAUUAACCUGAUCGAGGAGUGUACGUGUUAAUGCAUGUGAUAUGAUGCCAGAUCCGUUUUUGAUGGAUGCGGCAGUACGACUACGUACUUGUGUAUGAAGUCUAAUUAGUGCUUGCAUUGCAUGAGACAUGCAUGGAGCGCGGGCUAUUAGAGUACUGUAGUUAGGACUAGUACAAAUAUAUGUAUAUGCAUGUGAUUACGUGUAUCGAAACUUCGUAGUCCCAACGGACACGUCGCGUGCAUAUAUAGCAUCUGACCUUAUCGUUGUGAACUCUGAGAAACGUUGUGCUCUGCGUCCAUGCAUUAUGUGAUCCAGAUCUUAUCUUCUCUUUUCUUUUCAUGAGAGCGCGAACUAUGAUGCGAGAUGUAGUUUUGAGAGUCGUGUGCGCGUGACAUGCAUGUGGCAUGGAGAGCAAUGCAUUCACGCGAUCAUUCAAUGGCAAUGGCAGUGUCAUCUCGCAUCGGAUAUCCUUCUCUCCUUUUUUUUGCGGUAUGAGAAAUUAGCUAUAGGUUCUUAUUAUAUUUACAUUUUACCACAUCCAUCAACAAAAAGAUGACCAAACGUAAAAGAAAUCAGUUUUGUUAGGAGUAUUGCAAUGGCCAAGAACAACUCUAGCAGGGUCGUCAUCUGUCAUAUAGAGGCCGUGGCUGGUGUGGGCAAACACAGAGUCAUCAUAAUGCGGUGUCUAUAUCUUUUCAUUUAUUUGAUCUUUUUUUGUUGUUGUCUUCAUAAAAGGCAGGGACAAUUUAAGCUUAAAUUAGGCAUACCAAAUGCAUGUUUCAACAAGGUAGAUUAAUAAAAACUAUAUUAGUGGACAAAAUCUGCUGCUUUAAUUAGCAACUACAAAUGUUGUUUAACAACAUUUUUUAACCUAAGCAAUGUCGUUAGUCGAGCGACAUUGCUACAUAUACGUUCUACACUACUAGGUGGUCAGUGCCUUCUAGUCGGUGCCCCGUCACCGCCAUCGUCGUCUUCCUCCUCCUCCGUGGAGGAGAUAUCCUCAUCCACGCGUAGGGGUAACCGCAAACUGCCCUUUUUUCUCCUAGACGGUGUGUGUGGGUCAUACUCAUGAAUGAUCUGCGCCUUGUUGCGAGCUUGGAGGGUGAUGAGCUCAAGCACGUCGUUGAUCGGGACCUCAGGCUCCACCUUUGGCUUCGGUUGGGCCGCGACGGGGGGAGGGGGCGUCGUUCACCCAAACGAGGGGGCGGGCCGACGAGGACGGCCUCCUCCUCCUCAUUCACCCGGAUGAGUGGCAGUCUCCCCCCGCGGCCGUCGCCAAUGCCACGAGAUGCAUUGGGUUCAUCAUCGCCGCGGGAGGAGGAACCGACGACCGCCACCGUUAGUUCUCUGCGAGGAGUGUUCGCCCCGCAGUUGCAAGGCGUCUAUGAAGGGGCAUUCCGCUCCACUGGUACAUUCAGCCAGCAGGUUGCAGUUCGACGUGGCGACAUUGUUGCUACGAGAGGAGGAGAUGAUCAGAGGGGGGAGAUAAUGAGGAGGAGAUGGGAGAUGAGGGGUGACAGCCGGGGCUUGGGGGAUGGGGACGCCUCGCUGCCGGGCAUUUAUAGCCAGGGAUGAAGCAGUGUAGCCAUCCGAAUGACCGCCUUGGGAAUCGAGUGAAGCAGUGUUGGGGAACAUAGUAGAAAAUACAAAAAAAUGUCCAACGAUCACGAUCCAUGAAUACUAUGAAGAUGCAUAAGAGGUUUAGAUCGGAUCGUUACUAACUUCGAGUUGCGGUGGAAAAACAGUUUGUGUAGACCAUUGACGAAGUCUCUCCAACCGAAGACUAAAAGCACGACCUCUCUAUGGAUUGCAGUUAUACAGGCUUCACGAUCCGGCAGCGCUUCGCCAUCCAGAGCUAAUCGUCGCCGAAGAAUUAGAGGGAGAAGAAGAGAGCCACACAGAGCUUCUCUAUUAUGAGGAUUAGAGAGAUCUAGGUCUAGCUCUAAUUAGAACAACUCUGAAUUAGAAGUAGAAACAGAGAGCUGGAGGAAGCUCCAAAAACUAGUGUGUCUCAAGGGGCAAAAUCCUCGUAUAUAUAGGUGUAGGGGCGAGGAGAGGGGGCACCACACAAGGGAGGGAGACUAUCCUCCUUGGUGCAUCAACCUAGGGGACACAAUUCGGCCCCCUCUAGCUUGUCAUACAAGCUAUGGGCGCCCCCUAGUGUUAUUGGGCCCUAAGGCCCAAUACUCUCCACCACUUAGCCUUAUUGUAUUUUCUUUGGCCCAUCAAUAUUAAAUUAAUUCUAAAAGCCUCCUAAUCAGUAUUAGAACCUUUUAUUAUUAAUUUAACAUCUCUGGAAACAUCUCCCACCUAUAUAUCAAUUUCCUGGUAUUACACGGUAAACCCUGAAACUCUUCCGGUAACCCCGAAAUGCUUUUAGUUUCUCUCGAAACUAUUUAUAAUAUUCCCGAAACUAUUUCAUGAAUAUUCUCUCAUAACUCUUACUCCACUAACACUCAACUGAAGGAAAUAUGCCCUAGAGGCAAUAAUAAAGUUGUUAUUUUAUAUUUCCUUAUUCAUGAUAUAGGUUUAUUGUUCAUGCUAUAAUUGUAUUGAUCUGAAACCUAAAUACAUGUGUGAAUACAUAAAACAAUACAGUGUCCCUAUUAAGCUUGUACUAGAGUAGCUCGUUGAUCAAAAAUGGUUAAGGUUUCCUAACCAUAGACAUGUGUUGUCAUUUGAUAAUGGGAUCACAUCAUUAGGAGAAUGAUGUGAUGGGCAAGACCCACUCGUUAGCUUAGCAUAAUAAUUGUUCAGUUUAUUGCUAUUGCUUUCUUCAUGUCAAAUACAUAUUCCUCCGACUAUGAGAUUAUGCAACUCCCGGAUAACGGAGGAAUGCCUUGUGUGCUAUAUCAACGUCACAACGUAAUUGGGUAAUCAUAAAGAUGCUCUAUAGAUAUCUCCGAAGGUGUUUGUUGAGUUGUCAUAGAUCGAGAUUAGGAUUUGUCACUCCGAGUAUCAGAGAGGUAUCUUUGGGCCCUCUCGGUAAUACACAUCAUAAGCUUGCAAUAAAAUGACUAAGGAGUUAGUCACGAGGUGAUGUAUUAUGGAACUAGUAAAGAGACUUGCCGGUAACAAGAUUGAACUAGGUAUGAAGAUACCGACGAUCGAAUCUAGGGCAAGUAACAUACCGAUAAACAAAGGGAAUUGCGUAUGUGUUGUCAUAACGGUUCGACGGAUAAAGAUCUUCGUAGAAUAUGUAGGAGCCAAUAUGGCCAUCCAGGUUCCGCUCUUGGUUAUUGACCGGAGAGGUGUCUCGGUCAUAUAUAGGACGAUUGUAUUUGGACACCAGAAGUGUUUCGGGACGUACCGGGAAGGAAUCGGGUCACCGGAAGGGGUUCCGGGCACCCCCCGGCAAGAUAUGGGCCUUAUGGGCCAAAGGAGGGGACAUACCAGCCCAUAAGGGGGCUGGUGCACCCCUCCCUUGUUUUUCCAGCCCUAGGGAAGGAAAUAGGGGAGGGCUAGCCCCUCCUGCCUUUCCCUCUCAUGGGAUAAAGGAAAUGGGGAGGCGCCACCCUCCCCUGCCUUUCCUCGCACUCCAAAUAAGGAAAGGGGGAGCGGCUUGGGAGGGACCCCAAGUAGGAUUCCUCCUACUUGGGCACCUCCUUUGGCUUCUCCUCCCUCCCUCCCACCUAUAUAUAUAUAUGUGGGGAGGGGGCUACACACAAGGACACACCAUUGUCUUAGCCGUGUGCGGCACCCUCUCCACCGUUUACACCCUCGAUCAUAUUUUCGUAGUGCUUAGGCGAAGCCCUGCGAAGCUCAUAUGACCAUCACCGUCGCCACGUCGUCGUGCUGUCGGAACUCAUCUACUACAUCGCUGUCUUGCUGGAUCAAGCAGGCAUAGGAUGUCCCUGAGUUGAACAUGUGCAGAACGCGGAGGUGCCGUACGUUCGGUACUAGAUCGGUUGGAGCGUGAAGAAAGUUCGACUACAUCAACCGCGGUGUGAAAUGCUUCUGCUUACGGUCUAUGAGGGUACGUAGACAUACUCUCCCCCUUGUUUCUAUGCAUCUCCAUGGAUAGAUCAUUGUGUGUGCAUAGAAAUUUUUUGUUUUCCAUGCAACGUUCCCGAACAGUGGCAUCAUGAGCCACGUCUAUGCGUAGAUGAUAUGCACGGGUAGACCACCAAGAGUUGUGGGUGAUGGUAGUCAUACUGCUUACCACCAAUGUCUUAUUUUGAUUCGGCGGUAUUGUGGGAUGAAGUGGCCCGGACCAACCUUACAUAUCCAUGCACAUGAGACCAGUUCCACCGACUAACAUGCAACUAGUUUUGCAUAAAGGUGGCUGACGGGUGUCUAUUUCUCCUACUUUAGUUGAAUCGAAUUUGGCUGCGGCCGAUCCUUGAAGAAGGUUAAAAAAGCAAACUUGAUGAAUCACUGUUGUGGUUUUAAGCAUAGGUAAGAACCGUUCUUUUGCUAGAGGCCCGUUAUCGAUGUCAAAACCGGCGGAUCUCAGGUAGGGGGUCCCGAACUGUGCGUCUAAGGCUAAUGGUAACAGGAGGCUGGGGACAAGAUGUUUACCCAGGUUCGGGCCCUCUCGAUGGAGGUAAUACCCUACUUCCUGCUUGUUUGAUCUUGAUGAUAUGAGUAUUACAAGAGUUGAUCUACCACAAGAUCGUAGAGGCUAAACCCUAGAAGCUAGCCUAUGGUAUGAUUGUUGUUGUGUCCUACGAACUAAACCCUCCGGUUUAUAUAGACACCGGAGGGGGCUAGGGUUACACAGAGUCGGUUUACAGAGAAGGAGAUCUAUCAUCCGAAUCGCCAAGCUUGCCUUCCACGCAAAGGAGAGUCCCAUCAGGACACGGGACGAUGUCUUCAAUCUUGUAUCUUCAUAGUCCAACAGUCCAGCCAAAGUAUAUUGUCCGGCUGUCCGGAUACCCCCUUAUCCAGGACUCCCUCAGUAGCCCCUCAACUAGGCUUCAAUGACGAUGAGUCCGGCGCGCAGAUUGUCUUCGGCAUUGCAAGGCGGGUUCCAUCUCUGAAUGCUCCAAAGUAAUCUUCGAACGCUUAAAUCGUGUCCGGUCUCUAUAAGAUAAAUUUCGCAUACCACCGUAGAGAGAAUAAUAUACAACAAAUCCAAUCUGCUGAUAACUCUUCGCAGCGUGACAUCACGCCACGGCCCGGUCAUUAUUCGAACCAUUUUUCACAAUCAGCUACCGCACAUAUUGCGAGGCGGUUUCUUUGGCACGUCUUGUCAAAGCAGAGAUCGUGCCCCCUUAUCGCGGGAUCUUCAUCAAUACGGGUAUGGGUAACCCAACCAGUGCCAUUUAACUGAGGUGCUUGGAAAAUAAGAGAUUUCGAGAGGCAAGUGGGGAAGCGCACAUUCUGUACCGCCUUUAUAAAGGGAUAAGGAUCUCCCGUUUUCACCCACGCCUUCUUCCUCCUUUGCUCAUCCGUUCUCGCAUUCUCGAGCCCCAGCGCCCAAGUUCUCACCUUCUCCGUAGGACCGCAGCAUGUCCGGAGUGGGAGGCAAGUGGAUGGCCUCCUUUGUCACAGAGCAGGACAUUACCAAGCUUCGGUCGGCCGGAUACCUGGCCGAAAACAUCGCACAUAGGCUUCUAGCGGAGGGACAGAUCACCCCCACCCCAAAGUCUCGGGAGAGAGUAGUAUUUCUCCCUCAUUUCAUCCGCGGACUAGGAUUCCCACUUCACCCGUUUGUCCGCGGGCUCAUGUAUUACUACGUGCUAGAUUUUCACGAUCUAGCCCCAAAUUUCGUCCUCAACAUCUCGACAUUCAUCGUCGUGUGCGAGGCCUUCCUCCGCAUCAAGCCCCACUUCGGUCUGUGGCUGCAAACCUUCUGCGUGAAGCCGAAGAUCGUGAGUGGCCAACAAGCGGAGUGCGGAGGCGCCAUGGUGGGCAGAAUGCCCAACAUUACAUGGAUCGACGGCUCCUUUGUGGAGUCCGUGAAAGGGUGGCAAUCAGGGUGGUUCUACAUCACCGAGCCGCACGAUGCCAACUAGGUGGCGGCCCCCAAGUUCCGAUCUGGAAUCCCCAUGUGGCUCACCUCUUGGGAAAAGAAGGGCCUGGCCUGGGUCGAACCUGUGGAGCUGACCGGAUUCGAGUCCUGUAUUAAAAGUAUGAGGGACAAGAAGAUCAAGCUUGUCAACAUGGUCCAGGUCAUGCUCGUCCGCCGGAUUCUCCCGUGUCAAAGACGGGCAUUCAAUAUGUGGGAGUUCGAUCCUGCCGAACACCAAAUGCUGCAUGAGCUUUUCGACACGACGCAUAAGGACGUCUAGAAGGUGCUGUUCAAGACCGGCGAAGUUCCUCCUCCCAUUUCCGAGGACCGCGGGCUUAGUGCAAAGCGCCUCGCCAAUUCGGUAAGUCCUCUAACCAUCAAAAGAUGUACCUGUCCCGACAUAUUUGUGGGAGGAUUUUAAGUCACCAUGCUGACAAAACAGGAUUACAUGAAGACGGCGGAGCAGAUCGACUGUCCGACUCCGUUGCCCGAAGACCCAGCGACCGCACUCCUAACGGAGAUGCUAGCUCUGGUGCCUUACAAGGUGCCGAAGAAGAAAGCCGAAAAGAAGGCCACGGGGACCAGGAAGGGUCUCAGGCGCGAGGUUGCACCGGACGCCUCGCCUGAAGACGAUGAGGCGCACUCCUCCCACGAAGGGGGGGGGGAGAAAAAGAAGAAGAAGGCCGCCCCAUCCGGGGAGGCCGAAGGGUCCAAGAAGGCGGCUGCGGGGACCAAAAAGGGUCUCCGGCGCAGGGCCGUGAUUGACUCUUCAUCCGAGGAUGACGAGGCAGAUUCCUCCCACGGAGACGGGGGGAAUCAUGAAGAAAUGCCCCCUCCCCGCACUGGGGAGGAGAAGAAAAGGAAGGCCGCCUCGCAGGGGGAGGCUAGGAUGCCGAAGAAGGGGAAGGCGUCCCUUCCGGAUCACUCCACCAUUGCCGCCUAUAGCGAAGAGGAGUGGCUGCCCAGGCACAAGCCCCGGGCGAAGUCGUAAGUAUCCGCACCCCGUAAUAAUUCACGUGUGACUUUAACUUCAUAGUUCACAAUAACACCGAACACAUAUGUGCAGUCCGGCUAGGUCCAAUCUCGGGGGAUCCUCUUCGGAAGGGUCUCUGAGCGAGUCGGAGAUGAAUUCACUCCCGACGGCCACCUCCCCAUGACCCGUGGAUGACACAGAGAUGUUGUCCCAAAGGAUACCAGAGCAGGGGGUGACGGUCCCGGAGACGCCCCAAGGCAAUAUCCCAGACACCGGGUACAUGGGGGGCAAGAUCCCCAUGGAUUAUGCUUAUGGGAGCCACAGCAAGUCUGGCUCCCCGCCGAUUACUGCGCCUGAGCCUCCAAAGGCUCCGGAUUCCAGUAGGCAGCCCCUCAUGAAGGAGGGCGAGCCGGCCGUGCCGAUGACCUCCGCCCCGCCGGGGGCAUCGGAUAAUUUAUUAGAAGUGCUUCGAGGCGCUUCCAUCGACGAUGAGCACCGUACUCUUAUGAGUAUGGUGAUUGAGAAGGUUCGGUCCGCCAAGAGAGGAUUGACUAUAGCCUGCACCAGCCUCCUAACAGGCUUUGAGGUAAGAAAUGAAAAAGUGUGAGAAAAUAUCACCCAAUAGACAGUAGCCCCUGAUACUCUGUUUGGUGUUUGGAAAGAAAAGCCAAACGGAGGGUCAAAUAGAAAACCGUAGGAAUCUUAUAGUACUUGUCUAUGUUAAUAAACAUGCGUUGCUGCUGACCGCUGCUGCGCGCAUAGCUGAGGUCGCCGGACUGAAGCGCGACUUGGGGCAGGCCGAAGAAGAGCUCGGCCUCGUAAAGAGGCAGCUCGAGGAGAACAAUGGUAAGUGAUACCCCGUCCGUGUGUUGUAUGGAGGAGAAAAAUUGGUGAUGCUAACAAAAGGCAUCAUGAUUUUAAACAGGGGCCACGACCGAAGUGGCGGCCCUGAAGAAAGCGUUGUCCGAGGCCGAAGGCAAGGCGGCCACGGAGCGCACCGAGCGUGAAAAGCAAGAUGCUCGGGUGGGAGAGGUGGAGCAAGAGCUCUAGGAGCUCGGCAAGAAGUUCGAGUCCUUGGAGCAUGACUUCAAGACGCAGGAGUCUGAGCUUGCGAAGGCCCUCCAGAGAGUGACAGACGCCAAGGCCGAAGCCCAGAAGGCCUGCCAGGAAAUCCGGGCGGCCAAAAAGAUGGCGGAGGAUAAGGCAUUCUUUAUGCAAAGCAAGCAUGUGGAGGAGGCAUUUCUUUUACUUACACGAAUUCGGAGCUCUCCAGGGGCAUUCGCAGAUCUGCCACGCAGCAUUUCGGAUGCCAUAGAGUUCUACCAUCCUGAAGAGGGGAGCUCAACGGAGAAGCUGUUCUGGUCCCAAUAUACUAGAGCCGAACACCUAAUGCCUCUAAGCGACCAACUGAAGCAAUUGGUCGAACUCCACAGGGCGGCCGAACUGGCCAUGAAGGACCUCAUAGUCUGGAUGUGGCCCGGCGAGCCCUGCCCGGUAGCUAUUUUGGCCUUGUAAAGCGGAUGGUGCAUGCCUGUCCACGGCUUGUAGUUAUCAAGCAGUCCGUCUGUAUUGAGGGUGCCCGCCGGGCCUUUGCUCCCGUGAAGAUGCAUUGGGCCAAACUGGAUGCGGAGAAGCUUGUGAAGGAUGGGCCUCCGGAGGGUAAGGAGCAUCGCUACCCCGAAAAAUAUUAUGAUGGUGUUAUGAAAGGUGCUCGCCUUGUGGCCAAUGAAUGUGCCAAGAACACAAUCUUUGAGUGAAUGUACUCAUGUCGUUUUAUUGUAAUAUGAAAACGAGUUGUUUUGCGCUAUAUACCGCUUUGUUGAUGUAAAAUAUUACCUUCUGUGCGGCCGUUUAUAAAAUUCUGAAAGUAGUCUAGUCAUCGGCUUCCGCCCCCAUGGAACUAGUACUGGGGUGUUCGUGGAAAACCCAAACACUCUUUAUCCAAAUUGUUGGUCCCUUAAGGAGGUGUUUAGCGCAGCGAACAAGGCAAUCGAACUAUGCGGCUUUAUAACUCUCACUUGGCCAUAGAAGUCUAUAAUUUUAUAUUUCGGCGAAGCCCCUAGUAUUCGGAAGGCCGAACUGGGGUGCUAUACACGCCUAAAUUGAACAAGGUCGAUUCCUCGCCUUAUGCGGAAAAAAAUCUUUAAGGAUUUAGUACCUCUCGAACAGCGACCAACUCUGGCCGCAUCAUGACGGUCAGUUUUCAGCUUUCUCUACUGAGGUGCUCGUACGGAAGAACUGGGAGACGAUCGCAGUAGUUCUCCCUGCGCUACCUUAGCCGAUAUAACGAAACAUGAGGUACCAAAACAAGGGAGCCGGGCUAACCCAACUAUUGACCCAAGACAUGAUUCGGUGCUGAUGCAUAUAAUGCUAUAAGUUCGGGGUGACGCACUGUCGAAAGUGUUCGGACUUUUAUUGCCGUGUUAUGGGGAUCAAAAAUAAAAAAGCCCCUGGCAAACUGAUCGUACCAAAGUGUAUGGGUGCAAUAUUAAAUAAAUUUUCAAGGGAAAAUAUGAAGAUAGUAGUAAGAAGCUGACGCUGUAUACUAUCUCCCAUUGUAAUCUGGACAAUACGUCUAGGUGUAUGUGUACAAGUAAUGCAUUAAGCAAAAACCAAUAGGACUAUUUUACAUGUCCUAUCCAAGGGCAGGUUGCAUGCAGAUAUGUAAAACAGGUAUAACGAUCAUCAACAGAGACCACCUAGGUAUUCCCUUAUGUGCAAAGCCUCUUGCCUCCUUGGUGUUCCCUCCUGUGGUGAGUCCGAUAGUCCGGCUCUCUGAAGGGGCUGCCCGAACGUGGGGUCCUGAAAGAAAGGAAGAAAAGGGGUAUGCGGACCUCGUGGCGGCUGAUCCUACUGUAGGCCGCAUAGUCAUCUCGCCUCCACCCGUGCCCAUGGUAUUUUAAGUGCGUAAUUAUGUACGCGUGGCACGAAUGCCGCCUAAAUGGGGCUGGGGCGUAGGCCAAAUUGCUAACUAAUCUCUUGACAUGCCUGACGAUCCUGCUGCAGGGUGUUCCGGACUCGCUUGACGGUGUUCAGGGUUGUUGUUGCGACAGUUUGUCGAAGGAGGCUGCUUUGUACUUCUGCCACGAGGGCUGCAGUGUGCUCUUCUGUACGGAGGGAGCGAUCUGUGUUUCCAUUGACUGUUAUAACCCCGCGAGGUCCUGACAUCUUGAGCUUAAGGUAUGCAUAGUGAGGCACCGCGUUGAAUCGAGCAAACGCGGUUCGUCCAAGUAGUGCAUGAUAGCCACUACGGAAGGGGACGAUAUCGAAGAUUAACUCUUCGCUUCGGAAGUUAUCCGGAGAUCCGAAGACCACUUCCAAUGUUAUUGAGCCCAUACACCGGGGCUCUACCCCUGGAAUUACACCCUUGAAGGUGGUUUUAGUGGGUUUGAUCUGUGAGGGAUCGAUGCCCAUUUUGUGCACUGUGUCCUGAUAAAGCAGGUUCAGGCUGCUGCCACCGUCCAUAAGGACUCGCAUGAGGUGGAAUCCGUCGAUGAUUGGGUCAAGGACCAAUGGGGCUGAACCGCCGUGACGAAUGCUGGUAGGAUGGUCCCUACGAUCGAAUGUGAUCGGGCAGGAUGACCAUGGGUUGAACUUUGGGGCAACGGGCUCCAUCGCGUAGACGUCCCGCAGUGCACACUUUCGUUCCCGCUUGGGAAUGUGGGUGGCAUAGAUCAUGUUUACCAUUUUCACCUCGGGGGGGGGGGGGAUUUUCCUCUGUCCCCCAGUGUUCGGAUGCCGGGGCUCCUCAUCAUCAUUGUUGUGCAGCCCCUUGUCAUUGUUUUUGGCAUUGAACUUGCCGGCUUGUUUGAACACCCAACAAUCUUUGUUAGUGUGAUUUGCUGGUUUGUCGGGGGUGCCAUGAAUCUGGCACGAGUGGUCGAGUAUGCGGUCCAGGCUGGAUGAUCCCGGAUUGUUUCUUUUGAAUGGCUUCUUCCGCUAACCGGAUUUUGAGUUGCUGAAUCCGGCAUUGACUGCCGUGUCUUCGGCAUUAUCACCAUUAUUCCGACGCUUAUGUCUAUUGCGCCGAAGCUUUCCGUUACUAUCGCGGACAUCUGAAGUGCCGGAGUUUCUUGGCGUGGUGCUACUGCGAGCUAGCCAGCUGUCCUCGCCCGUGCAAAAGCGGGUCAUGAGUGUCGUGAGGGCCGCCAUAGACUUCGGUUUUUCUUGGCCGAGGUGUCGGGCGAGCCACUCGUCGCGGAUAUUAUGCUUGAAGUCCGCCAGGGCCUCGACAUCUGGACAGUCAACAAUUUGGUUCUUCUUAGUUAGGAACCGAGUCCAGAAUUUCCCGGCCGACUCUCCGAGCAGUUGGGUAAGGUGACUUAAGUCAUCAGCAUCCGGUGGUCGCAUGUAAGUGCCUUGUAAGUUGUCGAGGAAUGUGUCCUCAAGAUUUUCCCAGCUGCCGAUGGAGUUCGCCGACAGGCUAUUCAGCCAAUGCCUGGCUGGUCCUUUGAGUUUAAGGGGAAGGUACUUGAUUGCAUGUGGGUCAUCACCGCAGGCCAUGUGAAUGUGGAGAAGAAAAUCUUCGAUCCACACCGCGGGGUCUGUUGUGCCAUCGUAUGACUCGAUGUUUACGGGUUUAAACCCUUCUGGGAAUUCAUGAUCCAUUACUUCAUCAGUGAAGCAGAGGGGGUGUGCGGCGCCUCUCUGCCGGGCUAUGUCGCGACACAGUCCGACUAGGUCUGGUCGGUUAUGUUCGGCCCGGCCGUACUUAUUAUUAUUGUAUCCGGCGUGACGAUCGUCGUCAUGUGGUGUGGCGCGCCCCGUGAUCCGUAGAUCAAUCUUGGUUGUCCUGCGUGGUUUUCCAAUAUAUCUCGCAGGUCCUGCGUAUUGCCCCAGGCCGUAGUGAACCGGCGUGGGGGUGCGGGCUGGUAUUCGGUCUGAUAUGCUGUUUUAUCCCGGCCACGAGGUGGCCGGUCAGCCUCGUCUUGUUCUGGUAGUGUAGGCUCUACGGCCUCCUCGUCUAGCUGAGGUAGCAACUUGUGUUUUGGGUAACCUUUGGUUGGGCGCUUGAGUCUGUAUUCCUCGGCCGCCAGGACCUCCGUCCAUCUGUCUGCGAGCAGAUCUUGAUCAGCUUGGAGCUGCUGCUGCUUCUUUUUCACGCUUCUUGAAGUGGCUAUAAGCCGACACUUAAAGCGCUCCUGAAUGCGUUGUUGAAGGUUGGGGGAGCCAUCGAGCCUUAUAGCGACGGCACAGAGGAACUCUCAAUGAAAGCAUCAAUGUCGGAGUCAAAACCGGAGGAUCUCGGGUAGGGGGUCCCGAACUAUGCGUCUAAGGCUAAUGGUAACAGGAGGCUAGGGACACGAUGUUUACCCAGGUUCGGGCCCUCUCGAUGGAGGUAAUACCCUACUUCCUGCUUGAUUGAUCUUGAUGAUAUGAGUAUUACAAGAGUUGAUCUACCACGAGAUCGUAGUGAAGGAAAUAUGCGCUAGAGGCAAUAAAAAAGUUAUUAUUUAUUUCCUUAUAUCAUGAUAAAUGUUUAUUAUUCAUGCUAGAAUUGUAUUAACCGGAAACAUAAUACAUGUGUGAAUACAUAGACAAACAGAUUGUCACUAGCAUGCCUCUACUUGACUAGCUCAUUGAUCAAAGAUGGUUAUGUUUCCUAGCCAUAGACAUGAGUUGUCAUUUGAUUAACGGGAUCACAUCAUUAGGAGAAUGAUGUGAUUGACAUGACCCAUUCCGUUAGCUUAACACACGAUCGUUUCGUAUGUUGUUGUUGCUUUCUUCAUGACUUAUACAUGUUCCUAUGACUAUGAGAUUAUGCAACUCCCGUUUACCAGAGGAACACUUUGUGUGAUACCAAAUGUCACAAUGUUACUGGGUGAUUAUAAAGGUGCUCUACAUGUGUCUCCGAAGGUACAUGUUGGGUUGGCGUAUUUAGAGAUUAGGAUUUGUCACUCCGAUUGUCGGAGAGGUAUCUCUAGGCCCUCUCGGUAAUACACAUCACUUAAGCCUUGCAAGCAUUGCAACUAAUGAGUUAGUUGCGGGUUGAUGUAUUACGGAACGAGUAAAGAGACUUGUCGGUAACGAUAUUGAACUAGGUAUUGAGAUACCGACGAUCGAAUCUCAGGCAAGUAACAUACCGAAGACAAAGGGAACAAUGUAUGUUGUUAUGCGGUCUGACCGAUAAAGAUCUUCGUAGAAUAUGUGGGAGCCAAUAUGAGCAUCCAAGUUCCACUAUUGGUUAUUGACCAGAUACAUGUCUUGGUCAUGUCUACAUAGUUCUCGAACCCGUAGGGUCCGCACGCUUAACGUUACGAUGAUAGUUAUAUUAUGAGUUUAUAUGUUUUGAUGUAUCGAAGGUUGUUCGGAGUCCCGGAUGUGAUCACGGACAUGACGAGGAGUCUCGAAAUGGUCGAGACAUGAAGAUUGAUAUAUUGGAAGCCUAUGUUUGGAUAUCAGAAGUGUUCCGGGUGAAAUCGGGAUAUUACCGGAGUACCGGGAGGUUACCAGAACCCCCUGGGAGGUUAAUGGGCCUUAGUUGGCCUUUACGGAGAAGAGGAGAGGCAGCCAGGGCUCGGCCGCGCGCCCCUCCCCCCUAGUCUGAAUAGGACAAGGAGAGGGGGCGGCGCCCCCUUCCUUCCUCUGUCCCUCCUCUUUCCCCCCUCCCAAGUCCUAAUCCAACUAGGAAAGGGGGGGGGGGAGUCCUACUCCCGGUGAGAGUAGGACUCCUCCCAGCGCGCCUCUCCCCUUGGUCGGCCGCACCCCCCCUUGCUCCUUUAUAUACGGGGGCAGGUGGGCACCCUAGAGACACAACAAUUGAUCAUUUGAUCUUUUAGCCGUGUGCGGUGCCCCCCUCCACCAUAGUCCACCUCGAUAAUACUGUAGCGGUGCUUAGGCGAAGCCCUGCGUCGGUAGAACAUCAUCAUCGUCACCAUGCCGUCGUGCUGACGAAACUCUCCCUCAACACUCAGCUGGAUCAGAGUUCGAGGGACGUCAUCGGGCUGAACGUGUGCUGAACUCGGAGGUGCCGUAUGUUCGGUACUUGAUCAGUCGGAUCGUGAAGACGUACGACUACAUCAACCGCGUUGUGCUAAUGCUUCCACUUAGGGUCUACAAGGGUAUGUAGACAACACUCUCCCCUCUCGUUGCUAUGCAUCACCAUGAUCUUGCGUGUGCAUAGGAUUUUUUUUUGAAAUUACUACGUUCCCCAACAGUGGCAUCCGAGCCUGGUUUUAUGCGUAGAUGUCAUAUGCACGAGUAGAACACAAGUGAGUUGUUGGCGAUAUAAGUCAUACUGCUUACCAACAUGUCAUACUUUGGUUCAGCGGUAUUGUGAGAUGAAGCGGCCCGAACCGACAUUACGCGUACGCUUACGCGAGACUGGUUUCACCGCCACGAGCACUAGUUGCUUAAAGGUGACCGGCGGGUGUCUGUCUCUCUCACUUUAGUUGAACCGAGUAUGGCUACACCCGGUCCUUGCGAAGGUUAAAACAACACCAACUUGACAAACUAUCGUUGUGGUUUUGAUGCGUAGGUAAGAACGGUUCUUGCUCAGCCCGUAGCAGCCAUGUAAAAUUUGCAACAAAAAAGUAGAGGACGUCUAACUUGUUUUUGUAGGGCAUGCUGUGAUGUGAUAUGGUCAAGACAUGAUGCUAAAUUUUAUUGUAUGAGAUGAUCAUGUUUUGUAACCGAGUUAUCGGCAACUGGUAGGAGCCAUAUGGUUGUCGCUUUAUUGUAUGUAGUGCAAUCGCCCUGUAAUGCUUUACUUUAUCACUAAGCGGUAGCGAUAGUCGUAGAAGGAUAAGAUUGGUGAGACGAUGAUGAUGCUACGAUGGAGAUCAAGGUGUCGCGCCCAUGACGAUGGUGAUCAUGAUGGUGCUUCGAAGAUGGAGAUCACAAGCACAAGAUGAUGAUGGCCAUAUCAUAUCACUUAUAUUGAUUGCAUGUGAUGUUUAUCUUUUAUGCUUCUUAUGUUGCUUUCAUUGACGGUAGCAUUAUAAGAUGAUCCCUCACUAAAUUAUCAAAGUAUAAGUGUUAUCCCUGAGUAUGCACCGUUGUGAAAGUUCUUCGUGCUGAGACACCACGUGAUGAUCGGGUGUGAUAGGCUCUACGUUCAAAUAUAACGGGUGCAAAACAGUUGCACACGCAGAAUACUCAGGUUAAACUUGAUGAGCCUAGCAUAUAAAAGAUAUGUCCUCGGAACACGGAGACCGAAAGGUCGAGCGUGAAUCAUAUAGUAGAUAUGAUCAACAUAGUGAUGUUCACCAUUGAAACUACUUCAUCUCACAUGAUGAUCGGACAUGGUUUAGUUGAUUUGGAUCACGUGAUCACUUAGAGGAUUAGAGGGAUGUCUAUCUAAGUGGGAGUUCUUAAGUAAUAUGAUUAAUUGAACUUAAAUUUAUCAUGAACUUAGUACCUGAUAGUGUCUUGCUUGUAUAUGUUGAUUGUAGAUAGAUGGCCCAUGCUGUUGUUCCGUUAAAUUUUAAUGCGUUCCUUGAGAAAGCAAAGUUGAAAGAUGAUGGUAGCAAUUACACGGACUGGGUCUGUAACUUGAGGAUUAUCCUCAUUGCUGCACAGAAGAAUUACAUCCUGGAAGCACCGCUGGGUGCCAGACCUGCUGCAGGGCAACACCAGAUGUUGUGAAUGUCUGGUAGAGCAAAGCUGAUGACUACUAGUUCAGUGUGACAUGCUUUACGGCUUCGAACCGGGACUUCAACGACGUUUUGAACGUCAUGGAGCAUAUGAGAUGUUCCAGGAGUUGAAGUUAAUAUUUCAAGCAAAUGCCCAGAUUAAGAUAUAUGAAGUCUCCAAUAAGUUCUACAGCUGUAAGAUGGAGGAGAAUAGUUCUAUCAGUGAGCAUAUACUCAAAAUGUGUGGGUAUAAUAAUCACUUGAUUCAACUGGGAGUUAAUCUUCCGGAUGAUAGCAUCAUUGACAGAAUUCUCCAAUCACUGCCACCAAGCUACAAGAGCUUCGUGAUGAACUAUAACAUGCAACAGAUGGAUAAUAUGAUUCCCGAGCUCUUCGCAAUGCUAAAGGACGCGGGGGUAGAAAUCAAGAAGGAGCAUCAAGUGUUGAUGGUCAACAAGACCACUAGUUUCAAGAAAAAGGGCAAAGGGAAAAAGAAGGGGAACUUCAAGAAGAACAACAAGCAAGUUGCUUCUCAGGAGAAGAAACCCAAGUCUGGACCUAAGCCUGAGACUAAGUGCUUCUACUGCAAGCAGACUGGUCACUGGAAGCGGAACUGCCCCAAGUAUUUGGCGGAUAAGAAGGAUGGCAAGGUGAACAAAGGUAUAUGUGAUAUACAUGUUAUUGAUGUGUACCUUACUAAUGCUCGCAGUAGCACCUGGGUAUUUGAUACUGGUUCUGUUGCUAAUAUUUGCAACUCGAAACAGGGGCUACGAAUUAAGCGAAGAUUGGCUAAGGACGAGGUGACGAUGCGCGUAGGAAAUGGUUCCAAAGUCGAUGUGAUCGCGGUCGGCACGCUACCUCUACAUCUACCUUCGGGAUUAGUUUUAGACCUAAAUAAUUGUUAUUUGGUGCCAGCGUUGAGCAUGAACAUUAUAUCUGGAUCUUGUUUGAUGGGAGACGGUUAUUCAUUUAAAUCAGAGAAUAAUGGUUGUUCUAUUUAUAUGAGUAAUAUCUUUUAUGGUCAUGCACCCUUGAAGAGUGGUCUAUUUUUAUUGAAUCUCGAUAGUAGUGAUACACAUAUUCCAAAAGAUGCAGAGUUGAUAAUGACAGUGCAACUUAUUUGUGGCACUGCCGUUUAGGUCAUAUCAGUGUAAAGCGCAUGAAGAAACUCCAUACUGAUGGACUUUUGGAACCACUUGAUUAUGAAUCACUUGGUACUUGCGAACCGUGCCUCAUGGGCAAGAUGACUAAAACACUGUUCUUUGGAACUAUGGAGAGAGCAACAGAUUUGUUAGAAAUCAUACAUAUAGAUGUAUGUGGUCCAAUGAAUGUUGAGGCUCGUGGUGGACAUCAUUAUUUUCUCACCUUCACAGAUGAUUUAAGCAGAUAUGGGUAUAUCUACUUAAUGAAACAUAAGUCUAAAACUUUUGAAAAGUUCAAAGAAUUUCAGAGUGAAGAUGAAAAUCAUCGUCACAAGAAAAUAAAGUUUCUACGAUCUGAUCAUGGAGGAGAAUAUUUGAGUUAAGAGUUUGGUCUACAUUUGAAACAAUGCGGAAAACUUUCGCAACUCACGCCACCUGGAACACCAUAGCGUAAUGGUGUAUCUGAACGUCGUAAUCGUACUUUACUAGAUAUCGUGUGAUCUAUGAUGUCUCUUACUGAUUUACUGCUAUCGUUUUGGGGUUAUGAUUUAGAGACGGCUGCAUUCACGUUAAAUAGGACACCAUCAAAAUCCGUUGAGACGAUGCAUUAUGAACUAUGGUUUGGCAAGAAACCAAAGUUGUUGUUUCUCAAAGUUUGGGGCUGUGAUGCUUAUGUGAAAAAGCUUCAACCUGAUAAGCUCGAACCCAAAUCGGAGAAUGUGUCUUCAUAGGAUACCCAAAGGAGACUGUUGGGUACACCUUCUAUCACAAAUCCGAAGGCAAAACUUUUGUUGCUAAAUUCAGAAUUUUUCUAGAGAAGGAGUUUCUCUCGAAAGAAGUGAGUGGGAGGAAAGUAGAACUUGAUGAGGUAACUGUACCUACUCCCUUAUUGGAAAGUAGUUCAUCACAGAAACUGGUUCCUGUGACAUCUACACCAAUUAGUGAGGAAGUUAAUGAUGAUGAUCAUGGAACUUCAGAUCAAGUUGUUACUGAACCUCGUAGGUCAAACAGAAUAAGAUCCGCACCAGAGUGGUACGGUAAUCCUGUUCUGGAGGUCAUGCUACUGGAUCAUGAUGAACCUACGAACUAUGAAGAAGCGAUGGUGAGCCAAGAUUCUGCAAAAUGGCUUGAGGCCAUGACAUAUGAGAUGGGAUCCAUGUAUGAGAACAAAGUAUGGACUUUGGUUGACUUGCCCGAUGAUCGGCAAGCAAUUGAGAAUAAAUGGAUCUUCAAGAAGAAGACUGACGCUGACGGUAAUGUUACUGUCUACAAAGCUUGACUUGUUGCAAAAGGUUUUCGACAAGUUCAAGGGAUUGACUAUGAUGAGACCUUCUCACCCGUAGUGAUGCUUAAGUCUGUCCGAAUCAUGUUAGCAAUAGCUGCAUUUUAUGAUUAUGAAAUUUGGCAAAUGGAUGUCAAAACUGCAUUCCUGAAUGGAUUUCUGGAAGAAGAGUUGUAUAUGAUGCAACCGGAAGGUUUUGUCGAUCCAAAGGGAGCUAACAAAGUGUGCAAGCUCCAGCGAUCCAUUUAUGGACUGGUGCAAGCCUCUCGGAGUUGGAAUAAACGCUUUGAUAGUGUGAUCAAAGCAUUUGGUUUUAUACAGACUUUUGGAGAAGCCUGUAUUUACAAGAAAGUGAGUGGGAGCUCUGUAGCAUUUCUGAUAUUAUAUGUGGAUGACAUAUUACUGAUUGGAAAUGAUAUAGAAUUUCUGGAUAGCAUAAAGGGAUACUUGAAUAAGAGUUUUUCAAUGAAAGACCUUGGUGAAGCUGCUUACAUAUUGGGCAUCAAGAUCUAUAGAGAUAGAUCAAGACGCUUAAUUGGACUUUCACAAAGCACAUACCUUCACAAAGUUUUGAAGAAGUUCAAAAUGGAUCAAGCAAAGAAAGGGUUCUUGCCUGUGUUACGAGGUGUGAAGUUGAGUAAGACUCAAUGCCCGACCACUGCAGAAGAUAGUGAGAAAAUGAAAGAUGUUCCCUAUGCUUCAGCCAUAGGCUCUGUCAUGUAUGCAAUGCUGUGUACCAGACCUGAUGUGUGCCUUGCUAUACGUCUAGCAGGGAGGUACCAAAGUAAUCCAGGAGUGGAUCGCUGGAUAGCGGUCAAGAACAUCCUGAAAUACCUGAAAAGGACUAAGGAUAUGUUUCUCAUUUAUGGAGGUGACAAAGAGCUCAUUCUAAAUGGUUACGUUGAUGCAAGCUUUGACACUGAUCCGGACGAUUCUAAAUUGCAAACUGGAUACGUGUUUACAUUGAACGGUGGAGCUGUCAGUUGGUGCAGUUCUAAACAAAGCGUCGUGGCGGGAUCUACAUGUGAAGUGGAGUACAUAGCUGCUAUGGAAGCAGCAAAUGAAGGAGUCUGGAUGAAGGAGUUCAUAUCCGAUCUAGGUGUCAUACCUAGUGCAUCGGGUCCAAUGAAUUUUUUUGGUGACAAUACUGGUGCAAUUGCCUUGGCGAAGGAAUCCAGAUUUCACAAGAGAACCAAGGACAUCAAGAGACCCAUCAAUUCCAUCCGGGAUCUAGUCCAGGUGGGAGACAUAGAAAUUUCCAAGAUACAUACGGAUCUGAAUGUUGCAGACCCGUUGACUAAGCCUCUUCCACGAGCAAAACAUGAUCAGCACCAAGGCUCCAUGGGUGUUAGAAUCAUUACUGUGUAAUCUAGAUUAUUGACUCUAGUGCAAGUGGGAGACUGAAGGAAAUAUGCCCUAGAGGCAAUAAUAAAGUUAUUAUUUAUUUCCUUAUAUCAUGAUAAAUGUUUAUUAUUCAUGCUAGAAUUGUAUUAACCGGAAACAUAAUACAUGUGUGAAUACAUAGACAAACAGAUUGUCACUAGUAUGCCUAUACUUGACUAGCUCGUUGAUCAAAGAUGGUUAUGUUUUCUAGCCAUAGACAUGAGUUGUAAUUUGAUUAACGGGAUCACAUCAUUAGGAGAAUGAUGUGAUUGACAUGACCCAUUCCGUUAGCUUAGCACAUGAUCGUUUAGUAUGUUGCUGUUGCUUUCUUCAUGACUUAUACAUGUUCCUAUGACUAUGAGAUUAUGCAACUCCCGUUUACCGGAGGAACACUUUAUGUGCUACCAAACGUCACAACAUAACUGGGUGAUUAUAAAGGUGCUCUACAGGUGUCUCCGAAGGUACAUGUUGGGUUGGCGUAUUUCGAGAUUAGGAUUUGUCACUCCGAUUGUCGGAGAGGUAUCUCUGGUCCCUCUUGGUAAUACACAUCACUUAAGCCUUGCAAGCAUUGCAACUAAUGAGUUACCUGCGGGUUGAUGUAUUAUGGAACGAGUAAAGAGACUUGCCAGUAACGAGAUUGAACUAUGUAUUGAGAUACCGACGAUCGAAUCUCGGGCACGUAACAUACCGAUGACAAAGAGAACAACGUAUGUUGUUAUGUGGUCUAACCGAUAAAGAUCUUCGUAGAAUAUGUGGGAGCCAAUAUGAGCAUCCAGGUUCCGCUAUUGUUUAUUGACCAGAGACAUGUCUCGGUCAUGUCUACAUAGUUCUCGAACCCGUAGGGUCCGCACGCUUAACGUUAUGAUGAUGGUUAUAUUAUGAGUUUAUAUGUUUUGAUGUACCGAAGGUUGUUUGUAGUCCCGGAUGUGAUCAUGGACAUGACGAGGAGUCUCGAAAUGGUCAAGACAUGAAGAUUGAUAUAUUGGAAGCCUAUGUUUGGAUAUCCGAAGUGUUCCGGGUGAAAUCAGAAUUUUACCGGAGUACCGGGAGGUUACCGGAACCCCCCGGGAGGUUAAUGGGCCUUAGUGGGCCUUUACGAAGAAGAGGAGAGGCGGCCAGAGCUGGGCUAUGCGCCCCUCCCCCUAGUCCGAAUAGGACAAGGAGAGGGGGGCGCCCCCCCUUCCAGCCUCUCUCCCUCCUCUUUCCCCCCUCCCAUGUCCUAAUCCAACUAGGAAAGGGGGGAGUCCUACUCCCGGUGAGGGUAGGACUCCUCCCGGCGCGCCUCUCCCCUUGGCCGGCCGCACCCUCCUUUGCUCCUUUAUAUACGGGGGCAGGGGGCACCCUAGAGACACAACAAUUGAUCGUUUGAUCUUUUAGCCGUGUGCGGUGCCCUCCUCCACCAUAGUCCACCUCGAUAAUACUGUAGCGGUGCUUAGGCGAAGCCCUGCGUCGGUAGAACAUCAUCAUCGUCACCACACCGUCGUGCUGACAAAACUCUCCCUCAACACUCGACUGGAUCGGAGUUCGAGGGACGUCAUCGGGCUGAACGUGUGCUGAACUCGGAGGUGCCGUACGUUAGCUACUUGAUCGGUUGGCUCGUGAAAACGUAUGACUACAUGAACCGCGUUGUGCUAACGCUUCCGCUUACGUCUACAAGGGUAUGUAUACGACACUCUCCCCUCUUGUUGCUAUGCAUCACCAUGAUCUUGCAUGUGCGUAGGAACUUUUUUGAAAUUACUUCGUUCCCCAACACAUAGAGGCUAAACCCUAGAAGCUAGCCUAUGGUAUGAUUGUUGUUGUGUCCUACGGACUAAACCCUCCGGUUUAUAUAGACACCGGAGGGGGCUAGGGUUACACAGAGUCGGUUUACAGAGAAGGAGAUCUAUCAUCCGAAUCGCCAAGCUUGCCUUCCACGCAAAGGAGAGUCCCAUCCGGACACGAGAUGAAGUCUUCAAUCUUGUAUCUUCAUAGUCCAACAGCCCGGCCAAAGUAUAUAGUCCGGCUAUCCGGAUACCCCCUUAUCCAGGACUCCCUCACCCGUAGCAGCCACGUAAAACUUGCAACAAUAAAGUAGACGUCUAACUUGUUUUUGUAGGGCAUGUUGUGAUGUGAUAUGGUCAAGACGUGAUGUGAUAUACGUUAUUGUAUGAGAUGAUCAUGUUUUGUAAGAUAUCGGGCAACCGGCAGGAGCCUUAUGGUUUUCUCUUUAUUGUAUGAAAUGCAAACACCAUUUAAUUGCUUUAGUUUAUCGCUAUGAGUUAGCAAUAGUUGUAAAAGCAAUAGUUGGCGAGACGACCAUGUUGCAAUGAUGGGUCAAGGUGUCGAGCCGGUGAUGAUGGAGAUCAUGAUGAUUCUUUGGAGAUGGAGAUCAAAAGCACAAGGUGAUGAUUCCAUAUCAUGUCACAUAUUUUGAUUGCAUGUGAUGUUUAUCUUAUAUGCAUCUUAUUUUUCAUAGAAUGACGGUAGCAUUAUAAGAUGAUCCCUUCACUAAAUUUCAAGGUAAAAGUGUUCUCCCUGAGUAUGCACCGUUGCUAUAGUUCGUCGUUUUGAGACAACAUGUGAUGAUCGGGUGUGAUCGACUCUACAUUCACAUACAAUGGGUGUAAGACAGUUUUACACAUGCAGAAUACUUGGGUUAAACUUGAAGAGCCUAGCAUGUACAUACAUGGCCUCGAAACACUGGAGACCGAAAGGUCGAACGUGAGUCAUAUAGUAGAUAUGAUCAAUAUAGAGAUAUUCACGAUUGAUGACUACCCCAUCUCACAUGAUGAUCAGACAUGGGUUAGUUGAUUUGGAUCACGUAUCACUUAGUUGAUUGAGGGAUGUCUAUUUAAGUGGGAGUUCUUUAGUAAUUUGAUUAAUUGAACUUAAUUUAUCAUGAACUUAGUCUAAAUAGUUUUGCAUAUCUAUGUUAUAGAUCAAUAGCUCGCGAUAUAGUUCCUAUUUUGAUAUGUUCCUAUAGAAAGCUAAGUUGAAAUAUGUUGGUAUCAAUGAUGCGGACUAGGUCCGUGAUUUGAGGAUUAUCCUCAUUCUUGCACAGAAGAAUUAUGUCCUUGAUGCACCGCUACGUGACAGACCUGUUGCAGGAGCUGAUGCAAACGUUAUGAACGUUUGCCAAGCUCGAUAUGAUGACUAUUUUAUAGUUUAGAGUGCCAUGCUUUACGUCUUAGAAUCAGGCUUCAAAGACGUUAUGAACGCCAUGGAACAUAUGAGUUGUUCUAAGAGUUGAGAUUGGUAUUUCAGACUUAUGCUUGUGUUAAGAGGUAUGAGACCUCUGACAAGCAAUUUGUCUACAAUAUGGAGGAGAAUAGCUCAGCCAGUGAGCAUGUACUCAGAAUGUUUGGGUACUAUAAUCACUUGAAUCAAGUGGGAGUUAAUCUUCCAGAUAAGAUAAUGAUUGACAUAGUUCUCUAGUCACUCUCUGUUGGGAAACGUAGCAUGCAAUUUCAAAAAAAAAUCCUACGCUGACGCAAGAUCUAUCUAGGAGAUGCAUAGCAACGAGAGGGGGAGAGUGUGUCCACGUACCCUCGUACACCAAAAGCGGAAGCGUUAACUUAACGCGGUUUAUGUAGUCGAACGUCUUCUCGAAUCAAUCGAUCAAGUACGAAACCUAUGGCACCUCCGAGUUCUGCACACGUUCAACUUGAUGACGUCCCUCGAACUCUUGAUCCAGUAGAGGCACGAAGGAGACGAUGAGUUCUGUCAGCACGAUGGCAUGGUGACGGUGUUGGGGAGUGAUCCGCGCAGGGCUUCGCCUAAGCACUACGACAAUAUGACCAGAGGAGUAAACGAUGGAGAGAGAGAGGGAGGGAGAAGGAAAGAGGGGGGGGGGCCCUCCCCUAGUCCAAUUCGGACUCCCAUAGGGGGGCGCGCGCCACCUCCUGUUGACUGCCUCCUCCUCUCCCCUAUGGCCCAUGAGGCCCAUUAACUUUCCCAGGGGGGUUCCGGUAACCCCUCGGUUCUCCAAAAAAUCCCUAAAACAUUUCAGAACCAUUCCGGUGUUCGAAUAUAACCUUCCAAUAUAGCAAUCUUUACCUCUCGACCAUUUUGAGACUCCUCGUCAUGUCCGUGAAGUCAUCCAGGACUCCGAACAACCUUCGAUCACCAAAAAACAUAACUCAUAUAAUACCUAUCAUCAUUUAACAUUAAGCGUGCGGACCCUACGGGUUCGAGAACUAUGUAGACAUGACCGAGACACCUCUCCGGUCAAUAACCAAUAGAGGAACCAUGAUGCUCAUAUUGGUUCCCACAGAUUCUACGAAGAUCUUUAUCGGUUGAACCACAAUGUCAACAUACGUUAUUCCCUUUGUCAUCGGUAUGUUACUUGCCCGAGAUUCGAUCAUCUGUAUCCUCAUACCUAGUUCAAUCUCAUUACUGGCAAGUCUCUUUACUUGUUCCGUAGUUCAUCAUCCUGUAACUACCUCAUUAGUCACAUUGCUUGCAAGGCUUCGUAUGAUGUGCAUUACCGAGAGGGCCCAGAGAUACCUCUACGAUACUCAGAGUGACAAAUCCUAAUCUCGAUCUAUGCCAACCCAACAAACACCUUUGAAGAUACCUGUAGAGCAUCUUUAUAAUCAACCAGUCACAUUGUGACCUUUGAUAGCACACAAGGCAUUCCUCUGGUGUCCGGGAGUUGCAUAAUCUCAUAGUCGGAGGAAUAUAUAUUUGACACGAAGAAAGCAGUAGCAAUAAAACUAAAUGAUCAUUAUGCUAUGUUGAUACGUCUCCAACGUAUCUAUAGUUUUUGAUUGUUCCAUGCUAUUAUAUUACCUGUUUUGGAUGUUUAUGGGCUUUAUUUUACAUAUUUAUAUCAUUUUUGGGACUAACCUACUAACCGGAGGCCCAGCCCGUAUUGUUGUUUUAUUUUGCCUAUUUCAGUAUUUCAAAGAAAAGGAAUAUCAAAUGGAGUCCAAACGGAAUGAAAACUUCGGGAGCGUGAUUUUUGGAACAAACGUGAGCCAGAGGACUUGGAGUGCAAGCCAAGAAGCAGUCGAGGCGGCCACGAGGAUGGAGGGCACGCCCACCCCUACAGGGCGCGCCCCUUGUCUCGUGGGCCCCUCGGGCAGCCACCGAUGUACUUCUUCCUCCUAUAUAUACCCACGUACCCCGAAAACAUCCAGGGAGCCACCGAAACACAAUUUCCACCGUGGUAACCUUCUGUAUCCGCGGGAUCCCAUCUUGGAGCCUUCCCUGGCGCUCCGCCGGAAGGGGGAUCAACCACGGAGGGCUUCUACAUCAACACCAUAGCCCCUCCGAUGAGUUGUGAGUAGUUUACCACAGACCUUCGGGUCCAUAGUUAUUAGCUAGAUGGCUUCUUCUCUCUUUUUGGAUCUCAAUACCAUGUUCUCCCCCUUUGUUGUGGAGAUCUAUUUGAUGUAACUAUUUUUGCGGUGUGUUUGUCGAGAUCCGAUGAAUUGUGGGUUUAUGAUCAAGUUUAUCUAUGAGAAAUAUUUGAAUCUCGUCUGAAUUCUUUUAUGUAUGAUUGAGUUAUCUUUGCAUGUCUCUUCGAAUUAUCAGUUUGGUUUGGCCUACUAGAUUGAUCUUUCUUGCAAUGGGAGAAGUGCUUAGCUUUGGGUUCAAUCUUGCGGUGUCCUUUCCCAGUGACAGCAGGCGCAGGAAGGCACAAAUUGUAUUGUAGCCAUCGAGGAUAAAAAGAUGGGGUUUAUAUCAUAUUGUAUGAGUUUAUCCCUCUACAUCAUGUCAUCUUUCUUAAUGCGUUACUCUGUUCUUAUGAACUUAAUACUCUAGAUGCAUGCUGGAUAGCGGUCGAUGUGUGGAGUAAUAGUAGUAGAUGCAGGCAGGAGUCGGUCUACUUGUUGCGGACGUGAUUCCUAUAUACCUGAUUAUGUCUAGAUAAUCUCAUAAUUAUUCGCUUUUCUAUCAGUUGCUUGACAGUAAUUUGUUCACCCACCGUAAUACUUAUGCUAUCUUGACAGCUAGUGAAACCUAUGGCCCCCAGGUCUAUAUUUUAUCAUAUAAGCUUUCAAUCUACUUUUAUUUGCAUCUUUACUUUUCCAAUCUAUAUUAUAAAAUACCAAAAAUAUAUUUAUCUUAUCGUACUAUCUCUAUCAGAUCUCACUUUCGCAAGUGGCCGUGAAGGGAUUGACAACCCCUUUAUCGUCUUGGUUGCGAGUUCUUUGUUUGUUUGUGUAGGUGCGCCGGAAUUUUGAGGAUCCUCCUAUUGGAUUGAUACCUUGGUUCUCAGAAACUGAAGGAAAUACUUACGCUACUAUUGCUGGAUCACCCUUUCCUCUUCAAGGAAAACCAACGCAAGCUCAAGACGUAGCAAAUGCUAACAUAUGGGUCUUGUCCAUCACAUUAUUAUCCUAAUAAUGUGAUCUCGUUCAUCAAAUGACAACACAUGUCCAUGGCUAGGUAACUUAACCAUCUUUGAUCAAUGAGCUAGUCUAGUAGAGGCUUACUAGGGACACAGUGAUUUGUCUAUGUAUUCACACAUGUAUCAAGUUUCCGGUUAAUACAAUUCUAGCAUGAAUAAUAAACAUUUAUCAUGAUAUAAGGAAAUAUAAAAUAACAACUUUAUUAUUGCCUCUAGUGCAUAUUUCCUUUAGUCUCCCACUUGCACUAGAGUCAAUAAUCUAGUUCACAUCUCCAUGUUAUUUAACACCAAUAGUUCACAUCUUUAUGUGGUUAACACCCAUAGUUCACAUCGCCAUGUGACCAAUACCCAAAGGGUUUACUAGAGUCAAUAAUCUAGUUCACAACGCUAUGUGAUUAACACCCAAAGAGUACUAAGGUGUUAUCAUGUUUUGCUUGUGAGAGAAGUUUAGUCAACGGGGCUGCCACAUUCAGAUCCGUAUGUAUUUUGCAAAUUUCUAUGUCUACAAUGCUCUGCAUGGAGCUACUCUAGCUAAUUGCUCCCACUUUCAAUAUGUAUCCAGAUUGAGACUCAAAGUCAUGCAGAUCGGUGUAAAAUCUUGCAUCGACGUAACUCUUUAUGACGAACUCUUUAUCACCUCCAUAACCGAGUAAUAUUUCCUUAGUCCUCUUAGGUAACUAAGGAUAAAGUUGACCGAUGUGCAUUGAUCCACUCCUGGAUCACUAUUGUACCCCCUUGCCAAACUCAUGAUAAGGUACACAAUAUUUCUGGCGCACGGCAUCACAUACUUUAUAGAACUAAGGCUGAGGCAUAGGGAAUGACUUUCAUCCUCUUUCUAUUUUCUGUUGUGGUCGAGUUUUGAGUCUUACUCAACUUUACACCUUGCAACAUAGGAAAGAACUCCUUCUUUGACUGUUCCAUUUUGAACUACUUCAAAAUCUUGUCAAGGUAUGUACUCAUUGAAAAAUCUUAUCAAGCGUCUUGAUCUAUCUCUAUAGAUCUUGUUGCCCAAUAUGUAAGCAGCUUCACCGAGGUCUUUCUUUGGAAAAACUCCUUUCAAAUUCUCCUUUAUGCUUUCCAAAAAAUUCCACAUCAUUUCUGAUCAACAAUAUGUCAUCCACAUAUACUUAUUAGAAAGGUUGUAGUGUUCCCACUCACUUUCUUGUAAAUGCAGGCUUCUCCAUAAGUCUGUAUAAAAUCAUAUACUUUGAUCACCUUAUCAAAGCAUAUAUUCCAACUCCGAGAUGCUUGUACUAGUCCACAGAUGGAUUGCUAGAGCUCGCACACUUUGUUAGCACCUUUAGGAUUGACAAAACCUUCUGGUUGCAUCAUAUACAAUUCUUCUUUAAUAUCCAUUAAGGAAUGCAGUUUUGAUAUCCAUUUGCUAGAUUUCAUAAAAUGGAGCAAUUGCUAACAUGAUUCGGACAAACUUGAGCAUCGAUAUGAGUGAGAAAAUCUCAUCAUAGUCAACACCUUGAACUUGUCAAAAACCUUUUGCAGCAAUUCAAGCUUUGUAGAUAGUAACACUACUAUCACCAUCCAUCUUCCUCUUGAAGAUCCAUUUAUUUUCUAUGGGUAGCCGAUCAUCGGGCAGAUCCACCAAAGUCCACACUUUGUUCUCAUACAUGGAUCAUAUCUCAAAUUUCAUGGCCUUAAGCCAGUUAUCGGAAUCUGGGCUCAUCAUAACUUCUUCAUAGUUCGUAGGUUCUUCAUGGUCAAGUAACAUGACCUCCAGAAUAGGAUUACUGUACCACUCUGGUGCGGUUCAUGCUCUUUUUGACCUAUGAGGUUCUAUAGCAACUUGAUCUGAAGUUUCAUGAUCUUUAUCAUUAGCUUCCUCUCUAGUUGGUGUAGGCAUCACGGGAACAAAUUUCUCGGAUGAGCUACUUUCCAAAUUGAGAGUAGGUACAAUUACCUCUUCAAGUUCUACUUUCCUCCCACUCACUUCUUUCGAGAGAAACUCCUUCUCUAGAAAGGUUCCGUUCUUAGCAACAAAUAUCCUGCCUUUGGACUUGUGCUAGAAGGUGUAACCAAUUGUUUCCUUAGGGUAUCCUAUGAAGAUGCACUUCUCCGAUUUGGGUUCAAGCUUAUCAGGAUGAAGCCUUUUGACAUAAGCAUCACAUCCCCGAACUUUAAGAACCAUCAGCUUAAGUUUGUUGCCAAACCAUAGUUCAUACGGUGUCGUCUCAACGGAUUUUGUUGGUGCCCUGUUUAACGUGAAUGCAACUAUCUCUAAUGCAUAACCCCAAAACGAUAGUGGUAAAUUGGUAAGAGACAUCAUAGAUCGCACCAUAUCUAAUAAAGUGUGGUUACGACGCUCGGCAACACCAUUAUGCUAUGCUGUUCUAGGUGGCGUGAGCUGUGAAACUAUUCACAUUAUUUUAAAUGAAGGCCAAACUCGUAACUCAAAUAUUCACCUCCACGAUCAGAUCAUAGAAACUUUAUUUUCUUGUUAUGUUGAUUCUCCACUUGACUCUGACUUUGAACUUUUCAAAUGUUUCAGACUUGUGUUUCAUUAAGUAGAUAUACCCAUAUCUGGUCAAAUUAUCUAUGAAGGUCAGAAAAUAACGAUACCUGCCAUGAGCCUCAAUACUCAUCGUACCACAUACAUCGGUAUGUAUUAUUUUCAAUAAGUCAUUAGCUCGUUCCAUUGGUCCAGAGAACGGAGUUUUAGUCAUCUUGACCAUAAGGCACGGUUUGCAAGUAUCAAAUGAUUCAUAAUCAAGUGAUUCCAAAAGUCAAUCUGCAUGGAGUUUCUUCAUACGAUGUACACCGAUAUGACCUAAACAACAGUGCCACAAAUAAGUUGCACUAUCAUUAUCAACUUUGCAUAUUUUGGCAUCAAUAUUAUGAAUAUGUGUAUCACCACGAUCGAGAUUCAAUAAACCAUUGACAUUGGAUGUAUGACCAUAGAAGGUUUUAUUCAUGUAGACAAAUUAACAAUUACUCUCUGUCUUAAAUGAAUAACCGUAUUGCAAUAAACAUGAUCUAAUCAUAUUCAUGCUCAACGCAAACACCAAAUAACAUUUAUUUAUGUUCAACACUAAUCCCGAAAGUAUAGGGAGUGUGCGAUGAUAAUCAUAUCAAUCUUGGAACCACUUCCAUCACUCAUCGCCACUUCACCCUCAACUAGUCUCUAUUUAUUCUGCAACUCCUUUUUCGAGUUACUAAUCUUAGCAACCGAACAGGCAUCAAAUACCCAGGGGCUAUUACGAUCACUAGUAAGGUACACAUCAGUAACGUGUAUAUAAAAUAUACCUUUGUUCACUUUGCCAUCCUUCUUAUCCGCCAAAUAUUUGGGGUAGUUCCACUUCCAGUGACCAUUUCCUUUGAAGUAGAAGCACUCAGUCUCAGGCUUAGGUCUAGCUUUGGGAUUCUUCACUUGAGUGACAACUUGCUUGCCAUUCUUUUUGAAGUUCCCUUUCUAUCCCUUUGCCCUUUUAUUAAAACUAGUGGUCUUGUUUAAUCAUCAACACCUGACGCUUUUUCUUGAAUUCUACCUUUGUCGAUUUCAGCAUCACGAAGAGCUCGGGAAUUGCUUUCGUCAACCCUUGCAUAUUAUAGUUCAUCACAAAGUUCCGGUAACUUGGUGAUGGUUACUAGAGAACUUUGUCAAUCACUAUCUUCUCUGGAAGAUUAACUCCCACUUGAUUCAAGCGAUUGUAGUACCCAGAAAUUCUGAGCACAUGCUCAGUAGCUGAGCUAUUCUCCUCCAUCUUUUAGGCGAAGUACAUGUCAGAGGUCUCAUACCUCUUGACACGGGCAUGAGUCUGAAAUAACAAUUUCAGCUCUUGGAAUAUCUCAUAUGCUCCGUGGCGUUCAAAACGUUGUUGAAGUCCCAGUUCUAAGCCGUAAAGCAUGGUGCACUAAACUAUCAAGUAGUCAUCGUAUUGAGUUAGCCAAACAUUCAUAACGUCUGCAUCUGCUCCUGCAAUAGGUCGGUCACCAAGCGGUGCAUAAAGGACAUAAUUCUUCUAUGCAGCAAUGAGGAUAAACCUAAGAUCAUGGACCCAUGUAACGACCCGACCCGAAAUCGGUCAAGUCUCUAUGUAGCUAUACCAUCCCAAGAUCAUGCUGGCACACACAAUACAUUGAUGAAAAGAUUCAAAGUUCAAUCACACCUAAAUUUAUUACACAAUUCUCAUAUCGAGUCUUUAUUACAACAUAAUAAAUUCGGCCGAAGGCCAACUCAUGAGAAAUAAACUAAGUAAAGCUGCGGAAGCAUAGACGAAUAGCGAGUCCAUCCGACUCCAUAGGGAAAUCGCCAAGCAUGGAUCGCAGCCUCACUCCUGGUCGGAAAACUCCUCUGGAACAUAAGAUGUUGCAAUCGUGUAGGUCAGCAUUUUCGAAUAUGCCAGCAAGUCCUGAAGAUAGAACAACCAUAAAAUUACUAAUACUAUAUGCAAUUUGGCUCUGGGGCUCUAAGUUUCUCUGUUUUUGCAAAAAAGCCAGUUUUUUUCCUACAACAAAGAAUUUUUAUGCAAUUACUACAAAAUGUUGGUUGUUAUUGAGAUGGUUCCGCCAACCAAUGUCUCACUCCCAAUUCUUAAAUAACCCCUCAAUUAAUUUAUUAAGUUCGGUGUUGAGAUAUCCAAAAUACUCCAAUUUCCAGAGGCUCAAAUUGUCCAUAAGCGGGGACACAGCUAAUCGAUUAGGUCUUCACUCUGCAGAGUCUUGUGCACUUUACCCGCAAGAAUCGUUCCCUCCUUUUAAGUCUUCACACUGCCUGGUGUUUAAAGACGGGAUGAACGAAACAGGGUCUUCCGAAGAGUUCCACUGGGCCACUGCCGGUGCCCAUCCAAUCCUACCAUUCUUCUACAUCUCGUAGCACCGUCCGGCCAAAGUCACGCCUAGGGUCGAACAAGCCAGGGCCCAUAAUGGCUUGCGGCUGCACAUGUAAGCUUCCGGUCAAUGGGGUAUCCAUCCAUCUCUUCGUGGCUGGGUGAAGCUUUCCGCAAGAUGUCAUGGCGCUUCUCCAUGCAUCCCGACCAUCCGCUGGUUUCUCCAGGGUGCCCGUCAACCGUCCUCCAUCCAGUAGUGAAUUUUGAAGUCCAUCUUGAGCUUGAAGUCAUGGGGUUGUCAUCAUGUUGACUCUCACAUCUCCCUUAUGAAUCACUCAACCAACCCCGUCUACGAAAGCAUAACAAUCAACUACAUCGUCCCCGGCAUUGGUAACAAGGGAAAAGGGGUUCAUCCUACCUCAUGAUACUACUCAAGAACAUAACUUAAAAUUCUCCUACUGCAUGCAUGGUGGGGAGGAAAUAAUUCUAAUGCAAUAAAUCAUAGGUAUUGUAAAACAUGAUCAAAUGACUUGCCUGGUUGACGGUCUUCGAAAGCUAGCGACUCGUAAUAGCAGGCCUCACACUCUGGGAAUUCUACCGAGUCAGACAAUAGCACAAAUAAGUAUACCACAAAGUAACAUAACAGCAAGUUAAAGUAAAUCAUACAAGCACUCAAACCAAAACUAAAGAAAACUCGAAGAAAAACAAAUCAAGGUUUUCAUCACUUCAAGCAACAACUAAUAAAUAGUUUUAUGCUAGUAAAACUAUUCUAAACAGAAUCUAAACAAGGGUUGAACUAACUAAUAGAAAGGAAAAUAACAUAAAAACUAGGUGCAAAAAGAAUCACCUCAAAAGCUAUUGUAGAACUCCUAUUAUGCCUAGAACAAAACUAGCACUGAAGUAAAAUAAAAAAAAUAUUCUACUGUAAAUAAAAGUGCACCCUCUGUAACUACAGAAACUAAUCUAAAAUAAAUUAUAACACAGGAAAAAUAAAAAUACAUAAUAACUAGAACAGCAGGAAAACAGUAACAAGCUAAACAAAACUAGAAAAGCUUGAUUUCGGCUAAAACUAAUUUUAUUUAAAUCUAAAAAUACACAAACAAGUUCCUAAUUCUAGGCAAGGUCAAAACUAAGCAGUAGCAAAAAAAUCACUAAAAUAAAAUUAUUCUAGCGCCAUUUAUGGCAGAAAAACUAAUCUGACUACAACUAAUAUAAAACUAUUUUUUAAACAUAAACAUGGCUAAACCUAAUUUCUGCAGAAACUACAAGAAAUUUGUAAACUAACAAAAAAAGAAUCAACUAAAAACAAUAAACAACCUAAAAGAUGCAACUAAAACACAAACAUAACUAUUUCUGCUAAAAACAAAAACUAAAACUGUCGUGGAAUUGUCACGUCAGAUGUCCUCGUGAAAGGACUUAGUUGUGGAUCCAUCGCAACUAGGAAGCUUGAAGGGGUUAAUCGGGACAAAGGACAUGAGAGAUUUUAUACUAGUUCGGCCCCUUACGGUGAAGGUAAGGCCUACGUCUAGUUUGGUUGGUAUUGAUGUUUCGAUGACUAGGGAGUGAGAUAUACUAUGCCUGGCUCUCAAUGAGUUGUUUCUUGCCCUAAGCCGCCAGCGGGUCGUUCCCUUAUAUACACGGGUCGACGCCCUGCGGCUUACAGAGUCCCGGCCGGCUUAUAAACAAUGUCCGGCUCGGUGACUAGUUAAGUCUACCUUAUGAUACAAGUAAUAUUAUUACAACAGUUUAUUACAACGGGCCUUAAGUCGCCUGCGGGCCUUAAGCUCUCUAUGAACCGCCAUCUUCAUACUUUGGUCUUGGGCUUCUCUCUGGUGAGUCCUCUUUGCGUAACCCGGCCCCUCCUAGGCAGCUUACACAAAUAGUUAUAUCCCCAACAUUAGGCCCCAGAUUGAUUUGAACCUGUUCAUGUCAAUCUUAAAAUACCUUAUGGACUAUCCUGCAGUCCUUUGUCUUGAAUGAAGAAUUUUAACCCGCCGUGACGUCAUCAUCUGGAUCCGGGUUAAAUCAUCAUGAUGUCAUCUUCAAUAAAAAUUAAUUUUUUACUCCGUCGUAUCUUGAACGGAUCUUUGUCUUUACUGACCAUCCCGAGAAUCAAGGCGCCAGAGCCGCUGGAUAAUAAAUGUUAUCUCCUCGUCUUUCGCGCCCUCUCGGUCAGUCUUCCCUUAUAAAUAGGGCGAUCUAGGUCUUUUCCCCAGUCGUCUUCUUCCUCUCCUCUUUGCCACUCGAGCUUCGCUGCUGUCGCCAUCGACUUCCUCAUCUUCAUCGACUCAGGCCGCUGCAUCGACCUGACCUUGACCAGAGAUCGACGGCGAACCUCCGCAGCUCAUCUGCAUCUAUGAGUUCCUUUCAUUCCCUUUCUCAGAUCUGCAUUAGGUCCUUAUCGAGUUCGUCGGUGUUCAUCAUUGGCCGACACCAAAUCCUUGCUAGUUCCUUCCAAUGCCCUGUUUAGAUCGUGAAAACCACGUAGAACUGCUGCGGUGUUUGUUUGUGUUGAUCUUGCAUAAAAAUAGAUCUCCUUUCCCUUGUUUAGGAACCCUCUUCGAGUGCAUGAACUUCUCUACCUCGUUUUAGGUCUAGAAAAUUUCCUUUCAGAGCAAUAUUUUGAUCCAGAGUAAUAACUAUUAUCUGUGAAACUUGCUUUUAUCACCCGAAAAACCUCUUCUGGUAAAUGCUCGGAAAUACAACCGCCGAGGUGUCCGGCUUAAAUGACACAGAACUUUAAUUGCUCCUCAUGACCUGGAAAAAAUUGUGAACUGCACUUGAUACUUGUAGCGGCUUAAGUAUUGUUGCAUAGUCAUCCUUACAUCAUUAGGCCCCUUAUUAAGCCGCCACUUUCAAUAAUUAGAAUCUUUUUCCCAGGUUAAAAUUGAACCGGAUCUUCUUGUUUUUCCAUAGGCCAAUUGCUGCGAUGGCUCCUAAGGCUACCAAGGCCCCUGUAACUUGCAAUUGGGUUCCAUCCAUAGUUACCAAUAGAAAACUAGCUGCGUUUGUGAAGUCUGGGCAUCUGCCAAAAAAGGAUGUCAUGUCUUACCGUGCCCCUGACCCGUCUGAAGAAAAGCCUCAUCCCAAAGCAGGGGAAGUAAUAAUUUUUAUGGAUCAUAUGAGCCAUGGAUUUUCUCCUCCCAGCUCAAAAUUCUUCAGGGAGGUUUUGAAUUUCUUUGACCUUAGACCUCAAGACAUCGGACCCAAUUCCGUGUCAAAUAUUUGUAAUUUUCAAGUCUUCUGCGAGGUGUACCUGGGUGAGGAGCCAAGUCUGCUAUUGUUCAGGGAACUUUUUUACAUGAACCGGCAAAAUGAAUGUGCAAACGGGCCCAGUCUUGAGCUUGGCGGCAUCUCAAUCCAGCGACGGAGAGUCUGUCUUUUCCCUUAUGCUGAGUUACUGAGUCACCUUAAAUCCUGGAACCAGACAUGGUUCUACUUUGAGGACACUUCUCCGGCUGAUGAAAAACCUCUGCCCGACUUUCGUGCCCUGCGCCUUGAGUCCAAUCAUCCACUACCAGACAAGCUGACAACCCUUGAACGCGUGCCUCUUAGUUCCACCAUCAAGAAGAUUAAAGCUCUAUUGGGAAAUGGUUUAAACGGCAUCGAUCUGGUCUGAGUCUGGGUCACUUGGCGUAUACUUCCAUUAAGCCGCCGCCCCGGCUUAAUGUGUACUUAUACUGGAGAAAAGAAUGAUCCGCUACGCCAUAGCCCUGAUGACUUACCAGAUGAUGUGGUGGAUGCUACAACCCAGUCACUGCUGAAGGAGGGCACUGUGACGAGCAACGCCUUCGGCUUACUUUCAUUUUGCAAGAAUAACCCAGCCCCUGCGGUAAGUUAUGAAUCGUAACAAAUGUUUACAGAUAUAUUAUACCUUUCUUGAUACUCAUAAUUCUUUAACUUUUUCCACAGACCAGUGAUGACUUCUGGAAGGUCAAAUAUGACCAUGAAGCUGCCAAACAGGCCAGGACAACCAAGAAAGCUGAACGGAAAGCUGCCAAGGUAGGAACCUCAAAGAAGAAGAAACCCAGCGCAUCCGACUUACUCAGAUUGGAGGAUAGCUCUUCGGAUGAGGAAGAGGUAAUCUUUAAAUUUUCUUAAGUCCCUUCUUAUCACCUGUCUGAAAUUUUAUACCUUCAGGAGGAUACGAGGAACAGUCGAGCAGCCAAUGAAGAGGUAACUAUAAUCUCCUCUAACUCAGAGCCUUUGCCAAAGCAAAAGAUCCGAAGGGUGACUCGGAAAGUAAGAUUUUCACAUGCACUUGCUUAUCAAGAUCCUCAAUUUCUUUUGAAGCAACAACAACUUGAGAACCGGAGGCAAACUCAGGCCACUCAAGACGCCGAACUCUCCUCCGGCUUACCUGAUGUAACCAAGAAGUGUCGAACCGAGGUUACCUCCAAUUUACAUUCUGCUUUUCCUUUGGCGAGUCUAAUUCGCCAACCUCUCAAUUCAUUUGACUCCAAUUAUCAGGAUGCUUCUCCGUCUUCCGACGAGUCGAUGCAAUCAAACAUGCCGGUUUUUAAAACAGCUCCCGGGUAAUGCAACCUUUCUUACUUUAAGUUUUUCCAUACUUAUACGUCGAUACUCAUCCUUCCACUUUGAUUGACAGCCUUCAAGUGAAGCCUAGCAAGAGGGAAAAGAAGAAUAAGCCGUCCCAAGACCCGGUGGUCCCUGAAUCGACAAUUGACUCAUCCGUUCCUAACGGCUCCAGUCAUCAGCCACCGCCUGAACCGGCUCUUGAUAUUCCAGUGUCAACCUCUGACCCACCUACAGAAGACGUUGUCCACAAUUCUGAUAACCCGGAAAUUCAUAGCCCGGUCAAGACAACUGAUCCAGAAGUUGUGUUUCUGAAAAACCAAUAUGUUGAACUGGGCCAGCCCACUGUUCUUGCUCAGCGCACUGCCAAGGAGGAGUUUCCCAACGUCGGAAAGCUAAACAAGAUAUCACUUAUUAUGCUCACCUAAGCAUUGGUGAUAUAGUCUCGGGUUAUCUGAACCAAGUGCACAAGAGCUGUGACCUGGAAAUUGACAUGGUGAAGCAAAUACAUCAUAAAUCUGAGGUAUAACUUUAACUUUUCCUGAACCUUACUUACUGUACCAGCCCCCAAGUCUAUCGUUUAUGAAUGAAUAUGCUAUAGACUUAGAAAUCUACUUACUACUAGUUUGUCCGGUUUAAAGUGAAUAAUUUUAACCUGUUGAUAGCAUGAAACUUUGAAUUGACACAUUAGUCCCCAAGUGUCAAGUAUCUUUACUUGUAAAUUGCUUGAGACUUUAAUAUAUGUGACCCGGCAAGAGAAGGUUUACAAUUCUUCAGCAUACAUUAUCCCCCAAGUGUCAAGUAUCUUUACUUGUAAGGUGCUUGAGACUUUUAAUGUUACCUUAUAAUCCUUACCAGAACCUGGUGUCAAUGCAGGUCACCAUAAGUCAAUUUGAAUCGGAGAUUGCUGACCUGAAGAGCCAGCUGAAGCUUCAAGAGCUUGAAACUCAAAAAGCAAACUCCAAGUUUGAAUUUAGCAUCUCUGAACCAGAGAAAUUGAAGAAAAAUUUUGAGUCGGAGAAAAAAGCUUGGGUUGAUGAAAGGGCUUCAUUAGUGGCUCGGGCCGAAACGGCAGAAGCAUCACUUGCAGAGGCAACAACCGAACUGUCCGACUUAAAGCGGCAGAUAUCCCAAAUGGUCUCAGCCAUCUUUGGUAAGUCACUCUAAGCCUUUAAACAUUGUAAUCUUCCAAGAUUUAGUGUGACGAGUAUCUCCAGCUUAUUGUUAUGCUUGUGACCAUAUAGGCCCCAGGAGAACCAACCUCAAGCAAAACAUGCUGACCAAGCUCAAGGCGGUUUACACCCUUGUGGAGCAGCUGUACUCCAGGUCACAACGUGCCUUGGCCGUUGUAGCUUUAUCAACUCCACAUCCCCGCCUUCUGCAAGAUGUAUUGAAGAGCCUCGCUUUUCUUCCUCAGCGGAUCCAAGAUUUAAGGCGGGUGUCCUCAAGAGCCGAAGCCGUAGCCGCAUUGAGUCGGGCCAAAGCAUGGCUCCCAGAACUAGACCCGGCCGACCUUGCCCUUGAAUACCCAAGUCUGAAGGAGGACGACAUUGCCUUUGAUGACCAUGACUUCAACGCCUGUGUCAAAGCCAUUCGUCCCGUGGCAACCCUUAUUGGAAACGACACAGAUCUUAGCAAGUAUGCACCGGCUUAUGACAGUGAAAACCGGAGAAUCCCAAACGCUCCAUAUUAUCAAAUCAGCCUGAUCCCUCCAAUUCGUAAGCAUACUUUCCCCCCUGAAGUGGACCCAGCCGGUUGAAUAGAUGCUGAAGCUGAAUUUAAAGCUUUGAGCAGUAUUGAUUGGGCCUCAUCAACUUUCCAGGACAAAACCGCCGACGGAGAAGCGGAGAAGGAUAACCCGGAGCCCUCAAGCCCGUCAAAGGAGUAAAUCGCCAAGUGUUUGGCCAAAAAACAAUGCUUCAUCAAUUUCAGACUCGGGGAGUCUUGUAAUAGGGUAGAAAAAAAACUUCCCCAUGUCUAUCAUGCCUUUGUGCAUGCUUAAUACUUUUCGUAAGCUGCCAUGGCUAUAUAUUUCUGGCUUUUGCUUCCUUUGUGUUUUAAACUUUCCUUGCCUUUUUCUGCAAUCCUUGGAUAAUCUUCCCGGCUCAUAUAAUGUUUACCUAGCACUUAACAACCUGGGGUGACGAAUAUUAAACCGUCAAGACAAAAAACAUCUAAAAUGCUUUUCACAAGGUUUCAGGAUAAUCAAAAUACUUUACAGGCUUCUGAUUCGGAUACGAUAAGUAAACUGUUCCAAAGGGGUUAAGCUAAGAUUCAGAUACGAUCAUAUAGCCCCCAGUGGCUUGGCAAUGCCGAUCAAGUGGGUAUCGACAACUAUGUUCUCUUUGGUUCGAAUACGACCUAUGUUUGAAUAGGAAGCCCCCAAGUGACCAUAUGAUUUGUUUAAUGAUGUUGAUUCGUAUACGAUCCACGUCAGACCUAAAGGGGUUAAGCUGUGAUUCAAAUAUGAUCAGGAAGCCCCCAAGUAGGCUUGGCAAGUAUUCCGAUCAAGUGGGUAUCGACAGCUAUGUUCUCUUUGGUUCGGAUACGACCUAUGUUUGAACAGGAAGCCCCCAAAUGACCAUGACUUGAUUCAGAUAUGAUCAUAAGCCGGACCAAAGGUAAAGCCGGAUUCAGAUAUGAUCCGGUCCCUAUUGGUUGUUUCCACCACCUGUCAAAAAGUCAUAUACACUUUUUUGAGGGUGAAAAAAGGACAGAGGUCCUGCUUUAUUACUUUAUAUAAUAUGUACAUUGUCCAAAAAAUAUGUACAUCUAAAGAGCCGGUGGCUUAAGUAUAAUAAGGCCGAAGAUGGGCUAUAUUCCACGGCCGGCGGGUCUCCUCCUCCGAUUUACCUGAAUCCUUGUGCUCUCGAAUAUCAAUGAGGUAGUAUGACCCAUUGUGCAGAUUCUUGCUGACCACAAAAGGUCCUUCCCAAGGAGGGGAUAGCUUGUGCAUAUCGGACUGAUCCUGGAUGAGCCGGAGCACUAAAUCGCCUUCCUGAAAUGUUCUGCUUCUGACCCGGUGGCUGUGAUAGCGACAAAGGUCUUGCUGGUAAAUCGCCGAACGGGCUAUUGCCAAGUCUCGCUCCUCAUCCAACAAGUCAAGAGCCUCCUGUCGAGCCUUCUCAUUAUCAGCCUCAAUGUAAGCCGCCACACGGGGCAAAUCGUGCUGGAUAUCAUUUGGCAGAACUGCCUCUGCUCCAUAAACCAUGAAAAAAGGCGUGUAACCCAUUGAUCUGUUAGGCUUAGUGUUGAUGCUCCACAGCACAAAGGGCAACUCUUCCACCCAACAACCCAGAGUCCGCUGUAAAGGGACCAAAGCCGUGGUUUGAUACCCCUUAAGAUCUCCUGAUUAGCUCUUUCUGCUUGACCAUUGGAUUGAGGAUGAGCAACAGCUGAAACAUCAAGCCGGAUAUGUUCCCGUUGACAGAACUCCCCCAUGGCACCCUUGGAGAGAUUAGUGCCAUUAUCAGUUAUGAUGCUAUGUGGAAAACCAAAACGAAAGAUCACCUUUUUGAUGAACUGAACUGCUGUGGCCGCAUCACACUAACUGACCGGCUCUGCCUCAAUCCACUUUGUAAAUUUAUCCACUACCACUAGGAGGUGUGUCUUUUUAUCCUUUUAGACCUUUUAAAAGGUCCCACCAUGUCAAGCCCCCAGACUGCAAGCGGCCAAGUAAUUGGAAUCAUGCUCAAUUCCUGAGCCGGCACAUGAGCUCGUCGUGAGAAUUUUUGACAUCCGUCACAUUUGCUAACAAGUUCUUCUGCAUCAGCAUGAGCCGUCAGCCAAUAAAAACCAUGACAGAAAGCCUUGGUCACCAGAGAUUUUGAACUGGCAUGAUGACCACAAUCUCCUUCAUGGAUUUCUCGAAGUAUCUCGUGACCCUCUGCAGGCGACACACAACGCUGGAACGCCCCUGUGACACUGAGAUGAUGUAACUCGCCGUUAACAAUUGUCAUGGAUUUGGACCGCCUGACAAUUUGUCUCGCCAAGGUCUCAUCCUCAGGCAGCUCUCCCCGGGUCAUAUAAGCCAAAUAUGGCAAUGUCCAAUCCGGGAUGACGUGAAGUGCUGCCACCAACUAUGCCUCCGGGUCUGGCACUGCAAGCUCCUCCUAUGUAGGUACCUUGACAGAAGGAUUAUGUAAAACGUCAAGAAAGGUGUUAGGCGGCACCGGCUUGCGCUGAGAGCCCAACCGGCUUAAAGCAUCAGCCGCCUCAUUCUUCCUUCUGUCAAUGUGCUCCACCUGAUACCCUUUGAAGUACCCAGCUACGACAUCAACUUCAUGGUGAUAAGACACCAUAAGGGGAUCCUUAGAAUCCCAUGUGCCUGAGACCUGUUGAGCCACGAGGUCUGAGUCGCCCAAGCACCUUACCCGUCUUAAAUUCAUCUCCUUAGCCAUCCGGAGACCAUGGAGCAAGGCCUCGUAUUCAGCUGCAUUGUUAGUACAAGGAAACAUGAGCCGGAGCACAUAACGAAAUUUAUCACCUCGUGGGGAAGUUAAGACAACUCCAGCCCCUGAUCCUUCUAACUGCCUGGACCCAUCAAUAUGAAUAGUCCAAUACAUAUUGUCCGGCUUCUCCUCAGGUGCCUGCAACUCUGUCCAAUCAUUGAUAAAAUCCACCAAGGCCUGAGAUUUGAUGGCAGUACGGGGCAUAUACUUUAAACCAUAAGGCCCAAGAUCAAUGGCCCACUUGGCGAUGCGUCCUGUAGCUUCCCUAUUCUAAAUGAUAUCUCCCAAAGGAGCCGAGCUCACCACCGUUAUAGGGUGAAUUUGGAAGUACUGCUUCAGCUUCCGGUUUGCCAUGAACACACCAUAAACAAGCUUCUGCCAAUGUGGAUACCUUUGUUUAGACUCAAUGAGCACCUCGCUGAUGUAGUAAACCGGCCGUUGAACCGGAUGCUCCUUGCCUUCCUCCUUACGUUCUACCACGAUGGCAACACUGACAGCCCAUGAGUUAGCAGCCGCAUAUAACAAUAGCAGCUCUUUAUCAAUGGGAGCUGCAAGAACCGGUGGCUCAGACAACUGUCUCUUUAAAUUUUCAAAGGCAGUGUUAGUAGCAUCGCUCCAGACAAAAGUGUCUGUUUUCUUCAUCAUCUGAUAUAGCGGUAAGGCCUUCUCUCCUAACCGGCUUAAGAACCGGCUUAAAGCAGCAACCCGUCCCGCCAGGUGCUGAACAUCAUUGAUACAUGCCGGCUUAGCCAGAAAGGUAAUCGCCGUGAUCUUCUCCGGAUUAGCUUCAAUGCCUCUAUUUGACACCAGAAAACCCAAAAGCUUACUUGCAGGUACACCAAACACACACUUGGCCGGGUUAAGCAUCAUCUUGUAAACCAGGAGAUUGUCAAAGGUCUCUCUCAAGUCGGAUAUUAAAGUUUCCCUUUCUCUGGACUUCACCAUGAUGUCAUACACAUAAGCAUGAACAUUGCUCCCAAUUUGAUCGUGCAAAUAGUUCUGCACGCAUCGCUGAUAAGUUGCCUGGGCACUCUUGAUCCCGAACGGCAUAGAUACAUAACAGAAGGCCCCAAACGGAGUGAUGAAAGCUGUCUUCUCCUAGUUCUUAACCGCCAUCUUAAUCUGAUGAUAGCCAGAGUAAGCAUCCAAAAAGCUCAAACUUUCACAACCCGCCGUAGCAUCAAUGAUUUGAUCAAUACGGGGGAGAGCAAAGGGAUCAGCCGGGCAAGCCUUAUUUAAGUCUGUGUAAUCCACACACAUCCGCGAGGUGCCGUUCUUCUUGAGCACUAGCACCGGGUUAGCCAACCACUCCGGAUGAAAAACUUCAACAAUAAACCCGGCCGCCAAGAGCCGGGCCACCUCUUCCCUAAUGGCUGUCUGUCUCUCUUCAUUGAAUCGUCGGAGAAACUGCCUGACCGGCUUAUACUUCGGAUCAAUAUUGGGAGUGUGCUCAGCGUGUUCCCUCGGUACACCCGGCAUGUCAGAAGGUUUCCAUGCAAAGAUGUCCCGGUUCUCAUGGAUGAACUCGAUGAGCGCGCUUUCCUAUUUAGGAUCCAAAUUGGCUCUAAUACUGAACUGUUUAGAGGCGUCUCCCGGGGUGAAGUCGACAAGCUUUGUCUCAGCGGCCGAUUUAAACUUCAACGCCGGGUCAUGCUCAGUAGUUGGUUUCUUGAGGGAGGUCAUAUCCGCCGGCUCAACAUUGUCUUGAUAGAAUUUGAGCUCCUCCGCAGCACAGGCCGUCUCAGCGUAAGCCGCGUCGCCUUCUUCGCAUUCCAAGGCCACCUUUCGACUCCCAUGUACGGUGAUGGUGCCCUUGUAACCCGGCAUCUUGAGUUGUAAGUAAACAUAACACGGCCGUGCCAUGAACUUAGCAUAAGCCGGUCGCCCAAAUAGAGCAUGAUAUGGGCUCGUGAUCUUGACCACCUCAAACGUCAACUUCUCAGCCCUGGAAUCAUACUCAUCUCCAAAAGCCACCUCUAAUUCAAUCUUACCAACUGGGUAAGCCGACUUACCUGGAACUACCCCGUGGAAAAUAGUGUUGGAUGUCCUCAGAUUCUUCUCAGUCAACCCCAUAUGUUGGAAGGUCUCAUAAUAAAGGAUAUUGAUGCUGCUACCUCCGUCCAUGAGUACUUUAGUGAAUUUAUAUCCACCAACCUGGGGUGCUACAACCAAGGCUAACUGACUCGGAUUAUCAACUCGUAGUGGGUGAUCCUCUCUGCUCCAAAUGAUAGGUUGCUCUGACCAUCUCAAAUAACGAGGGACCACCGGCUCAACCGAAUUUACAUCCCUCUUAUGAACCUUCUGGUCACGUUUGCAUAAGCUAGUGGUGAACACAUGGUAUUGCCCACCGCUCAACUGUUUCGGCUGGCUCUGGUAACCUGACUGCUGCUGCUGCUGUUGUCCUCCUUGACCAGCUUGCUGUUGAUUAUUUCCACCCGGGUGUCCCUGAAAACCGGAAUUUGAACCGCCACCCGGGCCAUGAAAGCCACCGGCCCCUGAACCGCCACCAGGUCCAUGACCACCCGGGCCAUGAAAGCCGCCACCCGUUUUUAAAUGCCUUCAUGAUCGCACAAUCUUUCCACAGGUGCAUAGCGGGGUGCUCCCCGGUGCUGUGUUUCAGACAGGGCUCGUUGAGUAGCUGCUCAAGAGAUGGACCUGACCCGCCAGUUCGAGGCCACUUACCCUUGUGUCUUUGAUUGUUACCCUGUGUACUCGCGUUAGCCACAAGCUCCGGGCUGCCGUCCGCCUUACGCUUAUUGCCGCCUUGAUUCCCCUGGUUGUGCUGUUGACCCUUUGCAUUACCGUUCCUUUUACCCUUCCCUGUCUUCUCAUCAUCAGACGCAGGGUCCUUGGUAUUAUCAAAAUCGGCAUAUUUGACUAAAGCCGCCAUCAGCGUUCCCAUAUCGGUGCAGUCAUGCUUAAGGCGUCCCAAUUUCUGCCUCAGCGGCUCAAAGUUGCAAUUUUUCUCCAACAUGAGGACUGCAGAGCCGACAUCCAUCUUAUCAGAUGAAUGAAUUAUCUCCUUGACUCGCUGUACCCAAUGGGUGGUGGAUUAACCCUCCCCCUGCUUACAACUCGUCAAGUCCAUGAUUGACAUGGAUUGCUUACAGGUGUCCUUGAAGUUCUGGAUGAAACAGGCCUUUAACUCCUCCCACGAACCAAUGGAAUUAGGUGGUAAACCUUUUAGCCAAGACCGGGCCGUUCCAUCUAACAUCAUGGUGAAGUAUUUAGCCAUUGCCGCGUCACUGACCUCCAACAGUUCCAUGGCCAUCUCAUAACUCUCAAUCCACGCUCCGGGCUGUAAGUCAGCCGUGUAAUUCGACACCUUUCGAGGCCCCUUGAAGUCCUUAGGCAGGCGCACAAUGCGCAAAGCCGGUACCAAACAAGGAACUCCACUGGUUCUGGUGGCUACUCCCAACUCAAUAGAAGUCGUUGGAUACUCUAGGAUAUCCUGAUGAGCCGCUUGUUGAGCCGCCCGCUCGUUCUCCUGAUGUACUCGGUCUUGCACCGGGUUAUAGCCACCAUGCUGGUUACGGCGUUGAGCGUUGCUUGAUAAAGCUUCGGACUCCAUGUGCCUGUUAUAACUUGGGCUCCGGUUCUGACGAGGCGGUGCUAACCAAGGCGGAGGGGUUGAAUGAAUCCUAUCCCGGCUGUAAGAAUAGGUAUCCUGCUGAGCCAAGGCCGUCUGGACAAGUUCCCUGAUCCUCCGGGUCUCCACUGCUGUUGGAUCAUCACCGUCCACUAGAAGAGCCGCCAGGCGCGCUGACGCUGCAAUUAAGUUCUCCAUGGGGUUGGAAAAGUGACCCUCCGGUACCGGCACAUAAUGCGGCGGCGCCAUGCUCAUAUGAGGAGGUGGCAUCUCCCGACGCUGAGCCGGUCCUCCCGCUCCGGAUGUCAUAAACUGAUUAGCAUCGGGCGGGUUACUUGGGCCGGCUCCGGGUGUAGCAAAAAGAACCCUCGGGUCACAGUUCGGAGGCAACCGGGAUUGGGUCUUCUGGUGGCUCCUCCUCAUUACCUCAUUGGACACGUUUAAACUCAUCAUGAGCUGAUAAGCCUCUGACUGCAACCGCUGUACCCGAGCAUCAAGAGCCGCCCGCUCUAUAGCUAGCCUAGUAUCCUCAGCUGCUAAGGCCUCCUUGGCCUGAGCUAUCUCCUCACGUACCGUGCUACCUCCGCGUCAUGCUCAUCUUUGUUUGUAGGGAUAACCGUGGUGGUAAACAGGGUCGUAAGCUUGUCCAUGAGGUCUAUCAGUACUUGAGCCAGAGGGCGCGCAGGGCCUCCUGCCCCGGCUGCUCCUAACUCCGAAGUAAUUGCGGCCGCGGCUGUAGAGUUUUGCCCGGGUUGGGUCCCAGCCAUAAAGACUCCUGCCCAAUUUGGUGACUCACAGAGGUCCGGAAUACUAAGGCCAUCGAAACAGCCCCCGAGCGCACCGUCUUGAACUCUGAUACAAAGAAUCUGUUGAACCGGUGGACGAAUCGCCGUCAGAGUGGACGGCCAUCUUACCACCAUCUUCAGGACCUUCAGAAAGUUCUUCUCAAUGGAAGCAGCCCACAAAGACACGCUUCAUGCCGGUUUGAACUCGGGCGGGUUUCACAUGUUGAGCCAUCUCGACGAGGUCGGUGCAGUUGUCCGGCUCAGGCCCCGGCUCACCAAUCUGGCCGAUGACGACGUGGAUCCCUCCGAAAGGGACCCUGUACCCGUACUCAAUUGAGCCGGCGUCGGGGCCCCAGCCUUCGUCGUCGAUGUAGAUCUUGCCGCGACGACUUUUGGUCAUCUGGCCCACUACGUAUCCCUUGAGCCCUUCAAAGUUGCCCUUCAAGAACUCAAAUCCACCGUGCGCUGGCCCCACGGUGGGCGCCAACUGUCGUGAAAUUGUCACGUCAGAUGUCCUCGUGAAAGGACUUAGUUGUGGAGCCAUCGCAACUAGGAAGCUUGAAGGGGUUAAUCGAGACAAAGGACACAAGAGAUGUUAUACUAGUUCGGCCCCUUACGUUGAAGGUAAGGCCUACGUCUAGUUGGGUUGGUAUUGAUGUUUCGAUGACCAGGGAGCGAGAUACGCUAUGCCUGGCUCUCGAUGAGUUGUUUCUUGCCCUAAGCCGCCAGCGGGUCCUUCCCUUAUAUACACGGGUCGAUGCCCUGCGGCUUACAGAGUCCCGGCCAGCUUCUAAACAAUGUCCGCCCCUUUGACUAGUUAAGUCUACCUUAUGAUACAAGUAAUAUUAUUACAGCGGUUUAUUACAACGGGCCUUAAGUCGCCUGCGGGCCUUAAGCUCUCUAUGAACCGCCAUCUUCAUACUUUAGUCUUGGGCUUCUCUCUGGUGAGUCCUCUUUGCGUAACCCGGCCCCUCCUGGGCGGCUUACACAAAUAGUUAUAUCCCCAACAAAAAUUAAAAGAAAGAAAAGAACAUAGAAGUUUCUGAGCCUAUCUAAAGCUUAGGCGCAAUAACUAAAACGUGCCCGUAGCUAAUAGAACAAAACCGGAACAGCCCGAUCUAACCGAACCAGUAACUAAACCGCAAAAACAAUUGUAACUAAAACCGGCUAUGAACCGAUCUAAUGCAAUCAACCUAACCGUUCGCUAGAUCUAAUCUAGGCCGCAGAAAUUAGAUCGGACGGCGGGGAGCGGCUCCGGUGACUUAGAGCGGUGGCGACGGUGACGACAGAUGACGGUGGCUUAGGCGAUGGUGGUGCGGUGGCUCCGGUGGUCGGGGAAGACGGCAGAGACGUCGGGCGGCUGCGGCGGGGUGUUGCGGAGGCGAGGGUGGAGUUGGUGGAGCUUGGGGCUGACGGAGGCGAUCGGGGCGAGCUCGGGUGGCGGUAAUGGCGCGGCGGAGGCUUCAGGCUCCGGCGAGAGAUUGCAAGGCGAGGGUGCGUCGGGUGNNNNNNNNNNNNNNNNNNNNNNNNNNNNNNNNNNNNNNNNNNNNNNNNNNNNNNNNNNNNNNNNNNNNNNNNNNNNNNNNNNNNNNNNNNNNNNNNNNNNNNNNNNNNNNNNNNNNNNNNNNNNNNNNNNNNNNNNNNNNNNNNNNNNNNNNNNNNNNNNNNNNNNNNNNNNNNNNNNNNNNNNNNNNNNNNNNNNNNNNNNNNNNNNNNNNNNNNNNNNNNNNNNNNNNNNNNNNNNNNNNNNNNNNNNNNNNNNNNNNNCUUGGAGAAGGGGGGAAUUGGGUGAGGCGAUGCCGCGAUCCCCGGGAUUCGGCGGCGGCGGAGCGACUCCGGCUCGUUUUUGUGGGCGAGGGGAAGAAGAGGGCGUGAGCCCCGCGUUCAGUGAGAGAAAGAGAGGGGGGUUUGGUCGGGCGACCGAAGUGGAGGUGAUUCGGGCGGGGCGCUGCGCUGGCUGGGCUGGCGGCUCAGGCGCGCUGAGCUGCGGCCUCGCCAGCUGGGCCGUCGGCCUGGCCAGCUCGGGGGGCGUUUUCUCUUUUUUUUAGAAUAACUAAAGAGAUAAAAACUAAUAGAGAAAAAUAUUUUUUUAUAUAGGACAUACAUAUAUUAAAAUUCUCAGGGAAAUUAAUCCUACAACGUGGAUAUUUUUCCAGGGGCAAAACACAGACUAAAAAAACAUUUUUCUGAAAAUCCCAAAUAAAAUUCAAAUUUGAAUUCAAACUUUUUGGCAAUAUUUUCUUCUGACAUUUUUUUGGAGUGUCAUGUUUACUCCUCUCAUACUUUUGCUCAAUUAUUUUUCAGGCACUUUUUUGAAAUAAAUUUCAAUUGCCAAUCAAGUUCAAAUUCAAAAAAAACUCCACUGCCUCUGAAAAUUUCAAAUGCCACUCAAUUUCAAACAAUAUGCAUAGAUGCUUAGCUAAAAUUGUAAAACAUUCCAAACUGAAAAUUUGGGAUGUUACCAACCUACCCAACUUAAGAUGAAUCUCGCCCUCGAGAUUCGGGUUGGCCAGCAAAUAGGUGCGAAUGGUCUCGGCGGAGAUCUUCUUCUCACUCCCAGGUGGCUUCCUCCUCGGAAUGGUGACUCCAUAGAACCUUGCAAAACUAGAUGAUCUUGCUGUGAGUAACUCUGUUUGCAGUCUCGAGAAUUCUGAUGGGUUUCUCCUCAUAAGUCCGAUCACUGUCGAGCUGUAUGGCCUCUAGGGGCACCGUGUCUCUCAAAGGAAUAUCGGCCAUCUCAGCAUGGCAUUUCUUCAGCUGGGAAAGAUGGAAGGCAUCGUGAACUCCAGACAAUCCUUCCGGAAAUUCCAGCUUGUAAGCAACUUCUCCACGAUGUUCAAGGAUUUUGUAGGGGCCAAUGAACCCGGGUGCCAACUUUCUUUUAAUACCAGACCUCUUGAUUCCAUGAAGUGGGGACACACGGAGAUAUGCUCGAUCUCCCGCUUCGUAUGUUACUUCCUUGCGUUUACUGUCGGCAUAACUCUUCUGGCUCGACUGAGCUACCUUGAGUCUAUCUCGAAUUAGCUUGACCUUUUCUUUGGAGUCUCUGAUAAGAUUGGGACCAAGAAGUUUUCGGUCUCCAACAACAUCCCACAACAAGGUUUUCUCCACCUCCUUCCAUAUAGAGCUUUGAAAGGGGCCAUCUUCAGACUGGUGCGAUAGCUGUUAUUGUACAAGAACUCUACAUAUGGCAAAUUAUCAUCCCAACUAGACCCGUAGUCUAGCGCACAAGCUCUCAACAUGUCCUAUAGAAUCUGGUUGACUCUCUUGGUCUGUCCAUCUGUCUGCGGAUGAAAAGUUGUACUGAACUCGAGCCUCGUGCCCAAAGUUUCAUGCAACUGAUUCCAAAACUUUGAGGUAAAUUGUGUUCCUCUAUCUGACACGAUACUCCUCGGAACUCCAUGCAGACAUAUGAUCCUGGUCAUGUAUAUCUUAGCUAACUUAGCGCUGGUAUAGGUAUUCUUUACGGGAAUGAAAUGAGCUACCUUGGUCAAGCGAUCAACCACUACCCAGAUGGAAUCAUAACCCGAACAGGUCCUGGGUAAUCCUUUGAUAAAAUCCAUUCCAAGUUUCUCCCAUUUCCACUCGGGAAUCGGCAGAGGUUGAAGUAACCCUACUAGCUUCUGAUGUUCCGCCUUUACUCGCUGGCAAACAUCACAUACUGUUAGGUACUCGGCAAUAUCCUUCUUCAUACCUGUCCACCAGAAACUUUCCUUCAGAUCUAGAUACAUCUUGGUGUUACCUGGGUGAAUUGAGUACGGUGAAUCAUGAGCCUCCUGAAGAAUUAGCUUCCUGAGUUCGGGAUCAUUGGGUACAUAAAUACGAUCCUUGAACCGUAUAGCUCCAUAUUCAUCCUUACGAAACCCUUUAGCUUUUCCUUCAUUCAACCUUUUCUUUAUCUCAUCAAUUUCCUUGUUCGACUUCUGGGCUUCAUGAAUUCUUUCAGCCAAAGUGGACUAAACUUCCAUUCCGGCAACAUAUUCUCUCGGAACUAUGUCCAGUCAAAGGUCUCCGAGGUCAUCGACUAACUCCUGGGGUAACUCUCCCGUUGUAAGAGUAUUCACAUAACUCUUACGGCUCAAGGCAUCUGCUACAAAUAUUAGCCUUUCCUGGGUGGUAAUGCAAUCUCAUGUCAUAGUCCUUGAUUAACUCUAGACAUCUCCUCUGCCUGAGGUUCAACUCCUUCUACGUGAAAAAUAUACUUCAAGCUCUUAUGAUCCGUGUAAAUAUCACAACUGUUUCCGACAAGGAAAUGUCUCCAAGUCUUGAGUGCAUGCACUACGGCUGCUAACUCCAGAUCAUGUGCGUAAUUCAUCUCGUGAGGUCAUAGCUGUCUAGAGGUAUAAGCUACAACCUUUCUUUCAUGCAUGAGUACUCUUCCAAGUCCCUGAUGAGAAGCGUCACAAUAUACUAGGUAAUCCUUGUGUAUGUCUAGAAAAAUUAGCACCGGGGCUGUAACCAAAUGUUUCUUCAAUUCCUGGAAAUUGGCUUCACAAUCCUCGGUCCAAAUGUACUUGGUGCCUUUAUUCAACAUCUCAGUCAUGGGCUUGGCAAUCUUGGAGAAACUCUCAAUAAACCUCUGAUAAUAUCAUGCGAGUCCGAGAAAACUGCGGAUCUCCUUGACUGAGGUGGGUAACUGCCAAUUGGUGACUGAUUCAACCUUGGUGGGGUCGACUGCUAUUCCUUCUCCUGAAAUAACAUGUCCGAGGAAUCCGACUUCCUUCAACCAAAAUUCACAUUUGCUAAACUUGGCAUAUAGCUGAUGUUCUCGGAGUUUCUCCAGAACUAGACGCAAAUGUUCCUUAUGCUCUUCCUCGCUCUUAGAGAAAAUCAGUAUAUCAUUGAUGAACACCACGACAAACUUGUCCAGAUAUUCCAUAAAUACCUUGUUCAUCAAACUCAUAAGAUAUUCCAGAUAUUCCGAAUGGCAUGAAGGUAUACUCAUAUAAACCAUACCUGGUGGUGAAAGCUAUUUUGGGUCAAUCCUUUUCAUGGAUCUUCAACUGAUGAUACCCGGAUCAAAGGUCGAUCUUGGAGAAUUCUUUGGCUCCAACUAGCUGAUCAAAUAAAUCAUUAAUCAUCUUUAGAGGGUACUUGUUCUUGAUGGUCGCGUCGUUCAAUGAACGAUAAUCCACGACCAUUCUCAGGGUUCCAUCCUUCUUCUCUACCAAAAGGACUGGGCUCCCCAAGGUGAUGAGCUUGGCCGAAUAUAUCCCUUCUCCAAUACCUCAUUAAUUUGCUUCUUGAUCUCUUCCAAAUCAUUCGGGGGCAUCCGAUAAUGCCUCUUGGAUAUUGGGGCUGUGCCGGGCAAUAACUCAAUAAAGCAUUCAAUGUCUCUGUCCGGUGGCAUUCCUGGUAAUUCCUCCGGAAACACAUCGGGAAAAUCCUGCAGUACCGGCACUUCCUCCUGAACAACUCCCGUGAGGGAAUUCAUCUGAUAUUUCAUCCGGGUGGGCCUGGAUACAUACUUGAUCCUCUUCUGCUCCGGGGUGGUGAGCAGAAUCGUCUUGCGGGCACAGUCGAUGUUCCCUUUGAACUUCGUCAACCAAUCCAUGCCUAGGAUUACGUCCAAAUUUUGGGAUUCCAAUAGUUAAAGUCAGCGAGAAAAUUAAGGUUUCUGAUGCCGAGGGUUGAACGACAGCCUAAGCCUGCCAUCAUUUCUCCUCCUGGGGAACUUACCUGAAGAGGGCUUCUAAGGGUUCUAGUGGGCAACCCGUACUUUUCCACAACUACCCUUGAUAUAAAUGAAUGCAUUGCACCAGAAUCAAAGAGUACCAAUACUGGACGUGAAUUCAAUAAAAACUUACCAACCACAAUUUCUGGCUAAUCAUAGACGUCCUCCACGUCAAUGUGAUUCACUUGAGCAUGAGGAAAAGGGUUGGGCUUUUUUGUUGAGCUUCCAUUGUCGUUGUCGUUUCUAUUCCUCUGCUUGGCCUCUGGGCAGUCGGUUGCAUAGUGCCCUAUCUUCUAGCACUUGAAACAUGUGAUGUGACUCAGAUCCUUCUGAGCUGGGGCAGAACGAUGCUGGUUGCCAUUGCCUCCAUUGCCUGACUUGGAGUUGUUGUCGUGGUUACAAUUGUCACUACAGAAAAAAUACACUUCCGUGAUGAUACAUGUUUGUCACAGUAGGUCACAUUUUUUGUCAUGCAUGUACAUCCAUGAUGAUUUUAUGACAGAAUCAGGAUAGUCAUACCUGUGGUGUCGUAGAAGUGAUCCAUGACAUUAACAAAAUUAUCAUCACGGAAGUGUCCACUUCCAUGACGAUAAAUCGCGCGUAACAGAAGUGCUUUCGUCAAGGGUGACCGACAUGUGGCAUCCACCAUAACGGAACGCCGUUAAGCUAUCGGGUCCGGCUUUGGAUCCGAUAACCCGUUAAUUGCCCCGACCAAUGGGGAUUUUCCAUGUGUAAAAUCAUCAUUGGCUGGAGGAAACACGUGUCGGCUCAUCGUUGGGACAGAUGUCAUCCACUCAUUGGACAGAAGGUGCCUAUGAUACCUCGACACGUGGCACGGCCCAACAGAGGCCCAUUCCUGUGAAAAGGCCGGCCCGUUUGACUUGGUCAAAAGGUGGCGGGCCGGCCAACUGAAACCAUGUUAACGGCCUAUUCGCAUAUAGCCCAUUUACAGCCCGCUAACCUAGAGCCCGUUAUAACCUAUCCGAAUUAGGCCCAGUAGCGUCAUAUGGACCAUCCAAUAUGAUUCCAACCCAUUUUAUCUUCCGGCCCAUGUAUGGCCCAUGACGUCUUUUGGCCCAUAUGAGGCCCUUUGUAACUCUUGGCCCAUUAACGACCCGUGGUGAAACUGGCCCAUAAUAAAUAGUGUAUCACUUUAUACCAAUUAACAGCCCAUUAUUCCAUUGGAUUGUUUCCAGCCCAUGUUAUCUUUCGGCCUUCUCAGGGCCCAUUUAUUCUUGGGCUCAUUUCCAGCAUUCGGUUACUUACGACCUGUUACUGUCAUUUUCUGCUUGUGGGCCAAAUUCAGCCCGAUGUUACAGUCGGCCCGUUUGUGGCCCGUUAAUACGUUGAGCCAUUUUCAUAGCGUCAUCAAAUAUGGACUAUUAACAACGUCCCGUUAUGGUCGGCCCAUGAACGGACAAUUCCAUCUCUAGCCCGUUUACGGCCAUAAUGCGGUCUGUUAUUGGCCCAUGUUUGGCCAAUCGAUCAUACGGCCCAUAUAAGGCCCAUUGAUGAUACGGCCCAUAGAAGGCCAUUGUUUCUAUGACCCGUAGAAGGCCCAUUGUUUCUACGGCCCGUAGAAGGCCCAUUGUUUCUAUGGCCCGUAGGAGCCCUAGUGUCACUAUAGUAAAUAUGUAGCCAUAUUGUGGCCUAGUUUUUAAAAAAUAGGUUAUUGCCACUAGCAAACCACGGAAAAAGAACCGCACUGACUACAAGCAAACAAAUAAACAAGACAACAAGGAAAUAAAUAAGCAAGAAACUAACGCUAGGCUAUCACGGCUAUUACACAUAUUACAUCCACUGGGAAUCAAAGUUCGCCACCAGUGCAAAUAUAGGGAACAAAGCAGCAUAUCAUAUACACUGGUUGUCAAAGUUGGCGACCAGCGCAAAUAAACACCGCAGCAAAACAAAUCCAGAACUGAAACCACUUCAGAAGAUCUCAAGAAACAAUAUCCUGGGUACCCAUAAUGCUGGCAAGAUGCUUAGAAAGCUUAUUAACUUUCUCUUGUUUGGUGCUUAAAUCCUCCAGCGCUUGCUAUUGCACCAGGAAGUAUGCAUCUGAAUUUUGCAGGGACUUCUUGAGUCCUUCGGCUUCCUGUCGCAGCACAUCCGAUUGAUGUCUUUCAACUUGAAGUUGAGAUUCAAGAAUACGAACUGAUUUAGGCACCAAGUUCGAAGAGCUUGGGCUAGCAAUAGUGGCCAGUAACUCGAACACUACAUCAAGACAGGACUUUUGGGUUCUCCCACUGUCGUCAAGAUAGUUUUUAUCAGCUUUCUUGGAGACCAACAGGGAUGUCUCACUAUCUUGAACCUUAUCUACAUUACUUCCUUUACCAUUGCAUAACGCGGUAUUGUUCGCCAAUAUUUUGUCCGCAUUCUAAAAGAGAAACAAGCAAACACAUCACAGGUUUACCAUGUUGUAUAUGAAACUCAUUUUGGUAAAUGAGUUCAGUAGUAAAGUGGACAGGAUAACAAAAUGAAACAAACAUAUAUCAAUGUACCAUGGUCACUUUAUGGUCUAUAUCAUUCUAGUUUUUGUUUCCAAAUCAAGAUAGAGACACAGUUCAAAUAAUAUUUGUUCAAGACAAAGCAAAAUAGACAGAAUAUAAGUGUGGGAAACUAUAGAGCAAUAACAACACUUGUAAUGUGCAUGACAUCAGAACAUAACUGUUUAUUUAAUUGAAACUGAAAUCAACAUAGAGCAGGUUACAACAGCAAACCAGUUAAAGAAACAUGUUUAAAACAUACCUGUUGCGCCAUUGGAGUUUCAAUUCCAUCCUUCAAAUUUGAAAAUAGUUGGUAUGAGUAAAUACAGUAAUUAAAGAGCAAAGGAGUAUGAACCAUAGCUACAGAACCUGACCUAAGAACAAAUCUUCUUCUCCUUUAAGCGUUGAGUUGGGAUUCGGAGUGGUGGUCCUCGUGCUUUGGGCACUGCAGUUCCCUUACUAACUGCUCAUGUUUGGGUGCUCAGUAGUGGAGACGGUGUUGUGUCAACUGGAACUGGGUUACUAUCUGCCGAUGUUGGGGUUAGAAGGGGUGUAGCUGGUUCUCUGUCCAACUGGGUAGGGGUACAAUCUGUGAGAGUCUGGGUUAUGUGUGGUGGAUCUGGUCCUUUGGCAAGUACAACCGUGGUUCUAUCUGCAUCAACUGGUAGCACUAUCUUUUCUGAAGACCGUGUUGUUACUCCCUUAGAUACUGCCAUCACCCUCUCCAGAUCAAAUGGCUCAUAGACAAGAAAAGUAAUUGAAAGUAUAGACAUUGUAUGAUAGACAGGUGCAAUGGAUAGUGGGGAAUAAAAGAGGGCAUGAAAUAAUUCACAUUUAUGUUGUCUAACCAAACAGGAUAGCAUGACACAAUUUCACAUAUAUGAUGGCUAACUAAACAGGAUAGCAUGACACAAUUUUACAUUAUGAUGGCUAACUAAAAAAGAUGGAAAGACAUAAUACAAAAUAUGAUGACUAUGUAAACAGGAUGACAUGAUAUAACAAUAUAAUGUGUUUAUUAAAUAGGUUGGCAUGCCAUAAUUCACAUACAUUCACAGAUAGAAUGCCAUAAUUCAAAAUAUGAUGACUGUAAACACUAAACAGGAUGAGAUGAUAUAACUAUAUGAUGUCUUUAUUAAAUGGGUUGCCAUGCCAUAAUUCAAAUAGAUGAUGUGUAUGUACUAUGUAAACAUGAUGUCAUGAUAUAAUUCAAAUAUAUGAUUUAUACAGUAAGCAAGUAAGCAGAUGGCAAUCCAUGUAUGAUGUAAAAACUAAGCAAUGCAAGACAACAUGCAUGACAUGGGUAAUAUAACCCUGCCAAGUUUGAGCAUAGACCUCAAGGGGCAAAUAGGACUGGUCAUCAGUCUCUGAAUCCUCCUCUGAGGAGCUCUCUGUAACCAGCAAGAUGUCUGCUUCAGCAGGUAGCAUUGUCUGCUCUGAAUACCUUGUUUUCACUCCAGAUACUUCUAUCACCACUUCAAAUGGCUGAUGCACAGGAAGAGUAGUUGAAUAUACAAACAUUGUCGACAAAUGGAACACGUAAUACAAAAAACUGAUAGCAUGAUAUAAUUCACAUACAUGAUGAUUGGCUAAACAACAUGACAUUGCAUAAUUCACAUAUAUAAUGCCUUUGCAACAAGAUAGCAUUGCAUAAUUCACAUAUAUAAUGUCUUGCAACAAGAUGGCAAUGCAUAAUUCACAUAUAUGGUAAUUAGACACUGAACAGGUGGCAUUCACACAAAGCAUUUCUAAACUAAUCAAAUGACAUAGCAAUGGAGACACCACACACAUGAUAUGAGCAACAUAACCCUGCCAAGUUAGAGCAUACACCUCAGGGGGGAAUAGGACUAGUCAUCUGUCUCUGAAUCCUCCUCUGAGGAGCUAUCCGUAACCAGCGAGAUAUGCGCUUUGUUAGAUAGCAUAGUCUGCUCUAAAGACCUUGUUUUCACUCCAGAAUUUGCCAUCACCAUGCCAAAUGGCUGGUGCGCACGAAGAGUAGUUGAAUGUACUAACAUUGUUGACAAAUGUAAUAUGUAACGAAAAAAGGAUGGCCUGAUAUAAUUUACAUAUAAGAUGACUGGAUAAGCAGGAUGGCAUUGCAAAAUUCACAUAUAUGAUGCCUGGCUAAACAAGAUGGCGUUGCAUAAUUCACAUAAAUGAUGAAUAAACUAAAUAGAUGGCAUUCGCACAAAGGAUGUCUAAACUAAGCAGAUGACAUAUUUGAUGUAUAAAGUAAGCAAUGCAAGGCACCAUAUGCAUGAUAUAACCAACAUCAGCAUGCCAAGUUAGAGCGAAGACCUCAGGGGGUAAAUAGGAGUUGUCUUCUCCUUCUGAAUCCCCCUCAGAACAUAUAUCUUCUCUCAAUUACAAUCCGAAAUGCGUGGAGGAGGGGCUACCUUUGCGCCUACCAUGGAGCGACGUCUGCAUGAAAUUUUAUUCCCAUGCAAGGCUCGUCUCUUUUGCUCUACCUGUUCAGUUCCAUUGUUUACAAUAACUGUCAUACAUAGGAAUAAAACAUAGUUAGAUUAUGUAAGGAGUGCAUGCAGAAAUCCAAAGUGAUGGUAGCAACCUGUGGAUAGACCCAAAACCAAUAAUAGCAUGCAGAUAAUGGCUUCAGUUAAAAAAUACAGAGAAUGGCUUCUUUACUAUUUGUAUCCCACCCAACAUGAAACUCAUAGUAGACACCGGAGAUUAACCAGAUAGUAGAUAGAUACUAUUGAUUGCAGCCCCGAUAUGUACCCCAGAACCAUUUAAAAACUCAAGUUUGACCAUUAGUUUGGAGCUGAUUCAGAGUCUAAUCAGUGAACAGGACGAUAAAGUAGCAUCUAAUAUUAAGCGAUGCAUAGCGUAAGCAGGCAAGAAAGAGUGCGACCUCUCUUGCAGACCCGUGUAGUCCUCGAGGUCAUCUGCUUGGUUGAUGAUGGUAAUGCACUUUUCAUGGCUACCGGUGGCGGGGAAGAAGAUCUGAGGCGGCGAAAGACAGUCUGGAGGCUGGAUCCCUACUGUGCUGGACCCUUCUAUCGUUGGAGCAGCUGAGCUGGGGUGGACGACGGUGCAGCAGGAGUGGGACAAACCACACAAGGUUUUAUUUGACAACUAUUUGUAAGAGAAGUAAUUCUGUAAGGGCUCGUUUGAAUUGGAGGACUCCAACAAUGCAGGGAUAGGAAAUAGACAGGAAUAGGAUAGGAAUGCACGUGCAAAACAGAGAAUUUAAAAACACAGGAUUUCUGCCAAUCUGGGUGUUUGAUUCACAACAAUUGGAAGAUCACAGGAUGUAAAGAAGCAUGGUGAGAUUAAGUCAAACCAUAAGAAAACAUAUGGUUAUAAUGCUAUUAUGCUACUAUCUCUUAGUCUUGUGCUUCAUGAAUAGGAAUUUGAAAAGGAGGACAAGUGAAAAUUAAAAUUCCUACGUUUUUUCUUUCAAGGAGACACUAAAGGAACAAAUCCUACCGUUUUCCUUUGCUCCAUUCCUUUGAACCAAAUUCAUGAAUAGUAGUACCAUAGGAAACUUUCCAAUUCCUAUGUUUUUCAUUCACUUUUCCUUUCAAGCACUGGCGAUUCUAGUAGGCAGGCUUGAGAAAGGAAAAGCCUACACUAAAAAAUGUUUUUGUGCUACUUCUAUUACUUCGGACCCAGGCCACUGCCCUACUAGCUCAACUCCCAGGGCCAUCGACAAAUGCACAGCUCAAGCGCGCAGAGAUAAAUAAUGAUGACAUUCAAGAGAGUCCACGGAUAGCUAAGUUGCCUGGUACCUCACUGCUUGUCAUAUAGUUGGAUUAAAUAAUCAUAUUUCCCAUUACUACAUGUGCUUAGUGGAUAAUAUAUAUAACAUGUAGAGUAAAAAAGAGAUGCAACAAGUGUACAACCUCUUUGGCGAAGCCAUGUCGAUCUCAGCGUGAUUGGGUUGGCCAGUGAGGAUGCUCCGGCUGACUUGGCUAUUGGAGGAGGGGAAGAAGAUCUUAGGCAUCUGGAGAUGGAGCCCGAGGUACUGCUCCGCUGUGAUGGAGGGUUUUGUCGUUGGAGCAGCUCCGGUGAGUUGUACAAUGCCGAGGCUGAAGCAGGAUAAGAGACACAACGUUAACCUGAGUGGAAUUCUAAUAGCAUCUCCAAUACAUGAUGAAAAAUACAUAACCACAAAGUGCUAUAUGUAAAAUACAUCAGCCGCUCAUCUCUGGACUUAACUGUCGAAACUGAAUUUAACUGUCAAAACUGAAUUUAACUGUCGAAACUGAACUUAAUUGUCAAAACUAAAUUUUGCUGUCGAAACUGAAUUUUAUUGUCGAAACUGAAUGCACUAGCAAGGUGAGGCUACACGUCAGUCGACUGACUUUUUCAUCUUUGGUCAGUCAAUUUUGCAGCCGUUGGAUACGAAAUCAAGGGCCUGCAAUUCAUCUUCAACCUCCACCCCCUGAGCUGCCAGCCACCACCGGCCAAACAUCUGCCCCCCGUCGUCCACGGCCGGCGGUGCGCCGCCCCUCCUGCCCCAAAAACACUCCUCACCGUCGGUCCGCCGCCUCCCCGACCAUCCCUCUAGGCCCCCAUGCCGAGCUUUUUCUCCGGCGAUCCCCAUGCCACCGCCCCACCACCGUCGAUGACCACCGCCCCCACCCUGAANNNNNNNNNNNNNNNNNNNNNNNNNNNNNNNNNNNNNNNNNNNNNNNNNNNNNNNNNNNNNNNNNNNNNNNNNNNNNNNNNNNNNNNNNNNNNNNNNNNNNNNNNNNNNNNNNNNNNNNNNNNNNNNNNNNNNNNNNNNNNNNNNNNNNNNNNNNNNNNNNNNNNNNNNNNNNNNNNNNNNNNNNNNNNNNNNNNNNNNNNNNNNNNNNNNNNNNNNNNNNNNNNNCACCCUGAACCCUAAGAUAGAUAGUGGGGUACCUCUCCGGCGAGCCCCCCUCCCUGUUGCGGCUGGUUCUUCCUUCACCCCGGCGAGCCCCCCCCACCCGUGAAAAUUGACUGACCCAAAAGUCGAUUCACUCGACUGAAGUGUAGCUAAAUCGGAGCAACAUCACAAGCAAGAGCAAGAGCGAGAGCAGCAGCGCGAGCAAGAGCAAUAUCAAGAGCAGAGUAGGCACGGGAUCGAGAGUAAGAGCAGAGUAGCACUGCAAGCGAGAGAUAAAGCAGCAGCAGCUCCUACUGAUGUGGACGUCGCCGCCGAGGGAGCGACACCGUGGAGGAAGUGGCCGACGAUGCCGCCGUGGAUGGAGCCGCGCCAUGUCGGCUCGGGACUGAGCGCCGGCAGCACCGUGAGAUUGAAACAAGAAGAAAAUGCGGCGAUUAGUAUACAACCUCAUUGGUGGCGCCGAUUAGGCUGUAGCUUCAUCCGAGGAAACAGUGAUGAUGAUGCCCUUCUGGUGGUGCAGGUGAAGACAGCGGUGUGGGAAUGGAGGUGGCGCGAAAGAUGAGGGGAACAUCGUGGCAGCUCCUUGGAGGUGGAUGACGGGGUGGCUGAACUGGCGGGACGACGAGAUCGACGACGGAUCCUCAUCCGGUAUGGUGGAUGAGGGACGUCGAGGUGUUGCUGUGGACGACAUCAUUGGGGAAGAGGCUCCGGCUGGGUGGCGAACGAAGGAGGGUGUGGGGCUUCGUCACGGGUUUUCGCGGCCUCGGUGUACGAAUGGGUGGGCGGAUGGGAUGGGAGUGGUGAACCAUGGCUUAGGGACGCGCUUGUCCGAAAUGUGGGGUAAGUUACGAAAGUACCCCCACCGAUAUGAGGCAGUUCUUUCGGUUUAGGGGUACCACGGGCAUUUCACGUGACGGCAUUUCACAGGAGGUGGGGAGUUUUCGUGCGUAUUGUAAUUUCGAAAUAGCAAGGGGCGGAUUGAGAUGGAGGGAGUUGUCGGAGCACAACGAGACAAAGAUAUAUCUUAAAUAUUUCGGGCCAACAAGGCUCGGGUUGAAAUUUCCGGACAAGCCUAACGUGUACUGUACCAAAUCAAUUCGCACUACAAAUGUCAUUCAAAACUUUGAAUUCAUGUUAUGUUCAAUUAAAAUAUUUCACUACGUGUAUAAUGCAUGCAACCUACUACUCAAAUGAAUGUUUUAGUGCAUUCCAAACGUAUAUACUACCGCUUCAAUAUGAACUAAAUUUGAAUUCGUUUCUCUAUUUGAAUAAGAUCUAUAGUAAUGAUUGUUGUGAAGUCAAAUCAUUUUAAUUCGUUUCUCUAUUUUAAUAAGAUCUACAAUCAUCAUUAUUGUCAAGUUAAACCAUUGUUUGUGUAUUAUCUUCACAGCACACCACAUGAUUAGUCUCGAGUUACAUAUGAACUAUGUGUACUAUAUGAGCUCGAACUCGAUUUUUUGAAUCCAAUUUAUGUUGAUUUCAAAUCACAUUACAUUUCUAGCUCUAGCCAGAUCUUCAUAAUCUAAACCAUGUCUCAUAUGUAUAAUGUGUUUAUCACAUUAUGUAUGGUGCCCCGUGAGGGUGUCCUGGAUAAGGGGGUAUCCGGACAGCCGGACUAUGUACUUUGGUCAGACUGUUGGACUAUGAAGAUACAGGAUUGAAGACUUCGUCCCGUGUCCAGAUGGGACUCUCCUUGGUGUUGAAGGCAAGCUUGGCGAUUCGGAUGAUAGAUCUCCUUCUCUGUAACCGACUCUGUGUAACCCUAUCCCCCUCCGGCAUCUAUAUAAACCGGAGGGUUUAGUCCGUAGGACACAUCAACAAUCAUACCAUAGGCUAGCUUCUAGGGUUUAGCCUCUCUGAUCUCGUGGUAGAUCAACUCUUGUAAUACUCAUAUCAUCAAGAUCAAUCAAGCAGGAAGUAGGGUAUUACCUCCAUCGAGAGGGCCCAAACCUGGGUAAACAUCGUGUCCCCAGUCUCCUGUUACCAUUAGACUUAGACGCACAGUUCGGGACCCCCUACCCGAGAUCCGCCGGUUUUGACACCGACAUUGGUGGUUUCAUUGAGAGUUCCACUAUGUCGUCAUGAUAAGGCUUGAUGGCUCGUCUCGUUGUCAGGGACAACAUCUACUCUGGGGGAGCCCUGUACCUAGGCCAAACUCUCCAGCUGGGCGGCUUCAUCAUGACCACCCGAUCGGCAGUCGCGCCGAUGAUCACUUCUUGGGUCAUCGAAAACAGCCUCCACGUCGAUUCGAAAUUCACCGAACAUGGACCCAAUGCAGCUAUCUUCCCUCAAUGAGUUCUUGGAUCGCAUCGCCGCCCUGGGCAUCGCUACGGAUUAUGACUGGAUCGGGCUUAAACCCGACCAAAGGGAGAUUUACUCUCUGCCGGUCACCCAUGAGAUAGCGGUAGUGGAAGAGCAUCAUCCGAAUUCUCCUUCUAUUCUGAGGACGAACUAUGUCCAGAUUUCCAAGCUCCCUGAGCCGGACACCCGCUCGCAGGAGGACAUGGCCCAAACCCCGAAUUCAGAGUCGGGCGGCGGGCCGAAGAAAUUGGGCGACAUCUCGGAGCCCGAGAAGUUAAACUCAGAAGCUUCUUGGCCCCUAGGUUUUGGAUUGGGUCAGGAUUCAAAUUCAAAACCACCCACCCACCUCGAUUUUUUCAAUCUGCUGCAUAUCAGACAAGAGCCACAAGAGACAGUACAUCAUUACUGGGCCAGAUUCCUCCUUGUGUUAAAUAGGGUUAAGGACUGUCGCGAGGAAGACGUGAUCUCCCUCUUUUGCAACAAUUGCACGGACAAAGGGAUCCUCAAUGCUAUAGGUCGCCGUGACAUAGUACAGUUUUGCUAACUUAGCGGCCAUAGUGCAGAAAUACUGUGCAAUGGAAAGCACAUGGAAAACCCAAACAAACUUCUGGGACAAUCCGGCUCUCGAUAAACCCCUCGUCCGAACUAAAAGGGCAAACUCUCGUAAGUUGCCGAUUUAAUUACAAAAAGACCAAAGCCUGAUACAAGGCGUGGAACCAUAUUGGAGGAACGGCUCAAUGGGCCUUGCAAACUCCAGAACGCACCGGACGCCAUACCAACUCAUAGCGUUAGAGCAUGUUGGAUACUCCGGCAGGUAGCGAAGAGUGGCGAGGAUCUCCUCAUAAACCAUACAGUAGAACAACAUCCCGCCGGAAAUAACAAUACAGUAUUGACAGUCUUCGAGACUUUUGCCUCAAACAAUAGGCGCAAGCGAGCUCAACGCAAUCUCGUCGAAGUUUGCCACAUGGCAACAAUAAAUCCAUGGAACGACAUGGCUAUAACCUAUAACGCCAGUGAUGAACCUCAAUUCCGAACAGUCCGGGCACCAGCCGCUUUGGUACUUAGUCCAACCGUGGAUGGCUUCCGGCUCACUAAAGUGCUCAUGAUGGCGGAAGCGGACUAAACCUCAUCUAUGAGGAAACCCUCAGCAAGAUGGAUAUUGACAAGAAUCGCAUUGAGCGAAGCAGCACAACCUUCAGGGGAAUUAUCCCCAGUCGAGAGGCGUGAUGUGCAGGAAAAAUCACACUGGAUGUGGUAUUCGACACGCCGGAGAAUUACAGGUCCGAAGAAAUCACAUUCCAAGUGGCCCCAUUCAGCAGCGGAUACCACGCCCUCUUAGGGUGAGACGCAUUCACGAGCUUCCAAGCUAUACCCCAUUACGGGUACAUGAAGCUCAAAAUGCCCGGGCCCAAUGGAAUAAUCACUCUAGCUAGUGAUUCGAACAUCGCACUCCACGCCGAAAAUAAAACUGCUGCACUAGCUCUGGAGGCAUUAUCAGAAGCCCUCGCGGCCGAAGAACUAACAACGCUGCAAGCCACGGUGGACAAAGACGACGUGAUACUAGACAAGCGACCCAAGUCCACCUCUUUCAAGCCCGCGGAUGAGAUAGUCAAAUUCCAGGUCCACCCAACGGACCCUACAAAGACAGCUUCCAUUGGGACACAACUGAACCCCACAUUAGACGCCGCACUGCGAGAUUUCCUGCGCGAGAAUUGGGAUAUUUUCGCCUGGCAUCCGUUAGACAUGCCGGGCAUCCCACGCAGGUUGGCCGAACACAUCCUCAAUAUUCUGAAAGGAUACAAGCCAGUCAAGCAUACUCUUAGGCGUUUCUCAGAGCCUAAGCGGCUAGCCAUGGGAGAAGAGCUAGCCAAGCUACUCGAGGCUGGGUUCAUCACAGACAUAAAACAUCCGGAUUGGCUAGCAAACCUGGUAAUGGUACCAAAAAAGGACAAAUCCUCACACCUAUGUGUCGAUUUCAAAGACCUCAAUAAGGCUUGCCCCAAGGAUCCCUUCCCCCUCCCCCGCAUUGAUCGAAUUAUCGACGCCACCGCAGGACACGACUCAUUGUGUUUCCUCGACGCAUACUCUGGAUACCAUCAGAUCAAGAUGGCAGAGUCUGACCAAGCCGCAACGGCCUUCAUCACGCCAUACGGCCCCUUCUGUUUCAAUACAAUGCCUUUCGGGCUCAAAAACGCCGGCCCAACCUAUCAACGCAUGAUUCAGACAUGCCUGAAAAAACAAAUCGGUAAAAUAGUAGAGGCUUAGAUGGACGACGUGGUCAUUAAAACAAGACACGUUGAAACUCUAAUAGAUGACUUGAGGCUCAUGUUCGACAACCUCUGAACAUACGACAUCAAUCUCAACCCGGAGAAAUGUGUCUUUGGUGUACCCUCCGGGAAAUUGCUCGGCUUCAUCGUUUCCAAUAGAGGAAUUUAAGCCGGACUAGGCCGGCCCCUCGCUCUGUUACAGUUGGCUAUCCCAACAGACCUCAAGCAGAUCCAGAAAUUAACUGGAUCUGUGGCUGCCUUAAGCCGCUUUAUCUCCCAAUUAGGAGAAAAUGCACUACCUCUUUAUCGCCUUCUUCGACACACCGAAUACUUCGAGUGGACGGAUGCGGCCACGACAGAACUGGAAUAAAUAAAGGCCCUCUUGGUCACCAAUCCAGUCCUGACCGCGCCAAAUACUGGCGAACCCAUGCUAUUAUACAUAGCUACAACACACCAAGUUGUAAGCGCAGUGCUCGUCGUCGAGCGAGAAGCAGACGGACACAGGUUCCCGCUGCAAAAGCCGGUAUAUUACGUAUCCACUGUCCUGACUCCAUGCAAAUCUUGGUACCCACACUAUCAGAAGAUAGCGUCCGCGGUCUUCAUGGCAUCCCGGAAGCUACGGCACUACUUUCAAGAGUGUUCGAUUAUGGUGGCCUCCGAAGUACCACUCAACAAUAUAAUAAACAACCGCGACGCCACCGGCCGAAUUGCGAAAUGGGCUAUCGAGCUCCUUCCGUUCGACAUAACAUAUAAACCACGGCGGGCCAUUAAGUCGCAAGUUCUGGCCGACUUUGUUGCCGAAUGGACAGAAGUCGAACUCCCUAAAGAGUACGGCGCGUACUCCAAUUGGAUCAUGCACUUCGACGGCUCUAAAAUGCUGGCCGGAUUGGGAGCAGGUGUUGUCCUGACAUCCCCCACUGGAGACACGGUUCAAUACAUACUCCAAAUACUAUACUUAAACUCCAAUAAUGCAGCCAAAUACGAGGCUCUGUUGCAUGGUCUUCGGAUGGCAGUCUCCAUGGGCAUCCAACGCCCUGAAGUGCGCGGGGACUCGAACCUCGCAAUAUCUCAGAUAAAUGGAGACUUCGAUGCCAAAGAUCCGAAAAUGGCGGCUUAUCGUAACACCGUCCUCAAAAUGUCAGCUCGGUUCGAGGGGCUCAAAUUCCACCAUGUGGUAAGAGAAAAUAAUCAAGCAGCCGAUAUUCUCGCCCGCAUUGGCGCUAAACGCGACCCCAUCCAACCUAAUAUCUUUUUGGAAAGGCUUUUCAAGCCGUUUGUGGUAUGGGAAGGGGAGUCCAACAAUAUUAGCCCAGCUCUGAACACAACCCCCAGAUUCCAAAUAGUCUGACGUAAUCGGAGGCUCUGCCACCGAAAUAACACCUUCGGCCCAAGAAAUCAUGGCUGUUAUCGCCCCAUGGACCGAGCCCUUCAUGGCCUACCUAAAUAGGUAAGAGCUCCCCGAAGACCAGAAUGAGGCACAUUGCAUUGUGCGGCGCUCUAAAGCCUACAAAGUCCAUGAAGGAGAGCUCUACAAGAAGAGCAGCACCGGAGUGCUCCAACGAUGCAUCUCCGAGGAGGAAGGGCGACAACUCUUAACCGAAAUCCAUGCCGGACUCGGCGGGCACAACACUGUAGCCCGGGCACUUGUAAGCAAGGCCUUUCGGACAGGUUUUUACUGGCCGACAGCCCGGGCAGAUGCACAGUACCUUGUCCAACAUUGCGUUGGUUGCCAACUAUUUGCCAAUCAGAGCCAUAUGCCCCCUACCGCUCUCCAAACAAUCCCCAUAACUUGUCCCUUCGCGGUCUAUGGGCUGGAUAUGGUGGGACCCCUUAAAGGGGGAAGCCAUAAGAAAAAAUAUUUAUUGGUCAUGGUGGACAAAUUCACCAAAUGGAUAGAAGCCAAACAAGUUAAAACGGCCGAAUCCGGACCAGUGAUAGACUUCAUAUCAGGGGUUGUACACCGCUACGAUGUCCCCCACAGCAUCAUCACCGACAAUGGCUCGAAUUUCAUAGCCGAUGAGGUGAAAACUUGGUGCGGCAAAAUGGGCAUCAAGCUCGACUACGCCUCUGUCUAUAACCCCCGAACAAACGGUCAAAUCGAAUGUGCAAAUGGUCUCAUCAUGAGCGGCAUCAAACCCAGACUAGUGCGAUCCUUGAAGGAAUCGAACACACAUUGGGUCGAGGAACUCGACUCUGUACUCUGGGGGCUGCGGACCACGCCGAAUCGUACCACCGGAUACACACCAUUUUUAUGGUGUACGGCGCACAAGCAGUACUACCCUGCAACAUAAUCCAUGACUCACCUCGCGUGCGCAUGUACGAAGAGAAGGAAUCUGAGUUAGAUCGGCAGGACAACUUAGAUGCUUUGGAGGAGGAACGUGACGUCACAAAAGCCCGUUCCACAUUCUAUCAGCAACAGGCUCGAAGGUAUCAAAGCAGAGAAGUACGGGCCAAAACUUAUAACAUUGGCGAACUAGUUCUACGCCUCCCCGAGAAGAAGAAGGACAAGCUCAAACCCAAGUGGGUGGGUCCCUUCAUCAUCGACAAAGUUCUCACCGGAGGAGCGUACUGUAUGUGCAAUGCAUCUGACAACAGACUCGAGCCGAACCCAUGGAACGCGGCCAGACUCCAAAGAUUCUACGCCUAGUGUCGAACUCAGUGUUCGUCUCCUUCCCUCUGCUUCUUUAAUUAUGUUCUUUUUCUUCCUUUCUCGCCCUCUUUUCCCUUUUACGCAUACAGCCUUGCAAAACUGCACGGAUGCCUUGAUCGCUCCGGCCGCACUAUGUGUGCACACUAUACUUGGGGGCUUCCUAUCCAAAAGCUAAAUAUAACUAACUUCAUGGCUUCUCGCCAGCCACAUAUGCGUUUUUCUUCCCAUAUGUGCCUUUUCUUCACCAUUAUAUGCAUCGAUAUGACUUAAGUUUUGGCCAUGCUGGGUUGCCUGGCUCUUGUGUUUAUGCCCUACGUUCCCGUUAAUUUGGCUAGGGCAUAAGGGGAGCACCUCUGCGAUUGUUACUGCCGGUUGAGCCGGAUGUGUACCUCAGACUGGGUGAAGCUGAAAGCUAGCGUUCUUAAGGGAAUAUUUGGUCGGUGAACAAAAGAUGUUCUCAUUCAUUACAACGCAAAUCCCUAGAUGUUCUGUUUCCUGCGCUUUUGUUCGCAGUUCGGACAUGCACAUUGAUGUAUGCACACCCAAAGAAAGGAACCCCUAACGGAACUAUUCUCUCUGGAAGAUGUUUCUUACUAUCCAUGUAAUAUAACAUAACUAGUUGGGUACUUGUCCGUUCAAGCACUUAUGACCCCUACGCCUGGUUUCCAUGCAUACCCCGGUUUUUUAUAACUAUGUGGGUAUUCGGAUACACUCCGGACUGUCGGGUCCGGGGGCUGAAGCGAAAAGGUCCGCCAUGACAAAUGAUUUUCAAUCCGGCUAGGGAAUACAUAAGUCCAUUAAAAUUACAUAGUCAUUUAGACUGGCUGUAUUCUUCCUCUAUACCAUCCAACAGGCUGUCUAGCUUACAAUCCUGUUGGGAAUACUUUGCGGCUAACACUACUUGGUCAUAUACCAGACUUAUAGGUAUCUCUUGCCCAUCUGCCCCCGCUAGUCCGACUUCGGCCAUAUGGUUCGGGUCAGCCUUGGCGUAUCGCGUCUUCACCAUGGCCCACGCUUCCCUAGUACCUUGUCAGCAAGCUGAUAUCUUCCAUAAUCGGAAGCGCUACCGUGCUCCUUUGAGCAUCUCCACAAGCUCGUUCAUGCCUCCUGGCAGGGAAGCGGAUGGCCACAAGGCCUGGGCAAUACCCUGCAUCACCUGCCGUGCUCGUUCGUGCAGUUGUGAAAGAUCUUGCAGCAUAUCACCCACGGAUCCAGGCAUCUCCUCUUCAGGACGCCCUGUCAGCAUACCUGUAGACAUAACUCUGUCAAUACGCUUCCCCGCCGAACUAUACUACAGUUUGUUUCAGCACUUACUAUAAAUGCCGCGUCGAAGCCUCCUAUUCUCCUUCACGGAGUCAGCGAGUAAAGCCCGAACAUCUUUUGAUUCGACCGUCAGUCGGAUAUUGGCAUCUUGGAGAUUAUUUCUUUCUCGAAUAGCCUUAAUCAGCACACGCUCGCCCGCCUUCAGCUGACUUCGCAGAUGUGGCUCAUUAUCUUCCACAAUCUUUGGAUUCUCUCCGGGAUCGUCUGUAAUAUCUUUUGUUAGAUUUGUCAACCAUCCCGAAUAAAUAACUGGUACAAGGAUAGUCUUUCUAUAAGAGGCCCUUUUUGAUUCCUCUUGUUCGGCAACAGCGGCCUUCGGCUGGGCCUUGCAUUCCUCCAAUUCUUGAGAUAAAUGGGUAUUCUUCUCUAUAAGAACCUAUGCAUACAAUGAUCCUUAAAUCAGUUGUGCCAACUGUUUCAAGUCUCAGGGGCUGCUACUACACAUACUUAUCAGAUUUUCUUACCCAUAUAUCCUUCGCAUACUGGUCCGUUGCUCUGGCAAGUCCAUCUUGAGCGGCGUGAAUAUAUGCGUCUCCGGAGUUGAAAGCAUCGAAAGCCUCCUCGGACAAAAUACCAUUGUGAAGUACGGCCCGUCUGCGCCGGUGAUUCAUGACACUCCUCACUUCGGAGUUGGAAGCAGAAAGCAUGUCCGCAUCCUCUAUGGGAGGACGAUUCGGUGUUGCCCCCAUAUAAGCCUCCGCCCGUGAAUCCACUUCCGGAAUCUGGCUGCUUGAGGUGUGUCCGGCAGGGGAUUCGGAUGUAGUCCGACAGAUGCUUUUCCUGCCAGGACGCAAUGCAAACUGUCACAAUUUGGCAAAGAUAAUCGCAGAGCAAGUCCAAUUCGUACCUCUACCUCGGCGUCUCAGUUCUAACCGCCUUCCUCUUACGCCUGGCCAAAUCGGAUGCCUCCUGUAGACGAGCCCCCGUGGGCUCGACGCGGCGUCCUGAUGGCCGUUUCUGCAAAAAUACAACAUGUGCGCUUAGGGCACGACACAAUCUGGAAUUUAGGGCCCUAUCUUUACUUAAGUUCGACGCCGGGAGUAGCCCGAGAUAAUUAGCAAGGAUGGCCACUAAAGCGCUGUCCCGGCUUGCUUGGUAAAAUGUAUUGUCCACAAGUUCCACGGAUAUAUCCAGAUCUUCUUCCAGUCCGGGAUCGAGAGCCUGGUCAGGAUCCUCUAGCUUCGGAGGUGGGCUGUUGAACUCCUCGACUACCCUCCUCAGUUCCUGCUUUGGAAAAAGCAAGAUAACUAACUGGUGACAAAGGACACAGGUGUGAAUAGAGUCGAGUAAAGGAAUUACAGCUUACCCAUCUUGGGGGGUUGUACAUGGAAAAUCCAUCCCGUGGCUUAAUGCGGAGGAACUCCUCCUCUUCCCCUUUGUACAAAUCAGACAGUAUUUUCACCAGUGCGGCAGCAGAGUCCGGACCUUUACGAUCGCAGCGGGUGGCGUCGUCUUCUCCGUUGAAGUGCCACAUGGGUUUCCCCCGAUAUUGAAGAGGCUGCACCCCCCGCAUGAUGCAUAUUGACAUAACCUCUGUCAUUGUCAAUCCUGAUUUGGCCAAAAAAUUUGUCCGGCCCAUCAGAUAAAGGACCUCUCUGUCGUCUUCCUCCUGGGGGCUCCGCGGGCACCAAUUUUGGUGUUUCUUCAGCAGGGCAUUGGUAAACUCAGGAAGGCCCGUCCGGACUGGGUCCGGAAGGGGAACAUCAUCUACAUAAAACCACUCUGAGGGCCAAUCUUCGGAUGCCUUCUUUGGAGUGCCGGACAAUUAUCCGGCCUGGGCGAUGCGCCAUAUUUCGGCUUCGCCCACUUGAUAUAUAGAUCCCUCCUAAUUGCGAGGGACGAGGCAGAAUAGCCUCUUCCAUAGCUCGAAAUGAGCUUUGCUGCCCAGGAAAAGCUCACAGAAGGCAACGUACCAUGCGAUGUGUAGUAUGGUGGUAGGAGUGAAGUUGUGCAGAUGGAUACCAUAGAACUCCAGGAGCCCGCGGAGGAAUGGGUGGAUUGGAAACCCAAGCCCCCUCAGCAAAUACGGGACAAGGCAUAUUUGCUCCCCUCUAGAUGGGUUCGGAAAGGUCUCCGCCUGCUCCCCGCCAUUAUAUGUGGCUAGUCCGGCUCGGACGGGGACCAUGUAUGCAGGUGGGAGGAACCCCUGGGUCUGCAACUCCACUAAUCAGCUAUGAGGGACAGAACACUUUUCCCACUCGCCUGGAUUAGAGCUAGGGGUGCGAAAGGAGGAGCUUCGGCGGCCGGCCAUGAUGGAAUGGCUUUUCUCGGGCCCGCUUUGUUGAAUGCUUGCUGGGAGGAAGAUGGUGUGAUUUGGAUUUGAGGAUCCCCGUCUCUUCAAAUAGAUGAUUGGUUUACAAGGUCAGGGUGGCAAAUGUAAAAAUGCCCCGACUUCUCAUAUUCACUUGACACGUGGAGAUAGACAUUAUUGAAACACUGAAGCCGAGGAGGAUGACAUUGAUGGAGGCCUAACACGGUUCACCACAACAGGUACUCUGGAUUUGGAGAAGAACCCACCUUGCAAUGCCGAAGACAAUCUGCGCGCCGGACUCAUCGUCAUUGAAGCCUGAUUUGGGGGCUACUGAGGGAGUCCUGGAUAAGGGGUAUCCGGACAGUUGGACUAUGUACUUUGGCCGGACUGUUGGACUGUGAAGAUACAGGAUUGAAGACUUCAUCCCGUUUCCGGAUGGGACUCUCCUUGGCGUGGAAGGCAAGCUUGGCGAUUCGGAUGAUAGAUCUCCUUCUCUGUAACUGACUCUGUGUAACCCUCGCCCCCUCCGGUAUCUAUAUAAACUUGAGGGUUUAGUCCGUAGGACACAUCAACAAUCAUACCAUAGGCUAGCUUCUAGGGUUUAGCCUCUCUGAUCUCGUGGUAGAUCAACUCUUGUAAUACUCAUAUCAUCAAGAUCAAUCAAGUAAGAAGUAGGGUAUUACCUCCAUCGAGAGGGCCCGAACCUGGGUAAACAUCAUGUCCCCAGUCUCCUGUUACCAUUAGCCUUAGACGCACAGUUCGUGCCCCCCUACCCGAGAUCCGUCGGUUUUGACACCGACAGCCCGCCCCCUACGCCUACAAGUAUUUAGAUGUGAGUUGCAAACACCACACAAUACCACAAAUUCAAAUAAAAUGUGAGAAUGUUCGAUAUAUAGUAUUGUUUAGAUUGUUCGAUAUUUAGUUGUAAGCUGCAAAUGCCACACAUUAUCAAAAAUUCAAUUAAAAUGUGAGAUUGUUUGAUGUAUAGUAUGGUUUAGAUUGUUCGACAUUUAGCUGUGAGUUGCAAACGCCAUGCAUUAUCACAUUAUGGUAUAACAUGUGCACAGCACGCAUAUCACCGCUAUAUUCAUGCAUGCAUAUGUAUAAAACACUAUGAUCUCCUAUUCAAAUAUAUGAAUCCACUUUGAUAUCAAAUUAUGAUAUUUGUUAUUCUCUUACACCCACACAAUCCUCUAACCUUUGUAGCUACGACUAACUUUCUCUCGUGCAUGCACAUGCCCUCCUCUCCCUCCCCCUCCCUCGGCAUUCUAUCCACCGGACACAUUCAUUUUUUUCUUUAGGUCAUUCUCCCAGAGUCUCCACAACUCCUUUCUGACACACACCGAUUGAUAAACCUCUCCAGCGAUGCCUGCCUACAACAUACACACGCACCUUCAAUCUCCUCCUUUAUGUGUCCUUGCCUCGUGCCUCUCAUACGGUCACACACACGUGUAAACUCUCACCCCUCUUUUCAUCGAUCUCACAACUGCACACUCCUCCCCCUAUCUAGCUAGUAGCUGGGCCUCUCGCACCACCUCCUAGAUCCAUUCUCUUUGUCUAUCCAUCUCGCUGGGCCUUAUUUGCCUCUAACAAAUGGACAUACACCGACCGUUCUCCCGCUAUACAUAUAGCUAUCUAGGUCCUUAUAACUCGUUUUUACCCACGCGUCGAUCGAUCUACCUCAUUAGUUAUGUCUCUCCCUUCCUCCGACAAACAACAAUUGAUGUACCGAUCUAGUUAGGUUUGCUUACCAAACACAGGGUUCCCCUUCAUCAUCCAUGGAUGCGUCCCGACAGAUCUAUCACGCACAGGCACACACAGAAGCACAUCUCCACUCUUAUUGCUAACAUUGCAGUUCCACCCUCAGUUUGUCUAAUAGGCCUCUCCCACCAUCUUUGAGAAUCAACUCCAUCACACAUCCAACACUCUACCCCUCUCCCUCCCUCUCUCUCUCCUCUCUCUCUCUCUCUGUCCCAUCAUAUUUCCCGUCCUUCAGUUAUGUAUGGAUGUCGACCGAUCUCCCUCAAGACAUAGCUGGUUCUCUCCUUCUCAACACAUAUACGAGUCGUUCUACCUCUAUAGGUAGGCCUCUGCCUACCCCUUCCCCACCCCCUCCCACCCACACACACCGAUACAUCGAGCGCUCUAGUCAUGUCUCCCUACCACACACAAACUUGACCUAUGCCAUCUGACAUUCCGGUAGGUCAGUUGCCUUAUAUCUUUGACUUGCACACACACACACACACACAAUUUCGAUGGCUCUCUUCAUCGAUCUCGCAGCCACCCACUUGAUCCUUUCUUCGACUCUAUCGAUAUCUAUGAUUCCUCCCUCUCUUCUCGUGGAUCGCCCGACCCUCUAUAUAUGAUAUGGAUAGGCCUCCAUUUCACAUACAUUGCAUGCAAAAAUUUGUUUGAGAUGUCAUCGACACAUAUUCCCACAAAUACAUUCAUGAAAUCAACCCCCCACCCAAAAACAAAAAACACUCACGAACGCGGUUUGUAUCUCUCUCACACACCCACGUAGGUGGUGGACGUGCACGAAAAAGAGGUGCAUGCACGGCGCACGUACUCCCGUCUCUUUCCCAACCACACCCGCGCGGGUACACAGUGGAGCUCAUUUCUGUACGAAAAGGCAGCCCACGUGGUAAUUUGGCACGUGUACUGGUUGUCUACUUGGUGGAGGGAGGAUCGUCUACCACGGGUGAACAAACAAAUUGCGACUUGACGCGUUAUGUUAAAAAAAGAGGCAAACCAUGUGGGGCCUACCUUAGAGGCAAGGCUCUAUACAUUGGAGUACUUUUGAUGUGUCCUGUCAACUCGCAAAACGAGGGGAAGCUUGCUUAGUACGCCAUAUCCCCCGCCCACGGGUGCGGUGGCUCGCAGGAUGAGGUGAAGCUUGCUUACUAUUGUACGCCUUACGUUCACUCCCUCGCCCACACGCGCGGUGGCUCGCAGGAUGGGGAGAAAAAUUUACAACUCCCUCUGUUUAGUCCUCGUCCCUACUACCUUGGUUAUAGAGAUUAUAUCAUAUUCUUUGGAAUAUAUAUGUCCUUUAGUAGAUUUCAAUAUGAACUACUAGUACAUACUCCGAACACUGAUGUAUAUAGACGUAUUUUAGAGUGUAGAUUCACUCAUUUUGCUCAGUAUGUAGCACUCUCCCUCGCCCCUCGACCCUCGCCCACGUGGUGGACGCGCAGCAAUUCAUUCGAUCUCAUAUAGCCAGAACGAUAUAUACUGCACUACCAUUAUUGCUCGACUUCCUGAAGAGGCGAAGAGCCGAUCGCAAGGUUAAUAUUUUGGAGAUGCCAAGCGCAAGGUUAUAGGAGAACGAUUAGUAGGUGCCGCAUCAUUUAUAAAUAAUGUUUUUUUCUUCAGUGACACAUACGCAAUAUGAUAGGUUCAUAUGGAGAGAAAAGGAAACCGCUCCACUAUAUACAUAGUCAGGAUGGGCCAGCCUACACGGUUGCUUGCUGGGGUUGCUCUCUUCACACUCUCUCGCACAAAACGACUGUGGCCACAUCUCUAACAUCCCGAGGAUCACGUCCGUCGGGGGAAGUGGUGGAUGCUUAGUGUAGAUGCGGUCGCCGUCGCCGACGGCUAAAACCCACUGUCGGCACGUCCCGAUCAGGGGUCCCCGCUGUUCCCUCUCACAAAGCCGGUGAGGUUGCCUUCGUCCCUUGCUCACUGCUGCGACAUGGGUAGUUGCUGCCUCCCUCCUCAAGGUUGAGCUACGUCCCGACAUCCCUCAGGUACAACUCCCUUUACAGCCGGCUUGCCACACUGCUCCAGCUGCCCACAUCACUCCAUGUGGAUAUUUGUCUACUUCUUUGCCCCACACAUGCCUCUACUGGCUUCUACGUACUGUAUUUGUGAUGAGUUUAUGUCUCAUCAACUAGUCCCAGUAAUCUUAUUCUAAUCAUGCUUCUUCAAUUUCUUUGCCACAGGGAUGCUCAUCUCGAUUUUGGUGAAACUGCACAAAAUGAUUCGAUGGUCAAAAGGUUGCAAACUUCAUUUCUUAGGAAGCUCGAACGUUGCCAGCAAAUUGAAGCCUGGUUAGGGUUCACGGUUCAAGGGCUAGGGACUACAUGGAUCUUUUUUUCAUUAGCUGCCUCUAUUCCAAAAUAAGUCUCAACUUUAGUAGUAGUACAACUUUGUAUUAAAGUUUGCAUAAAGUUGAGAAACUUAUUUUGGAACGGAGGGAGUACAUAUUUACUAGGAUCUGUCAAUCAUUGAGAUGCAAUAGCAUGCAUGUUAGUCUCCUUUGUAUUUGAUGAAAUGUUGCAACAGGCAACCUUGGACGCAAGAUACAUGUAACAGAAGCGGGAAGCUUCAUAGCAUUGUACAAAUUUAUCUCAAUGAUAAAUUACAGUAUGUAUUAUACUAGUACUUCCUCCGUUCCUAAAUAUAAUUCUUUGUAGAGAUUUCACCAUGAACCACAUGCGGAUGUAUAUAGAUGCAUUUUAAGUGUAGAUUCAUUCAUUUUGUUCCGUGUGUAGUUCACCUAGUGGAAUCUCUACAAAGACUUAUCUACUAGUAAUAGCUAGCCCCGACUACUAGGAAUUCUCUAUCCUCUCCUUGAGCCAAAUCAUCAAAAUUAAUGUAGCUAUUAGAUGAACUAAAUCAGUCCAUAAUAGCCGUCUGAUCUAAACGUUGAGAGGCUCCGCACUAAGCCACAUGCAAGCAUGCAGAAAUACCGUGGCAUGCAUGUGAGUGGGUUUUAAAUCACAUCAACAUGUCUGCAUGCAAGCAUGCACCGGUAGCUUGCACGUAAGUGAGCUUUGAAGUCCCAUUAACAUGUCAAAAAGCAAAAUAUAAUCCCAUUAUGUAACAUCCCAAUUUUCUAUUUGGAUGUUUAUAAAUAGAUCAUUCAUAUGCAUCCAUGAUUUAUGCAUUUUUGCCCCAUUUGUAUUACCUGAUUUUGAUCCAAGGAACUUUGAGCAACUCAAGGACCAAAAGAGAGAGUUGGAAGUUUCCCUAAAACCCACUUUUGAAAUUUCAAAAUUUGGAAAUUGGAUCAAACUUGGUUCCACCAAAAAUUUAUCUCCAUUAUUCCAAAAAUAAAAUAAAGAGAGAGAUAAAAUGAUGUCUUCAAAAUCAGAAGGAAAAUAUUGUAAUUUGAAUUUGGAACCAAAAUAUAUUUGUUGGGUUUUAUUUGCAAUUUAUUUUAUCAUUUUAGCAAAAAGUUUAUUUUUGAAAACUUGCAUUUUAGGCUGGAUAAAUGUUCACAAGGUCAUAUAUAAGACCAUAUAAUUAUGUGGAAUUUUCUGGGAAUUUUAGGCUAACAUUUAUUUGUCUUUUAGGUGUUGCUUUGCUUCUGUAAAAAAACAUUUAUAAAAAAAAUGCCAGCCAGGCCAGCCAGCCCAGCUAGCGCCCGCACAGGCCAUGGCCCAGGGGGCAGCAGCCGAGCGAGGCCAGCGCCCACGCAAAAAAGGGGGUGAGCGCUCACGUCCUACUCCCUUUGCUCGCCCGUCCAUUCGUUUCCUGGAAACCUUUUCCCACGUUGACUUCCAUCUGGCGACUGGGCCCCGCGCACCUCUUCUUCUUCCUCUCCCACAAACAGAAACGUAAGCGUUCCUGCUCCCGACUUCGUUUCCAAUUCCUGAAAAUCAAUUCUCCAGCUCACUUCACAUCCAAGAAAGAUGUCCUAUAAAUAGCCAUGACUCUCCUCGACCGAUUUAGUCAAAAAUCUCUCGCCAAAUCUACCUCUAGACGACGCACUCGACGUUCCAAUCUCGCCUCAGAAGCUACAGUUCAUCGCAAGUUUCCGACAUGGGUGAGCCGUCUCAAGCCUGUGUGCCGACUUCUCCCAAUGCCUACAACCGUUUUGACAAGGUCUUUUGAUUCCUCUCCAUCUACAGAGGCCAUCCCGACCAUGUUGUCUUCACCAGAGCACCCGGAGCACCGAGCUUUGCGGCUUCAUUUCAUCGCCGUUCGUCGUCCCCGAUCAUCACCAACUACACCACCGGACGAGAAACUCUCCGUUGCAUCACCUAGACACCUCCGCUGCCGCCCAGGAUCGCCGGAGCCGCCGCCACCACUACGCCACAGCCGCCCUAGUGUACGUACGUUUCUCUGUAGGUUUCAGUUUGUUUCUGUCUAAAAAAACGUUUUCAUUAUGGAUCGGCCGCCCUCUUCAAAUCUAGCAGCAAACACCAGCCCAACCAAGCAGAGAGCACCACUUGUCGCCGGCCGAAAUUAGUUUUUUCAGAAAAGUUCAUUUUUCAGAUUUCUGUCAGAUUUUUCUUUUAGCGUAUCUUUUAAUCUAUAGAUCUGAUUUACUUGAUUCUUUUUCCUAUGGUUUCAUAAAAAUCCCAUCUAUCCAGAGAACCAAACGGGAAAUAUUUUUGAAAAUUUUAAAUUUCGAAUUCAAACAGAUCUGAAUUCAAACUCUGUUAGGCCGUAACUCGAGUUUCGUAACUCCGUUUUGAGUGAUUCUCUUUUCAAAUCGAAGCUUGUCACAAGUAUUUUCUGUUAAAACCAAAAAAAAUUAUUUAUCUUGCUGUAAAAAUUAUGUUCUGUACAGAAACUUUAUUUGGUUGUUUUUGGAGUUUUUCGAAUUCUUUUAUUUGUUUCCUUUUUGGAUCUUUGCUUGUAUGCUUUUGUAUGUUAUUGCUUGCUUACAUUAGAUUAUCUGGAGUGCGAAGCUUGCUACUACGAAUAUUUAGAGUUCAACAAACGUUAGCAACGCAAGUUCACACUUUGAUCAUACUUUUCAAUACCCAGUUUACUAUGCAUUAGUUUCACCCUCAAAGAUUGCAUGAGUAGGAUUGGAAACAUGUGGUUAUGCUUUGUAGUUCAUGUGGUAGGAACCUAUGACCUUUGAUCACCCCGGGAAUAUUCAUUAUGUCAUAUAUUGCUUAGCCAUGCUCGUAGACGGGGAUUGGUAUGUGUGAUUCAUGAAAGUUGCGAGAGAUAAUAAUUUUGGGACAACAUAAGGUGGCAACUUUAAUACACAUCUGGGUGGAUUGUUUGGUGCACCUGGAGUAACCAGUGCUUGCCUAAGGGGAAUCCCGGAGUACUCGUGUGAUUACCCUAGGUCCGCCACCCAGGCUUAAAGGGAUCAUAAGAUAUUUCAUGCCUAGAGACCUCCGUGUGCAGCCACAAGCCAUUAUGGGCUCUAGAAUAGUUGAGUAAGUUGUGUGACCUCUUUUCGUGGUAGACUAGCUGAUGUAGGGGAAAGUAGGUGUACCGGUCUACCCAGGGUUAAGGGGAAAUACUUUAGAAAGACUAUGUCUCGAUCUUCCGAUCAUGGAGGUGGUCGAGUCUUGUGGGGAAAAGUGUGCAAACCUCUGCUGAGUGUACAAACUAAUCAUGAUUAGUCGUGUCCCCGGUUUUGGACAACUUGAGUAUAUAGAAGUGAAUUAUUGGUUGAUCUCAAUCAUUUUUUAAUGAAAUUAUUGGGAUACUAAUAACUUGGGAAUUUUGGGGAUUGAGUUGGAGGAACCUUUUCAAUAAUGGCAUUUUAAUUUAGUAGUAAAUAAAAAUUUAUUCCUUUGUUGUAGGGUAAAAUUGGCUUUAUGCAAAAAUUAAACUUAGAGCCUCCACCAGCUAAAUUUGCAUAUAGAGAUAGUCUUUUUUUAUUAUUAUUAUUCUAUGGUGUGAAAUUGCCAGAACAUUCCAUGUGCUGACCUACACGGCUGCAACGUCUCAUGUUGCAGACUUUUCCGACGAGGAUUAAAGGUGCGAUAGCUCAUUGUUCUGCACUCAGUUUGCCUUGGAGUUGGAUGGACUCAUUUACCUUCGAUGCUUCCGCAGUUAUUUUAUUUUAGAUGGCCUUCGGCCAUAUUAUUGUAAUAAAUACUCUUUUGAGGAUCUCGAUGUAAUAAUGUGUGUGAUUGAACUCUGUUAUAAUUCCUUGAGUAUUGUGUGUGUCAGCAUACCGAUCCAGGGAUGACACUUAAGCACAGAGACUUCGAUCCAUUUGGAUCGGGUCACUACAAGAUGGUAUCAGAGCACACGCUGACUGUAGGACGCGACCACUAGGAAAUGGAAAGCCAUAGGAAGAAAACUCUAUUUUACGACUUCCUUAAAUAUCCGUUGGUCUAUACUCUUCUCUAUUCAUUUCUAUCUCUUCUCCACUUCAAUAAAAUAGUUGACGAACCCCAUCACCAAGUUGCUCAGCCCGAUGAGACCAUGACCUAUGAAGACAACAUUGACGAAGAAGAAGCUAGAGUUGACUUUGAUUUGAGGAGAUUUAGUUUAGACCACCACUACCAAGUUGAGUCCAACUAUGAAUUGCGGUAGUAUGAAGAGAUCAUAUCUGUUGUGGAUAUGACCUUACCUGUAGGUUUUGCUUGUGUGGUGUGAUCUAUGUGAAUUGCUUGACUUGAAGUUUUCUUGCUAUCAUAAGCAUAAGGGUAGUGAUUUCUGUCAUUAGGCCCUUAUUCUAUUCUAAUUCUCAUCCACUCUAAACCGUACCGGAUGCCCGCAAAUGAUCUGGAGGAAAUUAAGAAGUAGAUUAACGAAUUAUUGGAGGAAGGUUAUAUUCGACCGAGUUCAUCACCUUGGGGAGCCCCAGUGCUUCUAGUUGAGAAGAAGGAUGGAUCCUUGAGAAUGGUUGUAGAUUAUCAUGCGCUAAACGAGGUGACGAUUAAGAACAAGUACCCUCUGCCAAUGAUCAAUGAUUUGUUUGACCAGCUACAAGGAGCAAAAGUUUUCUCCAAGAUCGAUCUUCGAUCAGGAUAUAACUAGCUGAAGAUUCGAGAACAGGAUAUACCCAAGACAACUUUUACCACGAGAUAUGGACUUUAUGAGUACACGGUCAUGUAUUUUGGUUUGACUAAUGCCCCUGCCUAUUUUAUGAGUAUGAUGAAUAAGGUAUUCAUGGAGUUUUUGGAUAAGUUUUUUGUGGUAUUCAUUGAUGACAUAUUGAUUUACUCGAAGAAUGAAGAAGAACACAAGUAACAUUUGCGCUUGGUUCUUGAGAAACUCAGGGAACAUCAGUUAUACGCAAAAGUUCAGCAAGUACGAAUUCUGGUUGAAGGAUGUCGGAUUUCUUGGACAUGUUAUAUCAGGAGAAGGAAUAGCAGUAGACCCCUCCAAGGUUGAAGUCGUCACCGAAUGGAAGGCACCCACCUCAGUCAGAGAGAUUCACAGUUUUCUUGGACUUGCAGGAUAUUACGGGAGGUUUAUUGAGAAUUUCUCCAAGAUUGCGAAGCCCAUGAAGGGGUUACUAAAGAAAGACACUAAGUUUGUUUAGACGGAGGAAUGUGCGGCUAGUUUUCAAGAGUCGAAGAAACGUUUGGUUAUAGCCCCAGUGCUAAUCCUUCCGAAUAUACGCAAGGAUUUCCAAGUUUAUUGCGAAGCUUCUCGUCAGGGACUUGGAGGUGUUCUUAUGCAAGAAGGAAGAGUUGUUUCAUAUGCCUCACGUCAGCUUCGACCUCAUGAGCGGAAUUAUGCCACACAUGAUUUGGAGUUAGCAGCCGUAGUGCAUGCACUCAAGACCUGGAGACAUUUUCUUACCGGAAAAUAGGUGUGAUGUUUACACGGAUCAUAGAAGUUUGAAAUACAUCUUCACGCAGAAGGAGUUGAACCUCAGGCAGAGAAGAUGGUUGGAGCUCAUAAAGGAUUAUGACAUGAAAUUGCAUUAUCACCUAAGAAAGGCCAAUAUUGUGGUAGAUGCAUUGAGCUGCAAGAGCUAUGUUAAUACCCUCAAAGCAGGAGGAUUAGCUCAUGAUUUAAUUGAUGAUCUCAUAGAUCUCUGAUUAGAGAUAGUACCACGAGGUUUUGUUGCUGCAAUGGAAAUUCAAUCCACUUUAUUGGGAAAGAUCCGAGAAGCCCAGAAGUUAGACAAAGGUAUUGCGGAAAUAAAGGAAAGGAUGAACCAAGGAAAGGCAAAAGGAUUUCGUGAGGAUAAACAUGGAACCUUAUGGUUUGAGCAGCGGAUUUACGUGCCCAAUGACACAGAGAUCAGGAAGCUGAUUCUUUAGGAGGCUCAUGAUUCGCCUUACUCAAUACACCCAGGCAACACCAAGAUGUAUUUGGACUUGAAGGAAAAUUUCUGGUGGACAGGUAUGAAGAAGGAUAUUGCUGAGUAUGUCGCAAUAUAUGACGUAUGUUAGAGGGUUAAAGCAGAGCACAAGAAACCAGCAAGAUUACUUCAGCCUUUGCCAAUACCAGAUUGGAAGUGGGACAAGCUUGGCAUGAACUUCACUACAGGAUUACCCAGGACCCGAUCAGGCUAUGAUUCUAUUUGGGUAGUAGUUGAUCGCUUGACCAAGGUAGCUCACUUCAUCCCCGUGAAAACCACAUAUACAAGUGCUAAGUUGGCCAAGAUAUACAUGACCAGGAUCGUAUGUCUGCAUGGAGUUCCGAGGACCAUCGUAUCAGAUAGAGGAACACAAUUUACCUCAAAGUUUUGGCAUCAAUUACACAAAACUUUGGGUACCAGGCUAGAGUUCAGUACAACUUUUCAUCCGCAAACAGAUGGGCAGACCGAGAGAGUCAAUGAGAUUGUAGAGGAUAUGUUGAGAGCUUGUGCGCUAGAUUAUGGAUCUAGUUAGGAUGAUAAUUUGCCAUACGCAGAAUUCUCAUAUAACAACAUCUAUCAAGCUAGUUUGAAAACGGCCCUUUCGAAGCUUUGUACGGAAGGAGGUGCAUGACACCAUUGAUGUGGGAUGAAGUUGGAGACCGUAAAUUAUUCGGACCAGAUUUAAUUAGAGAUUCAGAGGCAAAAGUCAAGCUGAUCCGCGACAGACUCAAGGUAGCCCAAUCCAGACAGAAGAGUUAUGCCGAUACUAAACGCAAGGAGGUAACCUAUGAAGUCGGAGAUAGAGCAUAUCUGCGUGUGUUGCCACUUCGAGGAGUUAAACGAUUCAGAGUCAAAGGAGAGUUAGCACCGCGAUUUGUGGGGCCAUAUAGAGUUUUGUUACGCAUGGGUGAAGUUGCCUACAAGUUGGAAUUACCCGAAGCCUUGUCAGGAGUUCAUGAUGUGUUUCAUGUUUCCCAGUUGAAGAAGUGUCAUGCGGAGAUGGCCGAUAUUCCUUUAAGAGAUAAAGUGCCCCUGAAAGCAAUUCAGUUGGAUAGUGAUCUGACUUAUGAGGAGAAACCGGUCAAGAUUCUAGAGUUUGCUAACAGAGUUACCCGCAACAAGGUCAUAAAGUUUUGCAAGGUUCAGUGGAGUCAUCAUACCGAAGAAGAAGCCACCUGGGAACGAGAAGAAGAUCUCCAACAGGACCACCCACACCUUUUUGCUAGCCAACCCGAAUCUUGAGGGCGAGAUUCAUCUUAAGGGGGGUAGGUUUGUAACAUCCUAAUUUUCAAUCUGGAUGUUUAUAAAUAGAUCAUUCAUAUGCAUCCAUGAUUUAUGCAUUUUUGCACCAUUUGUAUUAUUUGAUUUUGAUCCAAGGAACUGUGAGCAACUCAAGGACCAAAGGAGAGAGUUGGAAGUUUCCCUAAAACCCACUUUUGAAAUUUCAAAAUUUGGAAAUUGGAUCAAACUUGGUUCCACCAAAAAUUUAUUUCCAUUAUUCCAAAAAUAAAAUAAAGAGAGAAGAUAAAAUGACUUCUUCGAAAUCAGAAGGAAAAUAUUGGAAUUUGAAUUUGGAACCUAAAUAUAUUUGUUGGGUUUUAUUUGCAAUUUAUUUUAUUAUUUUAGCAAAAAGUUUAUUUUUGAAAGCUUACAUUUUAGGCCGGAUAAAUGUUCACAAGGUCAUAUAUAAGACCAUAUAAUUAUGUGGAAUUUUCUGGGAAUUUUAGGCUAACUUUUAUUUGUCUUUUAGGUGUUGCUUUGCUUCUGUAAAAAAACAUUUAUAAAAAAAGGCCAGCCAGGCCAGCCGGCCCAGCUAGCGCCCGCACAGGCCAUGGCCCAGGGGGCAGCAGCCGAGCAAGGCCAGCGCCCACGCAAAAAAGGGGGCGAGCGCUCACGUCCUACUCCCUUUGCUCGCUCGUUCGUUCGUUUCCUGGAAACCUUUUCCCAUGUUGACUUCCAUAUGGUGACUGGGCCCCGCGCACCUCUUCUUCUUCCUCUCCCACGAACAGAAAGGUAAGCGUUCCUGCCCCCGACUUUGCUUCCUUUCCAAUUCCUGAAAACCAAUUCUCUAGCUCACUUCACGUCCAAGAAAGAUGUCCUAUAAAUAGCCACGACUCUCCUUGACCGAUUUAGUCGAAAAUCUCUCGCCAAAACUACCUCUAGACGACGCACUCGACAUUCCAAUCUCGCCUCAGAAGCUGCAGUUCAUCGCAAGUUUCCGACGCCGGUGAGCCGUCUCAAGCCUGUGUGCCGACUUCUCUCAGUCCCUACAACCGUUUUGACAAGGUCUUUUUAUUCUUCUCCAUCUACAGAGGCCACCCCGACCAUGUUGUCUUCACCAAAGCACCCGGAGCACCGAGCUUUGCCGCUUCGUUUCGUCGCCGUUCGUCGGCCCUGAUCAUCGUCGACUACACCACCGGACGAGAAACUCUCCACCGCAUCGCCUAGACACCUCCGCUGCCGCCCAGGAUCGCCGGAGCCGCCGCCACCACUACGCCACAGCCGCCCCAGUGUACGUACGUUUCUCUGUAGGUUUCCGUUUGUUUCAGUCUAAAAAAACCUUUUCGUUAUGGAUCGGCUGCCCUCUUCAAAUCUAGCAGCAAACACCAGCCCAACCAAGCAGAGAGCGCCACUUGUCGCCAGCCGAAAUUAGUUUUUUUCAGAAAAAUUCAUAUUUCAGAUUUCUGUCAGAUUUUUCUUUUAGCGUAUCUUUUAAUCUAUAGAUCCAAUUUAGUUGAUUAUUUUUCCUAUGGUUUCAUAAAAAUCCCCUCUAUCCAGAGAACCAAACGAAAAAUAUUUUUGAAAAUUUUAAAUUUCGAAUUCAAACAGAUCUGAAUUCAAACUCUAUUAGGACGAAACUCGAGUUUUGUAACUCCGUUUUGAGUGAUUCUUUUUGCAAAUCGAAGCUUGUCACAUGCAUUUUCUGUUAAAGCCAAAACCAUUUAUUUUUGUUGCUGUAAAGAUUACGUUCUGUAAUGAAACUUUAUUUGGUUGUUUUUGGAGUUUUUCGAAGUCUUUUAUUUGUUUUCUUUUUGGAUCUUUGCUUGUAUGCUUAUGUAUGUUAUUGCUUGCUUACGCUAGAUUAUCCGGAGUGCGAAGCUUGCUACUACGAAUCUUUAGAGUUCAUACUUCUCAAUACCCAGUUUUACUAUGCAUUAGUUCCAUCCUCAAAGAUUGCAUGAGUAGGAUUGGAAACAUGUGGUUAUGCUUUGUAGUUCAUGUGGUAGGAACCUAUGAUCUUUGAUCACCCUGGGAAUAUUCGUUAUGUCAUACAUUGCUUAGCCAUGCUCGUAGACGGGGAUUGGUAUGUUUGAUUCAUGCAAGUUGCGAGAGAUAAUAAUUUUGGGACAUACACAUCUGGGUGGAUUGUUUGGGGUACCUGGAGUAACCAGUGCUUGACCAAGGGGAAUCCCGGAGUACCCGUGUGAUUACCCUAGGUCCGCCAGCUAGGCUUAAAGGGAUCAUAAGAUAUUUCAUGCCUAAACUUCCGUGUGCAGCCACAAGCCAUUAUGGGCUCUAGCAUAGUUGAGUAAGUUGUGCGACGUCUUUCCGUGGUAGACUAGCUGAUGUAGGGGAAAGUAGGUGUACCGGUCUACCUAGGGUUAAGGGGAAAUACUUCAGAAAGACUAUGUCUCGAUCUUCCGAUCAUGGAGGUGGUCGAGUCUUGUGGGAAAAGUGAGCAAACCUCUGCAGAGUGUAGAAACUAAUCAUGAUUAGCCGUGUCCCCGGUUAUGGACAACUUGAGUAUCUAGAAGUGAAUUAUUGGUUGAUCUCAUCAUUUUUAAUGAAAUUAUUGGGAUACUAAUAACUUGGGAAUUUUGGGGAUUGAGUUGGAGGAACCUUUUCAAUAAUGGCAUUUUAAUUUAGUAGUAAAUAAAAAUUUAUUCCGUUGUUGUAGGGUAAAAUUGGCUUUAUGCAAAAGUUAAACUUAGAGCCUCCACUAGCUAAAUUUGCAUAUAGAGAUAGUCUUUUUUUAUUCUAUGGUGUGAAAUUGCCAGCAUAUUCCAUGUGCUGACCUACACGGCUGCAACGUCUCAUGUUGCAGACUUUUCCAAUGAGGAUUAAAGGUGCGAUAGGUCGUUGUUCUGCACUCAGUUUGCCGUGGAGUUGGAUGGACUCAUUUACCUUCGAUGCUUCCGCAUUUAUUUUAUUUUAGAUGGCCUUUGGCCAUAUUAUUGUAAUAAAUACUCUUUUGAGGAUCUUGAUGUAAUAAAGUGUGUGAUUGAACUCUGUUAUAAUUCCUCGAGUACUGUGUGUGUCAGCAUACCGAUCCAGGGAUGACACUUAAGCACAGAGACUUCGAUCCAUUUGGAUCGGGUCGCUACACAUUAUCCAGUAGGAGUUAGCUGAUCUUUUUUCCUUACGUGGGAUGCUCUAAAUGAUGAUGGGAGUUUUUUUAGUUUGGCUACCACAUUUGUCAUGCGGUUAUUGAGUUUUUUUAGUUCUGUGAAAUUGAUAAUUUUACGCAGAGAGAUAUAUGGUUGUUCCGCGGCAACGUGCGGGGACUCAUCUAGUAUUUAGGAACGGAGGGAGUACUAUGUAAAGAGUUAGGUGUCGCACGGUGUCUAGAAAAAAUGGUGAUAGUGUGAGGUGGGCCAUGUAAUCACUGAGCCUGCGUGUUUUCAGAGCUCUUGCACUCCUCCGCUGUAAGAAUGGAGAAAAUUGUAAUCUAGUAGUAGUACCUCCUUUCGCCGAAAGCGUGGGACAUCCAGCAGUCCUACCACCUUAGUAAUAAAGACCAAUGAGCUACCAAAUCACAUAGACCCAGCAGUAAGUUGGACGGACGAAACAACCAUCACUCUUGCGCCAGUGAGAGGUCGCGUCCGCUGUGCCCGGGCAUGAAUGCGGCACCGAUUGUUUGGAGCAGCGUUGACCGUUUCGGGCGGGAAGCGCGCGCGGGUGAUGGAGGGGCUUUGGGUGGGCCAGGCUGGUCAGGAGUGGGCGUGGCAGCUAUCCGCCUGUCCCUACCGGACACGCCCGGAAACGAGAGGAUGCAGCGACUCUCGCGACUAAAAUCGUACACUACACACCAUCUCUCUGUAGGAGUAGGUCGAUCUGUCGUUCUCUCUAACACACACAUGCUAUUAAACACACACACACACACACACGCACGCACGCACACGCACGCACCUUGGUCCCGCUGCACCUUCUAACGUGACUUAUUACACCUAGACGGAGGGAGUAGUAAGUACGAGAUGCAGUGGCACACUGACUUAGGUCGAAUACAAGUGCCCAAAAUAGUGUGCAUGUUAUAAUAAGGAUUCACUUAAAAUAGUACGUGAGCGAAUAGAGGGAUCAAUUGGACAGUGUUCCCAAGCAGUAGCGAGAUGUGUGAGGUAAGAUACACCGCUGGUGCGUUUAAUUUUUCUUAUUAAUUUGUUUGUUUCACCCUAUGACUGGUGGGACCCAACGUACUACCUGGAGAGAGGUAAGGUGACUAAGGCUGCAUUAUUUCUGCACCACUGUGGAUAGUCUAACCACCAAAGCCACAUGACACGAUUAUGAUUUAAAUCCCAAUGACUCCCACACACACAAAAAAAACAUGGCAUGCUUGUCACACGAAUGUAGGUAUGCAUAAAAGGUUAUUUUCCUCUCGUUGAACAUAACGGGAGGGUUGUGUAGCUAGUUAGCAUGUUCGCUCAUCAAACAUGAGGUCUCGGGUUCGAUAACUACACUUGAGCAUAAUUCGUGCCAGGAGGAUACUUUGACUGGUCAAAAUGGAUGGAUACAGAGCUAUACGAUCUCGUAGUGAUCGUAUAAUCACCUCAUCAUGUAUAAGCUGCAGCCUCGGCGCUUGUUUUCUAGGGUUUCCACGCUUCACACUCUCUCUCCAGUAUAUAUAUACACGCUAGAGCCUCAGCGCUUGUAGUUACUCUCUUCACACUCUCUCACCCUCUCCGGAUCUAAACAAGACUUCGUUGGCCUCUCUCUCCCCUCACUGCUGGUCAAAGAGCCGGCAGGAUCCAUUCGCCGGGAAGGGAAGGAGGCUUAACGCUGUCUUCAUCGGCGAGGGAGGGAAUCCACUACUGGCGUAGCUGUUCACUUUCACCCAGCGCCCCCUUCUUCUUCGCCGUUGUCCCGUCGCCCACCGAACCACGCCCCAAGAACUUUAAGGUAUAAUUUACUUAUUCCACAUGCAUUGCUCUAGCUGCAUGUAUACCAUGAAUCUAGGACGUGGUUCAAAGAGGAAAAGGAGUGGGAAAAGUUGUAUAGCAUGAAUCUAGGACGUGGUUCAAAGAGGAAAGGAAUGGGGAAAGUAGUGGGGAAAGUUGUAUAGCAUGAAUCUAGGACGUGGUUCAAAGAGGAAAGGAAUGGGAGAAAUUAGUGGGGAAAGUUGUAUCACAUAAAUCUAGGACGUGGUUCAAAGAGGAAAGGAAGGGGCGAAAGUACUAGUACAGACUGGCUAUCCAACACCUACGUUGGUCGAAAAGGGAAAACAAUUGCAAACAUGGUACACACAUCUCUAACAAACUGAUCUUUUGUUUUGGGGGGCAAGGCUGUAGAGUUUGAACAAGACUAGAUUUGCUGCACUCACAUAGGGAAAGGUGUCUAAAGAUAACAAAACCGGGACCAACACAAAUGUGCUCCUUGGUUGUUUGUUCUUUGUUGCAGCAGACUGUGCAUGAACACAGUACAUCGGUAGAUGCACAUGGUGCUGGUGCGUCCACUAUCCCGUGCAACACUUUAGCUGUUGUUAAUCUAAGGCCAUGUUUGGUUAAAAACUCCUAUUCCCUACCUACUUGGUUCCAGGGACUAAACAUGGACUAGAGGUUAUUAAAUGACAUGCUAAAAGACCAUGUUACCCCUAGUAAUGAACUAAUAGAGACAAGGUGCGAUGCGUGGCAGGGGCAACUAUUGGAAAAAGUCCCAAAAAGACUCCCUCGGGGUCUUCUUUCUUUAGUCCCAAAUGCCUAGUUUUAGUCCCUAAAACUCCCUCCUGUUUGGUUUAGAUGGGACUGACACAGAGUUUUUUUAGUCCCUACACCAAAAUGUCCCUGUAAACAAACACCCUCUAAUAAUGCCGCUGGAAAAUUGAUGCAAUGCCAGAAUUAAAAGGAAAUUACAUGUUUGAUGAAUUUUAUUGUUAAUAUAAUCUCUAUGUUAAUAUUAAUCAAUGCCACCAUUUGAGAAAUGCUACUGUGACCACUAGUUGUUUCCUUUGCACCUCUGUGUAAACAGGGUUAUCUACUUCACCUCGUUACCAUUGUGACCUUUUGUUGCACUGCACAAAACACUUUUGUUUUAAGAGUGUUUUGUGCAGUUCAACCAAAAUGUCACACCGACAAUGUUUCUUGAUUGCUUGAUCUUAGUGGAACUGCACAAGAGGAGAUCUUACUUCCUAUCCGUGUUGACAAAUUUGGAUCAGAUCUUCUUCUUGUGAGUUGUUUGAAUUCCGCAUCAUGAGAGGUCAGUACUAGCCUUCUUUCACAUGAUUCUGCAGUGUGCUUUCAUAUCUUGUGCUACUUGUAUGGUAAUGUUGCUUGAUUUUAAUGAACUGCACAAAUGGAGACAAGACUUCCAAUUUGUAUGUGCACCGUAAUUUCCCAUCGAGGUAAGAUAAGGAUAUUUCACAACUGUUGGCCUGUACUUUGCCACUUUCAUCAGAAAAUUAAUGUCAUUUUUAGUGUUAUACUUGUGCUCCCUAAUUGACAUGCCAAAUCUUCUAUUAUUUAACCAAGUGAUGAAGGGGAAGAACAAGCGGAAGAAAAACAAAAAUCAACUCCCGUGCUGUAAUGAAGCACUGGAAAUGUGAUGACACAAGUAAUGAUAUAGUUUUGCAUAUUUAUUUAUUGCUAUGGCUGGAAUGAGCAAUUGUUUUGCCAUUGAUUUAAUACCACUCUUAAUGUAAUACGUAAUUAUCUCUACUUGUGCAAACAGGGGUCUUCUUUGAAGAUACCAUAUAUUUUAGUGGAACUGCACAAGAACAUGUUGGAAACAUUAAACUAAUCGAGGAGUAUAUAGUAAGCAUGGCCACCACAGUAGAUAGCAACAGAUGGUUCCGGAGAAGUGCUUGAUCUGUAUGCUCUACACAAUAAGCCUCCUGACAAAGGUUGGUACUCGCCCACUGAUUUCAUCCAUAUGAUUGAGCAUUGUCAUCUCUAUUGCGGAGCAAAAAGUGGUAUUGUCCUUGAGAAGUGCUUCAUCUGUGCUGUUUCAAAUAUUUCCUUUCCUUUUUUCGAGCAAACAGGGAUGCUAGCAUUUAGUUGCCCUCUUGUCUUUGCACAAUAGGAUCAUCUUCCUCUGAAGAAGAAUCUGGAGUACGUGAAGUGACUAGUUCCGAUUAUGCCAGGAUGAAGAAGCCCUGUCUAUCUUCUCACCAGAAGGAGCAGUUGAAGGAUGGUUACAUUACUCCCCACAAGACCAAACUAACUUAAGCUCAGAAGGACUGACAAAUCUCCAUUUUUUUGCUGUGAUGCACAAGUACAAUGUUGUUCUAGGAUUCUUUCUAGUGAGUUCCAUUUUUAUAAAACUUUGCUCUAGAUGGACCAUGUAGGUGCCUGUUUAAACUGUCAAUUCAUAGUAUAGUUUACUUUAUACUAAUCACUUUUUUGUAUUUGUGCAAACAUGGGUGCUCAGCUUGAUUUCAAUGGGAACUGCACAAAAUGUUCAUGAAUACAUCGAAUCAUUCAUUUCCACCACAAGAAAGGAGGUGCCGAUAAGUUCAAGGCAUUGCAACAUAUAAGGGCGAAAUCAUACAAGCUACGCGCGAAUUUGGUUGAUUUUGGUGGAACUGCACAAAAGGAACAAUUGGUUUAUUUAGCACGAGGUGCCAUGUCAAUGUCCGAACUGAUGGCAAACCCUGCCUAUUCCACAAUCUUAGGCAUUUGAUAUUUUGGAAUGGGACAACCUUGUCAAAUUUUGCUCAUUGAUUUUAGCAAGAAGACAUGCGUUUGAUAUUUUCGAAUGGGACGCCCUUUGCUGUCAGCAGUGUCGAUCAUUUUUUUCUUUAUUCUUUAGUUGUGAAGUAAAUAUUGCCUCUGACAUGUGAGUCGAUGAGAUGCAUAAUCAUCGAUUGUUUUGAAUGUUCUCUAUGAAUUGCCAGCCCUGUGUGUUUGAUUGCAAUGUACAGAAACGCUAAAAAGCUGCUCAAACUCUUUGUACUCCUUAUGUUCCUUUUUACUUCGAAGAUUGUGAAAGUGCAUACUUUUUUCUAUAAGAUUGGUCAAAGUAGAGAUAUUUUGACUGCAGACAAAACUUGUAUGCAGAAUAGAAAGGACCGGAGGGAGUACAUGUGAAACUGCUGCAAACGAGGUGAUCUCCCUGGGAAUAAUGCUAGUACAUAUUGUUUUGCAUGUUCAUCUAAUACCAGUGAAUAUGAAUUCAAACUAAUCAAAAUAAAUUCAUUCAUACACGGUCGGAUUUCAUAUAAACAUGCCGGAUUUCAUUACAUUUCAUACAUUCUUCAACUAAAAAGGGGUGCGCCGGAGGUAUUAUUAAUUAACCAAAGCUACCCACCUGUGUCCCGCUGACGCGAACAGAAGCUUGAGUGACUUAACUGCAGGUGCAGUUGCGUAACUGACAUGUGACCUGUUGGGCCCACGUGUCAGUCAGCCAACUACACCAGGAGUUAAGUAGAAGCAGCGUUCUUCUCCAACAUAGCUCUCCGACUCCACGUCGCCGCCCAGAAGCUAACCGACCGUCAAUGGUCAACCCGCCUAGCUUGGCUAAAACCGGAGGGUAGCAGCGGUUGCCUUACUCAAGCGAUGGUGACCUACCGUGUUCUACUCUUACUCGUUUUCUGUGUGGUGCGACCUCGUUGACAGCGGGGCGGGGCCUCGGUGGAGCCGGCGAUGUCCUC
rnacentral:lncRNA from 1 species